UUGGUAACAAAUCCAACCACAAAAUUGUGCAAGCAACCCACAAGCUAGUUUUAUUGAAUAUUAAAAUAACAUAGUUGAUUUCUAAAACAUACAAAAUUUAUUAUCUCAUCAACACAUAAUUAUUUUGAUAACCAUAAGGUUGAGAUUUAUCCACCCAAAAUAGGGGAGAUAACAAAACUAUUGUGUUGUUGUUGCUGGUGUGCAAUUAAUCUUGCAGGGACAGUUGAUGAAGCAUUCUCCAAGGUCUGGCCAGCACAAGUUAUCUAUUUGACAACAGAAUUCCCGUCCUGGGAGCUGGUGCCCAUCUUUAUAACAAGGGGGUCUGGUUACAUGGCUUACUUUGCUCAUCAUGUUUCUCCCCUUGUUGUUUAUGAUUUCACCUAAUUAACAUAAAAUAAAGAAUAUACUUAUCAUUUCAUCAUAUAAACAAUAAAAGUCCACAAUAUCAAUCCCCCCAAAAAAUUGAGUUGUUAAUUACCAUAUGUGCCUCCAAGACAAGUUAAACACACCACAAGAAGAAAAGAAAGUAGCACAAGUCCUUGCACAUUGUUCCUCGUGAACUUUGUCAUCGUCACUAAGGAAAAGAGGCUAUUAAUAGGUGGUACUCUUGUAAGUGGAGUUGAUAAGUGUAUGACCGUGAAAUGCUUGCUCCAUGAAUGGUUCAUAUAUAUAUAGGAAAAGCUUCUCCGCGUUGAUGUGUGAAGUUAUAGAAAAUAUUAAUGCUACGAGUUAUGGCUUGUCUGAAUUUCCAAUUUUAGUUUAACUUCUAAAGAUUCAUGGUUCCUUCUAAAGUUUUUUUCCUCAAAUUGAUGCUUUGUCAUAGCAUGUAAGUUACUUUAAUGCCCCCUCUAGAAUUGACCGCUUAUUGUUUCCAAAGGGUAGAAUUGACCUCUUAGAAUGGGUAGCAAAAAACGGGUGCAUGGCAAUAUUGUGUUUAAGGCAUUGAUAAUAAUUGGUAUAAUAUUAAUAAUUCCUAUAUAUAUGAUGCCUUAUCAGUAAAUUAUUAAUUUCUCUCUUGGUAUAAGAGAACAAAAUUUAAAAUUCAACAAGACUCGUCCACUUAACAUUGGACUUGUUUUUUAAUGUAUAUAAGCAAUUGUUCUUAAGUAUAUCAGCAAGUUACGGAUACAUUUUUUUACUUUUAUUCCAUGAACAUAGAUUAAUUAUGGGAUGGCCAUUUUAUAAAUAUAAGAUGAUGAUUUAUUUUCAUAUACAUGAACAUUUUAUAUCAAGGUAGUUGAGCAUUUUUUACAUUUUUCUAUACACAAAAUUUUCUCCAAUAUUAAGUUGAUUUUGAUUUCUUUAAAUAGAUUAGUUUCCCCAAAACGUUCUUUAUUAGAAUAGUGAAAAUGUUGCACUUGCCCGACUAUGGCAAAUUUCGUUAAUUCUCGGGACUCCCUAUAUGUUCCUCCUUGCGGCUAACAACCUCCCCUUCGGAUAGUGCGCGCCUGGCUGGGCCGGCCCAUUGACGACACGAAUGGACACCACUGAGUGGGAGAGUAGGCGCUGAGCCAAUCCACUUCAGCGACAAUUUUUUAAAUUUUGGAAAAUUUCUUUGCAAAAUGAACAAGCAUUGAUAAAUGCGAAGUUUUUUUGAACAUAUUCUAAAAUUUGAAAUUUCUUAAAACCCCAAUUAUAUUUGGAAUUUCGUUCAUUUUUCUGAAAAUAUGAACGAUUUAGGAAAUACUGAAGAUUAUUUGAAAACUACGUCCUUUCCUUGGAAAACCAAAAAUUUAUUUAUAACAAAAUAUGAGAAUCGGAACAUUUCCUGAAAACUUGAAUAUUUUUUAAAUUUCAAAUUUACGCACAUUUUAAAAAAGGAGACUUUUUGAUAGAGAAAAUAAGAAAAAUAAAACAUGGAAAAACCAAAUAUGUAAAACUAAAAAAUAACCCAAAGAAAACGGUAACAGAAACAGAAGGAAAAAAAGAACAAAUGAAAAUACUAGUAAAAAUCAUAUCAGAACCUUUUAGAACGCUCCCAAAAUUGGUAAAAGCCCAGAAGGAAUAUUCCGGAAGUUCAUAAAACUAGAGAGGCGCGGCUAACAUGGGUCGGCCGUCCCAAGCUCUAGCAUCGAUUCUGUGUGCAAUCCCCGGCAAUUUGAUGUUUACUGCUCAAAUAGGGUUUUCGCCAAUUCUCUUGUUUCUUGUUGCCUCAUAUGAGUUUGUUGUUGUUUGGGACAUACCUUGGCGCCAUUUGUACGGGUUCGAUGACCGCCAUCAAGGGUCUCUUAGUGGAAUCACAAUAUCUUGCAUCGUGUGAGGGCGUGAGGAGAUUAUAGUGGCCCUAGUGGCAUUUUGGGGAGCAUUGUGCCUCCACAGUGCUCCAGACGGAGAUUAGCAUCUGCAAUGUCGUCUCCGCGUGCCUCAGUUAUUUCUUACCCGAGCCCUUUACUUUGUGAUAGCCAUAGUGUUUCAUGUUAUAUAUCUUGCUAUCACAUAGUUGUUUGUCGUGCUUAGCAUAAGUUGUUGGUGCACAUAGGUGAGCCUAGUGGUUUUAGCUUUUAUGCUUGACAAAUUAGACACUAGUUUUAUUCUACAUUUGUUCAAGCCUAAAUAGUAAUUAUUUUAAAGCAUCUAUUCACCCUCCCUCUAGGCAACAUCCACGAUUUUUCAAGUGGUAUCAGAGUGUCGCCUCUCUUUAUUAGGCUUAACCACUUAGAGAGUAAAGAUGUCGACUAGGGGAUUAGGAUUCUUUGACACUCUUUGUUUCAAUGGCACAAUUUUUGAUGUUGUUGUAAUUCGUAUGGUUAAUCUCUUUAGGGUCAUGGACCCAAAUUUAGAGCGAAUUUUAGAUAUUAGUUUUCAUCCUUCAAAGGAUCCUCAAAGAUUAUCUCUAGAGGAUGAGAAAAAACUCUUAUCUCACUGCUCAAGCUUCUAAUGUGCUUUUUGAUGCUUUGAACAAUGUAGUUAUAUUUGAACUUAUGCUAUUCUGGGAUGCUCAUGAUUUGUGGACAAAGCUUCAAGAUAAAUAUGGUGUGUCCAGGAUUUCUAGGAAUGAUUAUUCUCCCUCCAUCUCCAGUCUUAUGGUGUUCUCAACUUCUUCCACUUCACCUACAUGUGGAUUGCCACAAGGUAGUGAUAUGGUGAGUAGUGUUGGUCAUUGCAAUGAUUAUAGUGGGCUUAUUGUUGAUGAUCCUUCAUCGCUAUCUUAUUGAAUGCUCCGUCUUUGCACUUCAACACUUCGAGAUCUCUAGAUGGUUCACACGCUCGUGUUGAUAGUCCUUGCAUAUCACGUAGAAUUUGCUCAACUAAAUCUCAUGAUGAUAUGCUUGCUAUGUCUUGCUGCCAUGAUAAAAGUGCCUCUAUUUCCUCGAGUUGUUGUGCAAACAGUGUAAAGGAAACCCUACACUCCAUGGAACAAGAUGUGGUCCUGAAUGGUGCUUCAAGGGAUCCAACAUCAUCAUCUAUUGUUUCUCACUUUUGCCUUAUGGCUACGGUUUCAAAGGUAUCUCCCAGUUUGAAUCCCAAUAUAUAUUGUGAUGAUGAUGUUCAUGAUAAUCAGGGGAGGGGCCCCACCCAGUUGAAAUAAGGGGAGGGACCCUACCCAGUUGAAAUCAGGGGGUGGAGUGAUCAGUUAGGAAAGUUAAGUAAGAUUACGUAGGAUUUCUACGUAAUGCUACACCUACGUAGCUAUCAUACAAGAAUUUCUCCUCCCUCUCGUCCCAUUGCCCCUUCCAUGGCACUCUGCUCGAUAAGAAUAUUCUCCACUCCAGCAACACAUGUAUCUUCAGUAGUCCUAGUGCAAUUUUGCCUUCCCCAACUUUUCUACAUCAAAAUCCACAUCUGCACGAGAUGUACCAACAAUCAGUCGGGUUACGAAAGCUAUAUUUUCCACACAAGGGAAGGGCUAGAAAUCAAUACUGCAAAUUUGUCAUCUUAGGACUGGCAUUUACAUUUAUAAUUUAACAAGAACAGAUCACAUCAUAGUUCAAAUAAGAUAAGUAUGAAUGGACAUAAGUUUCCCAGUUAUAGGAUCAAACUAUAGGGGUGCUGCAAAAGCAACAACUUUGAACCAAGCUUCAUUGCCUCAGUAUACGAGUAGAAACCUGGGAGCCCUCCCUUGUUACCCUUCAUGGUGACAAACUAACAAUCUCGCAUGCAAGUUUCUUCCGGAGGUGCUCCAGCUGAGCCUGGGCGAGAAAAAAAAUACAGCUUUCAGUCCACCUCACAGUUUGUUCACUGUGGACACGCCCUGAACUACCAUGCUUUUACCUCACUAUGUUCAAACCCGAGGAUGUUGUGCAUGAUGUACACAUCGCUAUCCUCCUUAAGAUCACGGGAUCAGUAUUCGUCUUUGUUAGUGUGAAGUAUAACAAAAAAAAUUAUCCUUGUUCAAAGUCAGAUGUACUAACCUCGUGCACAGUUUGUUCCGCGCCACUAAAGGGUACACAAAAGUCCAUCCAGUCGUGUCAACCAACCCGGCACCAAAAAUGUCAUUGAACACUCACCCCUUCGACCAUUCGAACCUCUGCGAGCCAAUGCUGGCCUCGAGCUGCCGAGGUUUCUGCUGUUGCAGUACAUCUCAUUGGUAGGAUCCCAGCAGAUUUUGUGGCUGAAGCACACCCAUGGGUAGGACAAGCAUUAGUCAAGAGCAAACUUUAAAUCUUUUAGAACACCAACUACAAAUGUGAAACUAUUUGCUUGCCGUGCACCCACAUUCUAGUUCUAACUUUGCCAGUUCCGCAACAGCAAACAUUUCGUCCAAUCUUAUCUGUUCUUCUUUGUCAACCUCGCCAACAACAUCUUGGUUUGUUUGACUCCUGGCAUUCGCACUAUUCGCCCCAACUCCACUUCCGGCAACAUCUCUCAUUCUCAGCUUCAGCUGAAGCCUGCUCAAGCUCCACAGCCAUGGCCCCCUGCAUGCACAAUUGACUCCAAAUAAACAUUCUUGGACUACCAACCUGACCCAAGGCCACCUCGCAAUUCCGAUGAAAUACGUAGGUUGCUCUACCCAGCUGGUGCUCCAAUGGGUUACCUUACAUUGCAAAACAAUAUUGGUAUUUAUAUUUUUGUGGUCCAGCAUUGCUGCAUUUGUCGACAAAUAGUGCACUCGUCGAACAGCAAUCAAGCUUUUUUUAGAAGGAGGAUGUACCCCCGGCCUCUCCAUUCGGAUGAUGCAUUCAACCAUAUUAUUAAUUAUCCACAAAGAUCAUACAAGGUGAUACAUCAAUAAGCCUGAAGCCAUCAUCUUGGCAAUGUUGUUGCUACUUCUAUCCCCUUGAUGAAGGUGUGUCGGAUGUCCGAGCCUAAUACCAUGCAGACAUCGCACCAAAACCUAACAUAUAAAGCCGGGUGUCCCAUCCAAGCCACUACCUGGAAUGGGUCCCACAUCGGUCUGGCAGACUCCCAGUGAGCACCGCACGCUGCAAGGGUCGUCGCCUCCAUCUUCCAUCAGUCCAUCCUCAAAGCAGAACUGAUGCACUGACCGUGACAGGCCUCUCUGCCAUCAAUGCCACCAUGACGCUGGACAGCUUCCUCCUCCUGCGCGAGUCCAUCUCUGUGCAUCAGACGCCAAGUGUCCAUUGCGCCAUGCCGCCGAGACCCACCGUCAAUGAUACGGUUGAUGCCACACCGCUCCACCUACAUGCCAUCUCGCAUCGACUCCGAACUACCAGCAGCUCCACCACCUUGAGCAGUCCCUGUCCGACGCCUUCAGAAAGGAACACGACACCAAAGUACCAUUGUCGCCCAAACAGAGGAACAGAGACUUUUGCAUGCGCUCAUGGCAGAGGUGGGGGGCGUAUGAUCCACACCAAAGCCUCCAGGAAGGGAAUCGGCGCCGACGGCGUAGACUUUGGUGCGGCCGCCACGCCGGCCUGAAGUUUCCCCUCGAUUCAUGCCCACCCGCCAGACCCUAUCCAGGCAGUAUAAGUGUCGACCGUAUUCGCUACCGUUGCCAGCACGAACUGGAGAGUAGAUCUACUGUAGGUAGGGUAUAAUGUUUGGUACACGUGCAAUGUUCAGAUUCAUUUUUCAUUCGUCAACUCCCAUUCCCAGCCUGAAUUACUAGGGCCCCUUCAGGGAGAGAUACGGGGGAGUUACCCCCGUCAAUUCAUAUUACCUUCCCUCCACAACUCCUAUGUCCCCGAACCAUACAGGGGAUUUUUAGUGUCAUAGCCUCUUAAUUCCCAUUCCCCAGCUUUUCUUCCCCCCAACCAAACAGGCUGUAAGAGUGAUUCUUGCAUCGCGCUCCAGCAUCACAACUCCUUGCCGAACUGAAUCUACUAAGUUCCAUACAAAUUUAGCUUGAUUUAUGUACAUAUGUACAAUGUGACGACAGUAGUGGAGUUGCUUUUUCGCUAAAUUCAACACACAAUGGACAGGAUACUGUAUGCCACCUAGUUUAGAGAUAGCUAUUAAAGUUUUAUCAUUUGAGCAUCCUUAUUCAAAUUAAUAUGUGCUAACGAUACUAUUGAGGCUUCUAAGAUUUAAGUACCCAAACUCGACUUCUGUAGAUAAACAUAGAAGUACAAUCUUUGCAUAGGUAUACACUAUCUUCCAAUAUAUGAUUUCAUUCCAUUGUGUAAUUUGGUCGAAAAAUUACGGCGUGCUUUUGGUGACUAGACUAGAGUAGAAUUGGCAUAAGAGCUAAUGCAAGGAAGAAAAUCAUGCCCCAGACAUUUGCAUAGCCCGACUCAAACUUGCCAAAUGUAGCAAGUUUUUUUAUGCAAAUUCCAAAUGAUAUUUAAUUUAUCAAAAAUAAUGAAAUUUAGUUCAACGUUUCAGGCCUGAAGCAAACCUGAAUCAUCUAUACUUCUUAUCCUCCUAAUCUUUGCAGAACCAGCAAAAGUGGGCAAUAAGAACCGAACAAAUGAAGGCCUCUAUUUUGUCUGCAGCACAUAAACCCUUUAUCACUACUAGGACAAGGCCUACUAAUGGCGCACCAGUUUUGCCUACUAAUGGCGCACUACUGGUGCGUCAUUAGUAUCACGCCACUAAUAUUUUUUACUGAUGGCGCAUCAAUAGUGCGCCAUUAGUAUCUGGUAUACUAAUGGUGCACCACUGGUGCGCCAUUAGUAUAGGCCACGGUGCGCCAUUAAUAUUUUUGAAUUUUGAAGGUGGGAAAAUAGAAGUGGCGCACCGUCUAACCCCCAUGGUGCGCCAUUGCUAAUUUUGAAUUUUGAAUUUGGAUCUGGAUCGCGAUUUCUUUGCCCAUUUUUUGCUCUUUUUUUUUGCACGAUAUUAUUUCAAAUUUUGUUCCUGUUUUUGGAUCUUGUACGUUCUUUUGCCGUGUUCUUUUGCCGGAGAGGAGUUCGCCGGAGAGGAGUUUGCCGGAGAGGAGGAGGAGGUCACCGGAGAGGAGUUCACUGGAGCAUCGGAGAGGAGGAAGGAGAAACCAUGAUGGGAUGGGAGGAGAGGAGGGAGAAGGAGCUCACCGGAGAGGAGGGAGGAGGAGCUCACCGGAGAGGAGGGGGGAGGAGCUCACCGGAGAUGAGGGAGGAGGAGCUCACCGGAGAGGAGGGAGNNNNNNNNNNNNNNNNNNNNNNNNNNNNNNNNNNNNNNNNNNNNNNNNNNNNNNNNNNNNNNNNNNNNNNNNNNNNNNNNNNNNNNNNNNNNNNNNNNNNNNNNNNNNNNNNNNNNNNNNNNNNNNNNNNNNNNNNNNNNNNNNNNNNNNNNNNNNNNNNNNNNNNNNNNNNNNNNNNNNNNNNNNNNNNNNNNNNNNNNNNNNNNNNNNNNNNNNNNNNNNNNNNNNNNNNNNNNNNNNNNNNNNNNNNNNNNNNNNNNNNNNNNNNNNNNNNNNNNNNNNNNNNNNNNNNNNNNNNNNNNNNNNNNNNNNNNNNNNNNNNNNNNNNNNNNNNGUGAGGGGAGGGGAAGGGAGGAGAGGAGAGGAGAGGAGGGAGGAGGAGGUCGCCGGAGAGGAGGAGGAGGUCGCCGGAGAGGAGGAGGAGGAGGUCACUGGAGAGGAGGAGGGUAGUAUGGUGGAGGAGAAAAGGGAAGAUGGAGUGGAGGAGUGGAGGAGAGGUGGAGUGGAGGAGAAGAAUGAAGAGGUAAGGAGGAGAGGACAUGCCCAGCCAUAUAUACGGCAUAGUAAUGACGCAUCGUGGGCAGGUGCGCCAUUACUUUUUUUAAUUUUUUUAAUUUUAAAGGCGGGAAGAUAGUAAUGGCGCACCAUGGGCAGAUGCGCCAUUAGUAACUUUUUUUUAUUUUAAAUUUUGAAGGCGGGAAGAUAGUAAUGGCGCACCAUGGGCAGGUGCGCCAUUAGUAACUUUUUUUUAUUUUUUGAUUUAUUUUGAAUUUUGAAGGCGGGAAGAUAGUAAUGGCGCACCAUGGGCAAGUGCGCCAUUAGUAAGUUUGAUUUUUUUUGAAAUUUUUUGCCUCUCCAGAUCUUAAAAGCCCCGUAUCUUUUUUUCUGUUAGGUUUUUGAGGAUUUUAAAAAUGUUUAACGGGGUUCCCCUGUUAAAUUCGGAUGUAACUUUUCGAGUAGAUGAUUUUUCAUAUAAAAAAAAUUCAUCCGAGUUCGUAUGCAAAAGUUAUGCCCAUUUUUACAAAUUCUUGAAAGAUUUUGCAAAAAAGUCGAAAAUUCAUGUUUGUAAAUUUUGCUAACAACUAGAUCACAUAUCACAUGGGAAUCUUAUUUUCUUUUAUUUUUUUGACAUUUCUAUCAUUUUCUUUUUUUUUUAAACUGAAAAGGCGGUCCAGGGGGGUUGCAUUCGGGGGAAUGUUUGGGACAAAUUACUAAUGGCGCACCGUGGGAAGGUGCGCCAUUACUAGUUUCAACUAGUAAUGCCGCACCACUCUCACAGUGCGCCAUUAGUAGUUUCGGAAAAAUUAAAAAAAAAUUACUAAUGGCGCACCGUGGGAUGUGGUGCGCCAUUAGUAUUUGCACACUAAUGGCGCACCAACACAUGGUGCGCCAUUAGUAUUUAGUAAUGGCGUACCACAUGUACAGUGCGCCAUUAGUGUCCAUCCCAUCUAUAGCUCUUUUCCUAGUUGUGUAUGUUCAAUGUACAAAAAACAAAAUUGCAUCAAGUAAAUGUAACAGAAGAGGAAAAUAAGAGAUAUAUGUAGAAACAGAAAUCGAACAUAUCCGGGCAAACACAACAUCUCGCCGCGCAGAUAAAUUCUAGACGUACUUCCGAGGUGAAGAAAGAAGGUGGAUUUAGAAGCAGGAGAGCAAAGACCCGGGGAUGGGGGCGAGAAACAGAGUUCUAAUGCCUUUGGGUCUACAUCCCCUCUGGAUAUGUGUCUUGGAGUGUCUGAUCUCAUGGCCGUGGGGCUCAUGGUGGCCAGAGACGCCCUGCAGCCUACUAUGGUGCAAUAACUAACUCAAAUGCCAUUGACAGCAUGGAGCUAUGCCAGGAGUGUGGCGGCCCUCUUGGACAUCAGCGCACGCGUAGGAUGCUGGUACAUAGCGGUGGGCGCCGCCAUCGAGAUCAAGGUCGGGGGAGACGGGAGGGGUGCCCCUAGGCGUGCUAAAUAAAGGAGCCUGGGAGCUUGCCGGGCGCCUCCAUUGGUGUUAGGCUGCUGUUAAUGCAUGGGUGCUUAGAUGAGGUGCUAAGCACAUUAAAUAGUUUAACAACUAUACUCCCCAAUGCAUAGGUGCUUAGCUUAUGGUUGCUAAGCUUGCUUCAUUUAAUGAUUUAGCAACUAAAGCUCUUCAUGUAUUGGUGGGCUUUUUUUCUUUAAAUGUUUUGCCUAGGUUCACGAGCUUAGCAUUGUCUCUUCCUGGGUCACCACACUCAUCUCCCUCCUCUUAAAUAACUUGCCACAUCAGAUUUUUUGCCUAUGUGAAAAGCUUAGCACCUGUACAAGGUGGAGCAUUGGGAGGGGCCUUAAUGCACUUUUAGCAAUGGUAACAUUACUCCUCGCUUGAAUACCGGUGGACGAUCUCCAAUCACCCAUUGUUGGGGAACGUAGCAGAAAUUCAAAAUUUUCCUACGUGUCACCAAGAUCUAUCUAUGGAGAAACUAGCAACGAGGGGAAGGAGAGUGCAUCUACAUACCCUUGUAGAUCGCUAAGCGGAAGCGUUCAAGAGAACGGGGUUGAAGGAGUCGUACUCGUCGUGAUCCAAAUCAUCGGAGAUCCUAGUGCCGAACGGAUGGCACCUCCGCGUUCAACACACGUACAGCCCGGUGACGUCUCCCAUGCCUUGAUCCAGCAAGGAGAGAGGGAAAGGUUGAGGAAGACUCCAUCCAGCAGCAGCACAACGGCGUGGUGGUGAUGGAGGAGCGUGGCAAUCCUGCACGGCUUCGCCAAGCACCACGGGAGAGGAGGAGUACUUGGGAGAGGGGGAGGGCUGCGCCAGAACUUGGGUGUGGCUGCCCUCCCACCCCCACAUAUAUAUAGGGGCAAGGGAGAGGGGGGCCGGCCCCCUCAGAUCCAAUCUUAGGAGGGGGCGGCGGCUAGGGGGGUUGCCUUGCCCCCCAAGGCAAGGGGGGCGCCCCCUUUUAGGGUUUCCCCCAAGCCCUAGGCGCCUUGGGCCUUGGUGGACGGCGCACCAGCCCACCUGGGGCUGGUCCCCUCCCACACUUGGCCCAUGCAGCCCUCUGGGGCCGGUGGCCCCACUUGGUGGACCCCCGGGACCCUCCCGGUGGUCCCGGUACAUUAUCGAUAGCACCCGGAACUUUUCCGGUGACCAAAACAGGACUUCCCAUAUAUAAAUCUUUACCUCCGGACCAUUACGGAACUCCUCGUGACGUCCGGGAUCUCAUCCGGGACUCCGAACUACAUUCGGUAACCACAUACAAACUUCCUUUAUAACCCUAGCGUCAUCGAACCUUAAGUGUGUAGACCCUACGGGUUCGGGAACCAUGCAGACAUGACCGAGACCUUCUCCGGUCAAUAACCAGCAGCGGGAUCUGGAUACCCAUGUUGGCUCCCACAUGUUCCACGAUGAUCUCAUCGGAUGAACCACGAUGUCAAGGACUCAAUCGAUCCCGUAUACAAUCCCUUUGUCUAGCGGUAUAGUACUUGCCCGAGAUUCGAUCGUCGGUAUACCGAUACCUUGUUCAAUCUCGUUACCGGCAAGUCUCUUUACUCGUUCCAUAACACAUCAUCCCGCGAUCAAAUCUUUGAUCACGUUGUGCACAUUAUGAUGAUGUCUUACCGAGUGGGCCCAGAGAUACCUCUCCGUCACACGGAGUGACAAAUCCCAGUCUCGAUUCGUGCCAACCCAACAGACACUUUCGGAGAUACCUGUAGUGCACCUUUAUAGUCACCCAGUUACGUUGUGACGUUUGUUACACCCAAAGAAUUCCUACGGUAUCCGGGAGUUGCACAAUCCCAUGAUCUAAGGAAAAGAUACUUGACAUUAGAAAAGCUUUAGCAUACGAACUACACGAUCUCUGUGCUAGGCUUAGGAUUGGGUCUUGUCCAUCACAUCAUUCUCCUUAUGAUGUGAUCCCGUCAUCAAUGAUAUCCAAUGUCAAUGGUCAGGAAACCGUAACCAUUUAUUGAUCAACGAGCUAGUCAACUAGAGGCUUACUAGGGACAUGGUGUUGUCUAUGUAUCCACACAUGUAUCUGAGUUUCUUAUCAAUACAAUUAUAGCAUGGAUAAUAAACGAUUAUCAUGAACAAGAAAAUAUAAUAAUAACUAAUUUAUUAUUGCCUCUAGGGCAUAUUUCCAACACCCACUAUGCCGCAUCGCUGCCCAUUAAUGUGUCGCUAUCUCAUCACAUUUCCCGCACGCUGCCCUUCCGAAAGCAUACACUCUUUCUUGCGAUAUUCGUUGUGCUAACUGAGCCGAUAUUAAACAACAGAUGAUGGCAAGCGAAUAUGUUACGACGAGCUUAAAUGGGCUUCUUGUGGGAGAAGGGUAUGAUUAACCAUAAACCACCGAUUUUGUUACAGGAGUAGCAGCCAAUGAGGCAUACAGUCCACUUAGUGCUAUUUAAAAGUAUCUUACGGCCAAAAAACGACCAUCACAAAAUGAUCCAAUGGUUAGGAAUGGUGGUGGCCUGAGAGGGCAGGAAAGAUGCUCAGGUAUAAUGUGUCUACAUGUGCUUCCCACGGUAUUGAGCACGAACAUUUGUUGUGCUUGGACCAGCGUCCCUUAAGGUGCACACUAUCCGAAUAGACUUUGUUGGUUGCCACCCCCAUAUCUCUGGGACAUAGAGUGGAUGUGACUCUCACGGUGAUUGGUAAUGCACCAACUAUUGUCAUACCCAUGAAGCAACCGUACCAAAACAGGGCACUCACACCUACAUGAACUGCUGUUUGCUGACUCUGGCUUCCCCUGCACACCGGAUAGCACAUGUCAUGGUCAGCGCAACUAAAUUAGUGAUGGGAGCCCCACACAUAAAAGGACAGAAGAGAAGAGAGUGACGUUUUGGCACAUGGGAGCAUGCGUUCCUGAUUUUUAAAAUUUAUUUUAAACAUCCUUUGAAAUGUCAAAAAAUUUCAAACAAAAACUUGGCGCGUACAUUUCGAUAUUAUACAUGCUCACAAAAUUGUUUCUCAAAAAACCGACAACUCACGUGUUGCGUGUGAAAAAGAAAAAAUCCGGUGUUAAAAAAUGCUUUUCACUAAACAUCCUUUUGUCUUUUUUACACAAGCCAGAAAAAAUGAUUGGUUUUCUCCGAAACUUGACAUGCACACAUAUAAUGUCGAGAUGUAUGCGCCAAAUUUUUCUUUGGAAUUUUUUCACACUUUGAAAUAUUUUUUCGUGUGCAGGAGCGCGUGCUCCCGGGAGCACCAACAGAUAUCCAUAGAAUAGAUAAGCAGAAGGCACUACACGCCAAGUAGCCACAAAUGAUUUCCUGCAUCUAUUUGGUCCUCUCAGCGUUCAAUCUAGUCUUACAAUACCUGAUCCCAAACCCAAUCUCCCACGAAUACAAGUUGUAGAUGUCCUGCGCCUCACCUAGCGAGUAGCGAGUUGAAUUCAGUCCCAGUUCUGGCUUGAUUACACUCUCCCUAGCCUCCUCUGCACAUUUCCGAAUCGACUGCUCCAAUGCCAUCAUCCUACAUGGACAAGGCCUUUUGUCCGAUGGAGAACUCCUGAGGUGUAACCUGAUUUUUUUAGGAACACAGUCGAUCGGAUAGAUGCAGGCUUACCUCUUUUAUCCAUCCUGGUCCUCCGGAUUGACCCUAUCAACGAACACCAGAAAUAAUAAAAAUUAUAUCUAUAUCCGUAGACCACAUAGCAAAGAUUACAAGCACUAAAGCGAGCCGAAUGCGCGCCGCUAUCAUUACCCCUCCCUCAACGGAGCUGGGCAAAACUUGUUGUAGUAGACAAUCGGGAAGUCGUCGUGCUAAGGUCUGAUAUGUCUCCGUCGUAUCUACUUUUCCAAAAACUUUUUUCCCUGUUUUGGACUCUAACUUGCAUGAUUUGAAUGGAACUAACCCGGAGUGACGUUGUUUUCAGCAGAACUGCCAUGGUGUUAUUUCUGUGCAGAAAUAAAAGUUCUCGGAAUGACCUCAAAAUCCACGGAGCAAAUUUUCAGAAUUAAUAAAAAAUACUAGUGAAAGAAUCAGCGUUAGGGGGCCCACACCCUAUCCACGAGGGUGGGGGCGCCCCCCUCCCCUAGGGUGCGCCCCCUACCUCAUGGGCCCCCUGGACGUCCACCGACCUCAACUCCAACUCCAUAUAUUUGCUUUCAUGGAGAAAAAAAUCAGAGAGAAAGUUUCAUCGCGUUUUACGAUACGGAGCCGCCGCCAAGCCCUAAUCUCUCUCGGGAGGGCUGAUCUGGAGUCCGUUCGGGGCUCCGGAGAGGGGGAUUCGUCGUUGUCAUCAUCAUCAACCAUCCUCCAUCACCAAUUUCAUGAUGCUCACCGCCAUGCGUGAGUAAUUCCAUCGUAGGCUUGCUGAACGGUGAUGGGUUGGAUGAGAUUUACCAUGUAAUCAAGUUAGUUUUGUUAGGGUUUGAUCCCUAGUGAAGGAAAUAUGCCCUAGAGGCAAUAAUAAAGUUAUUAUUUAUUUCCUCAUAUCAUGCUAAAUGUUUAUUAUUCAUGCUAGAAUUGUAUUCACCGGAAACAUGAUACAUGUGUGAAUACAUAGACAAACAUAGUGUCACUAGUAUGCCUCUACUUGACUAGCUCAUUAAUCAAAGAUGGUUAUGUUUCCUAACCAUAGACAUGUGUUGUCAUUUGAUUAAUGGGAUCACAUCAUUAGGAGAAUGUUGUGAUUGACUUGACCCAUUCCGUUAGCUUAGCACUUGAUCGUCUAGUAUGUUGCUAUUGCUUUCUUCAUGACUUAUACAAAGUUCCUACAACUAUGAGAUUGUGCAACUCCCGUUUACUGGAGGAACACUUUGUGUGCUACCAAACGUCACAGUAUAACUGGGUGAUUAUAAAGGUGCUCUACAGGUGUUUCCAAAGGUACAUGUUGAGUUGGCAUAAUUCGAGAUUAGGUUUUGUCACUCCGAUUGUCGGAGAGGUAUCUCUGGGCCCUCUCGAUAAUACUCAUCACUUAAGCCUUGCAAGCAUUGUAACUAAUGAGUUAGUUAUGAAAUGAUGUAUUACGGAACGAGUAAAGAGACUUGCCGGUAACGACAUUGAACUAGGUAUUGGAUACCGACGAUCGAAUCUCGGGCAAGUUACAUACCGAUGACAAAGGGAACAACGUAUGUUGUUAUGCAGUUUGACCGAUAAUGAUCUUCGUAGAAUAUGUAGGAACCAAUAUGAACAUGCAGGUUCCACUAUUGGUUAUUGACCGAGAAUAGUUCUAGGUCAUGUCUACAUAGUUCUCGAACCCGUAGGGUCCGCACGCUUAACGUUACGAUGACAGUUUUAUUAUGAGUUUAUAAGUUUUGAUGUACCGAAGUUUGUUUGGAGUCCCGGAUGUGAUCACGGACAUGACGAGGAGUCUCGAAAUGGUCGAGACAUAAAGAUUGAUAUAUUGGACGACUAUAUUCAGACACCGGAAGUGUUCCGGGUGAUUUCGGAGAAAACCGGAGUGNNNNNNNNNNNNNNNNNNNNNNNNNNNNNNNNNNNNNNNNNNNNNNNNNNNNNNNNNNNNNNNNNNNNNNNNNNNNNNNNNNNNNNNNNNNNNNNNNNNNNNNNNNNNNNNNNNNNNNNNNNNNNNNNNNNNNNNNNNNNNNNNNNNNNNNNNNNNNNNNNNNNNNNNNNNNNNNNNNNNNNNNNNNNNNNNNNNNNNNNNNNNNNNNNNNNNNNNNNNNNNNNNNNNNNNNNNNNNNNNNNNNNNNNNNNNNNNNNCCUUGGUGGGAAGAGAGUGGGGCGGCCAGGGUGGGCCGCGCGCCUCCUCUCCCUCUCGUCCGAAUUGGACUAGGAGGGGGGGCGGCGCCCCCCUUUCCUUUCCCCCUCUCCCCCUUCCUUCCCACUCCUAGUAGGAGUAGGAAAGGAGGAAUCCUACUCCUUCUAGGAAGAGGAUUCCUCCUCCUUGGCACGUCCCAAGGGGCCGGCCGGCCUCCCCUCUUGCUCCUUUAUAUACGGGGGCAGGGGGGCACCCUGGGACACACAAGUUGAUCUACGAAUCGUUCCUUAGCCGUGUGCAGUGCCCCCCUCCACCAUAUUCCACCUCGGUCAUAUCGUCGCAGAGUUUAGGCGAAGCCCUGCGCCGGUAGAACAUCAUCAUGGUCACCACGCCGUCGUGCUGACGGUACUCAUCCCUGACGCUUUGCUGGAUUGGAGCCCGGGGAAUGUCAUCUAGCUGAACGUGUGCUGAACACGGAGGUGCCGUACGUUCGGUGCUUGGAUCGGUCGAGUCGUGAAGACGUACGACUACAUCAACCGCGUUGUGAUAACGCUUCCGCUUACGGUCUACGAGGGUACGUGGACAACACUCUCCCCUCUCGUUGCUAUGCCAUCACCAUGAUCUUGCGUGUGCGUAGGAAAAUUUUGAAAUUACUACGUUCCCCAACAGUGGCAUCCGAGCCUAGGUUUUAUGCGUUUAUGUUAUAUGCAUGAGUAGAACACAAGUGAGUUGUGGGCGACACAAGUCAUACUGCUUACCAGCAUGUCAUACUUUGGUUCAACGGUAUUGUUGGAUGAAGCGGCCCGGACCGACAUUACGCGUAUGCUUACGCGAGACUGGUUCUACCGACGGGCUUUGCACACAGGUGGCUGGCGGGUGUCAGUUUCUCCAACUUUAGUUGAACCGAGUGUGGCUACGCCCGGUCCUUGCGAAGGUUAAAACAGCACUAACUUGACGAACUAUCAUUGUGGUUUUGAUGCGUAGGUAAGAACGGUUCUUGCUAAGCCCGUAGCAGCCACGUAAAACUUGCAACGACAAAGUAGAGGACGUCUAACUUGUUUUUGCAGGGCAUGUUGUGAUGUGAUAUGGUCAAGACGUGAUGCUCUAUUUAUUGUAUGAGAUGAUCAUGUUUUGUAACCGAAGUUAUCGGCAACUGGCAGGAGCCAUAUGGUUGUCGCUUUAUUGUAUGAAAUGCAAACGCCCUGUAAUUGCUUUACUUUAUCACUAAGCGGUAGCGAUAGUCGUAGAAGCAAUAGAUGGCGUAAACGACAACGAUGCUACGAUGGAGAUCAAGGUGUCGCGCCGGUGACGAUGGUGAUCACGACGGUGCUUCGGAGAUGGAGAUCACAAGCACAAGAUGAUGAUGGCCAUAUCAUAUCACUUAUAUUGAUUGCAUGUGAUGUUUAUCCUUUAUGCAUCUUAUCUUGCUUUGGUUGACGGUAGCAUUUUAAGAGGUGUUCUCUCUGAAUAUGCACCGUUGCCAAAGUUCCUCGUGCCCAGACACCACGUGAUGAUCGGGUAUGAUAAGCUCUACGUCCAUCUACAACGGGUGCAAGCCAGUUUUGCACACGCAGAAUAUUCAGGUUAUACUUGACGAGCCUAGCAUAUGCAGAUAUGGCCUCGGAACACAAAGACCGAAAGGUCGAGCGUGAAUCAUAUAGUAGAUAUGAUCAACAUAGUGAUGUUCACCAUUGAAAACUACUCCAUCUCACGUGAUGAUCGGUUAUGGUUUAGUUGAUUUGGAUCACGUAAUCACUUAGAUGACUAGAGAGAUAUCUAUCUAAGUGGGAGUUCUUAAGUAAUAUGAUUAAUUGAACUUAAAUUUAUCAUGAACUUAGUACCUGAUAGUAUUUUUAUUGUCUAUGUUUGUUGUAGAUAGAUGGCUCGUGCUGUUGUUCCAUUGAAUUUUAAUGCGUUCCUUGAGAAAGCAAAGUUGAAAGAUGAUGGUAGCAAUUACACGGACUGGGUCCAUAACUUGAGGAUUAUCCUCAUUGCUGCACAGAAGAAUUACGUCCUGGAAGCACCGCUGGGUGCCAGGCCUGCUGCAGGAGCAACACCAGAUGUUGUGAACGUCUGGCAGAGCAAAGCUGAUGACUACUCUAUAGUUCAGUGUGCCAUGCUUUACGGCUUAGAACCGGGUCUUCAACGACGUUUUGACUGUCAUGGAGCAUAUGAGAUGUUCCAGGUGUUGAAGUUAAUAUUUCAAGUAAAUGCCCGGAUUGAGAGAUAUGAAGUCUCCAAUAAGUUCUACAGCUGCAAGAUGGAGGAGAAUAGUUCUGUUAGUGAGCAUAUAGUCAAAAUGUCUGGGUAUAAUAAUCACUCGAUUCAACUGGGAGUUAAUCUUCCGGAUGAUAGCAUCAUUGACAGAAUUCUCCAAUCACUGCCACCAAGCUACAAGAGCUUCGUGAUGAACUAUAAUAUGCAAGGGAUGAACAAGACAAUUCCCGAGCUCUUCGCAAUGCUAAAGGCUGCGGAGGUAGAAAUCAAGAAGGAGCAUCAAGUGUUGAUGGUCAACAAGACCACUAGUUUCAAGAAAAAGGGCAAAGGGAAGAAGAAGGGGAACUUCAAGAAGAACAGCAAGCAAGUUGCUGCUCAAGAGAAGAAACCCAAGUCUGGACCUAAGCCUAAAACUGAGUGCUUCUACUGCAAGCAAACUGGUCACUGGAAGCGGAACUGCCCCAAGUAUUUGGCGGAUAAGAAGGAUGGCAAAGUGAACAAAGGUAUAUGUGAUAUACAUGUUAUUGAUGUGUACCUAACUAGAGCUCGUAGUAGCACCUGGGUAUUUUAUACUGGUUCUAUUGCUAAUAUUUGCAACUCGAAACAGGGACUACGGAAUAAGCGAGCACUGGCCAAGGACGAGGUGACGAUGCGCAUGGGAAACGGUUCCAAAGUCGAUGUGAUCGCGGUCGGCACGCUACCUCUACAUCUACCUUCGGGAUUGUCUUAGACCUGAAUAAUUGUUAUUUGGUGCCAAUGUUGAGCAUGAACAUUAUACCUGGAUCUUGUUUGAUGUGAGACGAUUAUUCAUUUAAAUCAGAGAAUAAUGGUUGUUCUAUUUAUAUGAGUAAUAUCUUUUAUGGUCAUGCACCCUUGAAGAGUGGUCUAUUUUUAUUGAAUCUCGAUAGUAGUGAUACACAUAUUCAUAAUGUCCAAGCCAAAAGAUGCAGAGUUGAUAAUGAUAGUGCAACUUAUUUGUGGCACUGCCGUUUAGGUCAUAUCGGUGUAAAGCGCAUGAAGAAACUCCAUACUGAUGGACUUUUGGAAUCACUUGGUACUUGCGAAUCGUGCCUCAUGGGCAAGAUGACUAAAACACCGUUCUCCGGUACUAUGGAGAGAGCAACAGAUUUGUUUGAAAUCAUACAUACAGAUGUAUGUGGACCGAUGAAUAUUGAAGCUCGUGGCGGAUAUCGUUAUUUUCUCAGCUUCACAGAUGAUUUGAGCAGAUAUGGGUAUAUCUACUUAAUGAAACACAAGUCUGAAACAUUUGAAAAGUUCAAAGAAUUUCAGAGUGAAGUGGAAAAUCAUCGUAACAAGAAAAUUAAGUUUCUACGAUCUGAUAGUGGAGGAGAAUAUUUGAGUUACGAGUUUGGUUUACAUUUGAAACAAUGCGGAAUAGUUUCGCAACUCACGCCACCCGGAACACCACAACGUAAUGGUGUGUCCGAACGUCGUAGUCGUACUUUACUAGAUAUGGUGCGAUCUAUGAUGUCUCUUACUGAUUUACCGCUAUCGUUUUGGGGUUAUGCUUUAGAGCUGGCUGCAUUCACAUUGAAUAGGGCACCAUCAAAAUCCGUUGAGACGACGCCUUAUGAACUAUGGUUUGGCAAGAAACCAAAGUUGUUGUUUCUUAAAGUUUGGGGCUGCGAUGCUUAUGUGAAGAAACUUCAACCAGAUAAGCUCGAACCCAAAUCGGAGAAAUGUGUCUUCAUAGGAUACCCAAAAGAGAGACUGUUGGGUACACCUUCUAUCACAGAUCCGAAGGCAAGACAUUCGUUGCUAAGAAUGGAUCCUUUCUAGAAAAAGAGUUUCUCUCGAAAAAAGUGAGUGGGAGGAAAGUAGAACUUGAUGAGAUAACCAUGUCUGCUCCCUCAUUGGAAAGUAGUUCAUCACAGAAAUCAGUUCUUGUGACAUCUACACCAAUUAGUGAGGAAGAUAAUGAUAUUGAUCAUGAAACUUCAGAUCAAGUUUCUACUGAACCUCGUAGGUCUACCAGAAUAAAAUCUGCACCAGGGUGAUACGGUAAUCCUAUUCUGGAAGUCAUGUUACUUGACCAUGAUGAACCUACGAACUAUGAGGAAGCGAUGAUGAGCCCAGAUUCCGCAAAAUGGCUAGAAGCCAUGAAAUCUGAGAUGGGAUCCAUGUAUGAAAACAAAGUAUGGACUUUGGUUGACUUGCCCGAUGAUCGGCAAGCAAUUGAGAAUAAAUGGAUCUUUAAGAAGAAGACUGACGCUGACGGUAAUGUAACUGUCUAUAAAGCUUGACUUGUUGCGAAAGGUUUUCGACAAGUUCAAGGGGUUGACUACGAUGAGACUUUCUCACCCAUAGUGAUGCUUAAGUCUGUCUGAAUCAUGUUAGCGAUUGCCGCAUUUUAUGAUUAUGAAAUUUGGCAGAUGGAUGUCAAAACUGCAUUUCUGAAUGGAUUUCUGGAAGAAGAGUUGUAUAUGAUGCAACCGGAACAUUUUGUCGAUCCUAAGGGAGCUAACAAAGUGUGCAAGCUCCAGCGAUCAAUCUAUGGUCUGGUGCAAGCCUCUCGGAGUUGGAAUAAAUGCUUUGAUAGUGUGAUCAAAGCAUAUGGUUUUAUACAGACUUUUGGAGAAGCCUGUAUUUACAAGAAAGUGAGUGGGAGCUCUGUAGCAUUUCUAAUAUUAUAUGUGGAUGACAUAUUGUUGAUUGGAAAUGAUAUAGAAUUUCUGAAUGGCAUAAAAGGAUACUUGAAUAAAAGUUUUUCAAUGAAAGACCUCGGUGAAGCUGCUUACAUAUUGGGCAUUAAGAUCUAUAGAGAUAGAUCAAGACGCUUGAUUGGACUUUCACAAUGCACGUACCUUGAUAAAGUGUUGAAAAAGUUCAAUAUGGAUCAGGCGAAGAAAGGGUUCUUGCCUGUAUUACAAGGUAUAAAGUUGAGUCAGACUCAAUGCCCGACCACUGCAGAAGAUAGAGAGAAAAUGAAAGGAGUUCCCUAUGCUUCAGCCAUAGGAUCUACCAUGUAUGCAAUGCUGUGUACCAGACCUGAUGUGUGCCUUGCUAUUAGUUUGGCAGGGAGGUACCAAAGUAAUCUAGGAGUGGGUCACUGGACAGCGGUCAAGAACAUCCUGAAAUACCUGAAAAGGACUAAGGAUAUGCUUCUCGUAUAUGGAGGUGACAAAGAGCUAGUCGUAAAUGGUUACGUCGAUGCAAGCUUUGACACUGAUCCGGACGAUUCUAAAUCGCAAACCGGAUACGUAUUUUUGUUAAACGGUGGAGAUGUAAGUUGGUGCAGUUCUAAACAAAGCGUCGUGGCGGGAUCUACAUGUGAAGCAGAGUACAUAACUGCUUCGGAAGCAGCAAAUGAAGGAGUCUGGAUGAAGGAGUUCAUUUCUGAUCUAGGUGUUAUACCUAGUGCAUCGGGACCAAUGAAGAUCUUCUGUGACAAUACUGGUGCAAUUGCCUUGGCAAAGGAAUCCAGAUUUCACAAGAGGACGAAGCACAUCAAGAGAAGCUUCAAUUCCAUUCGGGACCAAGUCCAAGUGGGAGACAUAGAGAUUUGCAAAAUACAUACGGAUCUGAAUGUUCCAGACCCAUUGAGUAAGCCUCUCUCACGAGCAAAACAUGAUCAGCACCAAGACUCCAUGGGUGUUAGAAUCAUUACUAUGUAAUCUAGAUUAUUGACUCUAGUGCAAGUGGGAGACUGAGGGAAAUAUGCCCUAGAGGCAAUAAUAAAGUUAUUAUUUAUUUCCUCAUAUCAUGAUAAAUGUUUAUUAUUCAUGCUAGAAUUGUAUUAACCGGAAACAUGAUACAUGUGUGAAUACAUAGACAAACAUAGUGUCACUAGUAUGCCUCUACUUGACUAGCUCAUUAAUCAAAGAUGGUUAUGUUUCCUAACCAUAGACAUGUGUUGUCAUUUGAUUAAUGGGAUCACAUCAUUAGGAGAAUGUUGUGAUUGACUUGACCCAUUCCGUUAGCUUAGCACUUGAUCGUUUAGUAUGUUGCUAUUGCUUUCUUCAUGACUUAUACAAAGUUCCUACAACUAUGAGAUUGUGCAACUCCCGUUUACCGGAGGAACACUUUGUGUGCUACCAAACGUCACAACGUAACUGGGUGAUUAUAAAGGUGCUCUACAGGUGUCUCCAAAGGUACAUGUUGAGUUGGCAUAAUUUGAGAUUAGGUUUUGUCACUCCGAAUGUCGGAGAGGUAUCUCUGGGCCCUCUCGGUAAUACUCAUCACUUAAGCCUUGCAAGCAUUGUAACUUAUUAGUUAUUUAUGAAAUGAUGUAUUACGGAACGAGUAAAGAGACUUGCCGGUAACGAGACUGAACUAGGUAUUGGAUACCGAUGAUCGAAUCUCGGGCAAGUAACAUAGCGAUGACAAAGGGAACAACGUAUGUUGUUAUGCGGUUUGACCGAUAAAGAUCUUCGUAGAAUAUGUAGGAACCAAUAUGAACAUCCAGGUUCCACUAUUGGUUAUUGACCGAGAAUAGUUCUAGGUCACGUCUAUAUAGUUCUCGAACACGUAGGGUCCGCACGCUUAACGUUAUGAUGAUAGUUUUAUUAUGAGUUUAUAAGUUUUGAUGUACCGAAGUUUGUUCGGAGUCCCGGAUGUGAUCACGGACAUGACGAGGAGUCUCAAAAUGGUCAAGACAUAAAGAUUGAUAUAUUGGACGACUAUAUUCGAACACCGGAAGUGUUCCGGGUGAUUUCGGAGAAAACCAGAGUGUCGGAGGGUUACCGGAACCCUCCCGGGAGAGUUAAUGGGCCACAUGGGCCUUGGUGGGAAGAGAGAGGGCGGACAGGGUGGGCCAUGCGCCCCCUCUCCCUCUAGUCCGAAUUGGACUAGGAGGGGGGGCGGCGCCCCCCUUUCCUUUCCCCCUCUCCCCCUUCCUUCCCCCUCCUAGUAGGAGUAGAAAAGGAGGAAUCCUACUCCUACUAGGAGGAGGAUUCCUCCUCCUUGGAGCGCCCCAAGGGGCCGGCCGGCCUCCCCCCCUUGCUCCUUAGGACACACAAGUUGAUCUACGGAUCGUUCCUUAGCCAUGUGCGGUGCCCCCCUCCACCAUAUUCCACCUCGGACAUAUCGUCGCGGAGUUUAGGCGAAGCCCUGCGCCGGUAGAACAUCAUCAUCGUCACCACAUCGUCGUGCUGACGAAACUCAUCCCCGGCGCUUUGCUGGAUUGGAGCCUGGGGAACGUCAUCGAGCUGAACGUGUGCUGAACACGGAGGUGCCGUACGUUCGGUGCUUGGAUCGGUCGAGUCGUGAAGACGUACGACUACAUCAACCGCGUUGUGAUAACGCUUCCGCUUACGGUCUACGAGGGUACGUGGACAAUACUCUCCCCUCUCGUUGCUAUGCCAUCACCAUGAUCUUGUGUGUGCGUAGGAAAAUUUUGAAAUUACUACGUUCCCCAACACCUAGUAUCCACUAUGUUCUGAGUUUGAUGUUGCUAUGACUUUGCUAUGCUCAAUGCUUGUCACUAGGACCCAAGUGCCAUGAUUUUAUAUAUGAACCUAUUAUGUUUUCAUGAAUAUAUGUGAGUUCUUGAUCCUAUCAUGCAAGUCUAUAGUCACCUAUUAUGUGUUAUGAUUCCACAACCCCGAAGUGACAAUAAUUGGGAUACUUCUCGGUGAUGACCGUAGUUUGAGGAGUUCAUGUAUUCACUAUGUGUUAAUGCUUUGGUCCGGUACUCUAUUAAAAGGAGGCCUUAAUAUCCCUUAGUUUCCAUUAGGACCCCGCUGCCGCGGGAGGGUAGGACAAAAGAUGGCAUGCAAGUUCUUUUCCAUAAGCACAUAUGACUAUAUUCAGAAUACAUGCCUACAUUACAAUGAUGAACUGGAGCUAGUUCUGUGUCACCCUAUGUUAUAACUAUUACAUGAGGAAUCGCAUCCGACAUAAUUAUCCAUCACUGAUCCAAUGCCUAUGAGCUUUUCACAUAUUGUGCUUUGCUUAUUUACAUUACCGUUGCCACUGUUACAAUUACUACAAAACUGCUACCGUUACUUUUGCUACCGUUACCGUUACUUCCAUACUACUUUGCUACUAAAUACUUUGCUGCAGAUACUAAGUUAUCCAGGUGUGGUUGAAUUGACAACUCAACUGCUUAAUACUUAAGAAUAUUCUUUGGCUCCCCUUGUGUCGAAUCAAUAAAUUUGGGUUGAAUACUCUACCCUCGAAAACUGUUGCGAUCCCCUAUACUUGUGGGUUAUUAAGACUAUUUUCUGGCACCGUUGCCUAGGAGCAUAGAUCUAUUCUUUGAAUCACUUGAGAUUUCUAUCUGCUGGUCACUAUGAGGAACUUCAAAGACGAAAGAACUAAGAUUUAUCCCUCAACUACGAGGGGAGAUAAGGAACUACCAUCUAGAUCUGCACUAGAUUCUCCUUCUGUUAUGAGUAAGCUUGCGACACCUAAACCUGCUUCUGCUAUUAAUUCUGAUAUUUCGCAUGUUAUUGAUGAUGCCACUUCUACUAUGCAUGAUACUUAUGAUGAAACUACUUUUGUGCUUGAUACUACUGUGCCAUUAGGUGAAUAUCUUGAUGCACAACUUGCUAGGGUUAGAGAGAAAGAAAUUCUUGAAACUGAUAUUAUUGAAGAUAGUGAUGAUGAAGGUUCUCCCCCUAAAUAUGAAUUGCCUGUUGUUCCUGAGGGUUAUGUUAUGGAUGAAGAAACUGUUAGAGAUUUUCUUGCUUGCAAUGAUAGAUCUGAUCUUAAGAAGUUAUUAGCUAAACUGAAACAGAAAACUCUGAAUGCUAGAAUGAAAUAUGACCGUGCUUUUUCUACUUCACCUAUCUUUAUUACUGAUAAGGAUUAAGAUUUCUCUGUUGAUCCUGAGAUAAUUACUUUGGUUGAAUCUGAUCCUUUCUAUGGCUAUGAAUUUGAAACUGUUGGGGCACAUCUUACUAAGUUAAAAGAUAUAGCCACCCUGUUCACUAAUGAUGAGAAAUCUCGCUACUACUAUAUUCUUAAGAUAUUUGCGUUCUCAUUAAAGGGUGAUGCUAAAACUUGGUUUAAUUAUUUUGAUCCUGGUUGUGUGGGUAGUCCCCGGGAUAUGAUUUAUUACUUCUCUGCUAAAUAUUUCCUUGCUCAUAAGAAACAAGCUGCCUUGAGGGAAAUAUAUAAUUUUGUGCAAAUUGAAGAAGAGAGUCUCCCACAAGCUUGGGGGAGGCUUCUCCGGUUGCUUAAUGCUUUGCCUGAUCAUCCUCUUAAGAAAAACGAAAUACUUGAUAUCUUUUACUAACUGAUGCUUCCAAGGACAACUUGGAUAGUUGUGCUGGUUGUGUUUUCAGGGAAAGAACAGUCGAUCAAGCUAAAUUGCUAUUGAAUAAUAUGUUGACUAAUGAAAAUAAUUGGACUCUUCCUGAGCCAAUUCUUGAGCCAACUCCUAAACCUACUCCGAAGAAGAGGGGUGUUCUAUUUCUUAGUCCCGAAGAUAUGCAAGAGGGAAAGAAAUCUAUGAAAGAAAAAGGUAUUAAAGCUAAAGGUGUUAAGAAUUUACCUCCUGUUGAAGAAAUACAUGGUCUUAAUUUACCACCUAUUGAAGAAACACAUGGUCUUGAUAACCCGACACAGGUAGUAAAGGUAAAUUCUCUCUAUAGAUAUGAUAAGGUUGAAAUCCCGUCUACUAAGUUUGCUAGCCAAUGCUUGGAUGAAUUUGAUGACUUUAUGGCUAGACAAGAAAAUUUCAAUGCUUAUGUUGGUAGAGAAUUAAAGAGUAAUUCUUAUAUGAUUGGACGCUUGAGUGAUUAUAUGGCUAGAGUUAAAGGUGAACUUAAACUCAUUAGUAAAUAUGCUUCUAUGGUUACCACUCAAGCAGAAUAAGUACUUAAAGCUCAAAGUCAUUUGCUCGAUGAAUUAAAUAAUAAACAUGAUUUUGUAUUUAUAGUGGCUACUAGAACGGGUAGAAUGACUCAGGAACCUUUGUAUCCUGAAGGCCACCCUAAGAGAAUUGAGCAAGAUUCUCAGAGAAAUAAUGUAGAUGCACCUAGUCCUUCUAAAAAGAAGAAAAAGAAAAAUGAUAGGACUUUGCAUGCUUCUAGUGAACCCGUUGUAGACACACCUGAGAAUCCCAAUGAUACUUCUAUUUCUGAUGUUGAAACACAAUCUGGUGAUGAACAUGAACCUAGUGAUAAUGUUAAUGAUAAUGUUCAUGUUGAUGCUCAACCUAGAAAUAAUAAUGAUGUAGAGAUUGAACCUGCUGUUGAUCUUGAUAACCCACAAUCAAAGAAUCAACGUUAUGAUAAGAGUGAUUUUGUUGCUAGGAAGCACGGUAAAGAAAGAGAACCAUGGGUUCAGAAACCCAUGCCUUUUCCUCCUAAGCCAUCUAAGAAAAAGGAUGAUGAGGAUUUUGAGCACUUUGCUGAAAUGAUUAGACCUAACUUCUUACGUAUGCGCUUAACUGAUAUGCUUAAAGUGAAUCCUUAUGCUAAAUACAUGAAGGAUAUUAUUACAAAUAAAAGAAAGAUACCGGAAGCUGAAAUUUCCACCAUGCUUUCUAAUUAUACUUUUAAAGAUGGAAUACCUAAGGAACUAGGAGAUCCAGGAGUACCAACUAUACCAUGCUCCAUUAAAAGAAACUAUGUUAAAACUGCUUUAUGUGAUCUUGGAGCCGGUGUUAGUGUUAUGCCUCCCUCUUUAUAUCGUAGACUUGAAUUGAAUAAGUUGAGACCUACUGAAAUAUCUUCGCAAAUGGCCGAUAAAUCAACUGCUAUACCUGUCGGUAUUUGUGAGGAUGUGCCUGUUGUGGUUGCAAACAUCACUAUCUUAACGAACUUUGUGAUUCCUGAUAUUCCUGAGGACAAUAGCAUGUAUAUUAUCCUUGGUAGACCCUUUUUGAAUACUGUAGGGGUUGUUAUUGAUUGCAACAAAGGCAAUGUCACUUUUCAUAUUAAUGGUAAUGAGCAUACGGUACACUUUCCGAGGAAACAACCUCAAGUUCAUAGCAUCAAUUCUAUUAGAAAAAUUCCAACUAUUAUUAUUGGAGGUUUUGAAUUUCCUCUUCCUACUGUCAAGAAGAAAUAUGAUAUUCUUAUUUUUGGGGAUGUGCAUAUCCCCAUUAAGGUAACCUGGUGUCAUUCGAAAUUUCUCCGGUUCCAUGUUAUUCGGAAUGAGUUUGUUAACAAGACUUGAUCAACCUUGUUAGUGGAUUCCUUUUGAUGAGCAUGAGAUGGAUGAAGUUAGAAAGCACAACCUCCUGUACCCUCCUUUUACUUUCUGUUAUUUAGAUUAAAUAAAGUAAAAAUAGUAUUUUCUGUCUGUUUUCUGGAUUAUCCAUGCAAUAAACAAUACCCCGAAAAUAAAAUUUCUCCAAAUGCCCUACAAAUUUAGUAUGAUUUUUCUGGAAAAUUUGAGAAUAUUUGGCACUGAGAACACAACAGGGGGAGCUGGCACCUGGCCACGAGGGUCCAGGGCGCGCCCACCCCUAUAGGGCACACCCCCUGCCUCGUGGGCCCAUGGUGGCCCCCUCCACUUAUUCCCGCACCCACACACUUCUUCUUCCUCCCAAAAAAAUCACCAUCUAGCUCAAGCACGAGUUCUAGCUCAUUUUGCUGCAGUUUUUGAUCUCCUUGCUCAAAGUUCCAUUCACAAAACUGCUUUGGGAGAUUGUUCCUUGGUAUGUGACUCCUCCAAUGGUCCAAUUAGUUUUUGUUCUAGUGCUUUAUUCAUUGUGGCACCCCGGCUCAGAGAAACCGGAACGCCCCGUAUUCCAGCCCAAAGAUCAAGGAGAAGUCUUCUAGAAUACGGCACUGCUUAGCAUAGAACAAACCAGCUUUCUACUAUUACACAAAUAUGAAUACAAGGUCUCCGAUAUUACAAUGAAUAACAUCGAUACGGCGACACUAUGCCAUCCUCGGUUACUCUAUGCAAGCAGCAGAACAACUCGAAGUAGCGGAAGAACUCUAGCAGCGGACCAAUGACGAUGGUGGUGAACUCCACUCCGCAGGGACUCUGGCUAGAACGCUUAUCCUAACUCCGUCGUGGCCCGUCCCACUCUAGGACAAGGAUCCGAAAACUAACUCAACAAUGGGCACACAAGGCUUAUGUCCGCCUACCUAAUCGGGGUAGCGCGCGCCCAUAACCUUCCCUCGUUGGAGGCACCGGCGAGAGGCACAACAAUAGACCCAGUUAGGACCGACCCAUACCGGUAAGCGUGGUUGCACUGGUCAGCAUCGAUUCAGCGGCACCAUGACUCAGCCAACAGUUGUUCAAGUUCAAUUUAAUCCGGUUAACUUGAAUGCAAAUAUGCUGAGUCAUGAUAAAAUGCAUGAACAUGAUAUCAACAUCAUCAUGAGUGUAUCACAUAACUUUCCACCAUAUCAACAAUAAAUCAUAUCCACUGAGCAUGGCAUACUGACUAGCACGACCAUCACCAACAUCAACAUGUACUACUAGCAAUCAUAAAUAUAUGAAAGUUAAUACUAGCAGGUAGAACAUGAUAACAGAGUACAAGACAUCAUAGCACAAAGGUUAACAUGCAACUCUAAACAUCACCGGAACAACGAUAACCAUCUUGUCAACAAGCAAAUAUUUAAUAAAGAUUCAAGUUGAAAACCAUGGCUACUGCACGACUAUCAUGCAAGUGGGUAUUGUGGCUUGCCUGGGGAUGAAGAAGGCACCGGGGAGAAGUGCGGUGAAGCCGCGAAACGAAUUGCUGGAAAAUGUUGUCUCUCGGAGGGGGCUGACUAAGGGCAAGGGCAAAAUGUUCAUUUUCAGUAUGCCAAAACAUAAUGAAAGUUAGACCAACAGAAAGGGCUCGACGAAACAAAGAAGUGAGCAUUGGAUUCACCUCGUUUGGAGUUACGGAUAAAAAGAUAUAAGGGUUUUACUGUGAGGGACCUAUCUGUAAACAUUUAUUUUACAGAUUGGGCCAAAACAAAAAAACGGAAAGCGCAUGCCAAGAUUUACGUUUCCACUUAUCCAGCGUGACAGUGGCGGGGCCGGCUCCUGUGUGGCCGACAGGCGGGUCCCACCUUAUCCACUCCCUCUCUCUCCCCCCUUCUCUUCUUCCUCUCUCCUUCUCCCGACGCCGCACGCAGAGCAGAGGAGAGGCCGCCGGCGCCGACGCUCGCUCCGGCCACUCGGGCCACCUCCGACGGAGCUUGGACCGCCGGAGUGCUCAGGACGGCGAGGCGCACCCGUCCCACCACCACACGAACAUCGGGGAGACUCGGGCAGGGCGGGACCAUGGCCACGGCGAACGGGGCUUCGGCCGAUGAUAGAGGACAAGGCCAUGGCAAUUCCGGCGACUAACGGAGGGCUGCAGAGAGGCUAUGAUGGCUGGCUGACCUACUAGAGGUGGAAGAUACAGGAGAGGGGCUUCGGUUCGGCGGAAUCGGACUGGACAGGGGCGGCGGCCAUGGCGGCAAGGGCGGGCUCAGGAGCUCUUGGAGUUCGAACGAGUGGACGGGGAGGUUGCUGGGAGUGAGGCGAGUCUCGGGGUGAGCUCAGACAAGGCCGGGGAUGGCUUAAAUAGCCGCGGGGCAAGGUGGCCGACCUGGCACCACCGCGGACGCGUGGCCGGCGCCACGGACGCGUGCCCGCGCGCAUGAACUCAGGGGAAAACGACGGAGGAGGAGGAGUGGGGGCUCUCAUGGGGCAGAGGAUGCCAAUGGGGCGCAGGGAGGAAGACUACGGUCACGGGAAGAUCCAAAACCCCACUGUGCUCUCGUGUUCACGCGGCGGCGAGCGUCGAUGAGCAAGCAGACGGAGGGGGAGAGGGGUCCAGGGGAACGACGAUGAGGAGAGGAAGACAAUGGACAGGCUCACGAGCGCGAAAACGGCAAGAGGGGGAGGGGCGCGAGCAAGAAGACGCUCUGGGCGUGGCCAUUGCACGCCAAAACGGUGGUCACCAUGUGAACCGGUGCACACAGUGCCACAAGUGAUGCCAAACCAUGUCUGGGGGUUAGUCCCUCAUGGGUAAGUUGUAACUACGGGGGUAACUAAGUGAAAACGUCUCUGGUUAAAUACUUAGUGAGCUCUGAAGUUUACUGCAGUAAACUUUACCAGCUCAAUAUGAUCAACAGGGAGUUACCUGAAGCCACGGAAUUUGUCUGGGGUGUAUAGCUAUGGAGGGACUAUGAUCCUGGAGGUUUUGAGGGGAAAUGGAACAAGAUAAAUCGUAUUUGCUUUGCAACUGCCAAAAUGGUCCAGAAAUGAAGAUUAGGAUGGUGCACUCACAUGGAGUGUCCACUUGAGCUCAAAUUGGGCAAGGCUUAGUCAUUUGGUCAUAUGAAGAUGCUCACAAAGUAUCAUACCAUUUGGCAAAGCCAAAAUGGUACUUGCUUCACAAACAUCUCUACUGACCAGAAACUUGAAAUAAUUAUGGUGAUCAAAUGGAUCAAUGAAAUGAUGCCAAAUUGGGUGGAGAGAUGUUUUAUGGGUAUAAGAAGGAUCUGGUAAUUUAUCAGGAUUUUUGAAGCAAUAUAAAAUACACUUCCUUCACAACCUGGAAAUAUUGCUAGAAACAAAGAUUUGCUCCUAUGCUCACAUAGAUAAUUGGAUGGGGCUGCAUAUGGGUGGAAGGGGUUAGUAUGAGCACUUUAAGGAGUGUGCAAAAUUUUAACUCAUUUUGAGACUCCUUGCUAGUACUUCCUGCAUAAAGCCUUCCGUUUGACAGAAACUUUGAAAAAUCACUGAGGAAGAUUGGCUAGGCAAAUAAAUUUAAACUUGUGCAUGGGGCAAUUAUUUGGACAUGUAAACAUGCCCAAAAAGGUUGGGAUUCAAUAGGAGAAAUAUAAAUGACACUUCCUUCACAAAGUGCCAUGCAGGGCAAAAUAGAAAAAGGAAUUUUUGGGGAAUUAUUUAAUGGAAAUAAAAAGUUUUGCCAUAUUUGAGCAAGAUAUGACCCAAACAAUUUAUGAGAAUUAUUUGGGAAUUUUUGGAGUAAUGGAAACAGAGGUUGCUUCACAACCUAGGGCAAUUUGAGUUAUUCUUUAAUUGAAAAGGAAUAUUCCCAAUAAAAAGAAUAUUAAGAUUUGGGCUAGGAUGGAAAUGACAGGGUCUAGCGAAAGAUUUGGGGAUGACAAGCCACUCUGCAAGCAAAGAAGAGGUCAUCUCGUUCAGUUUCCAGACCACAAAGCCACGGAAAAAGAAAACUCAGGCAAAAACCUCAGAAAAACAAAAGAAAAAGAAAGGGCCAAAAAUCAGGCUGUCACAAACCUUACCCCCUUAAAGAAAUCUCGUCCUCGAGAUUUGGUUGCUCAGGGAACAAGUAUGAAUAUUCUGACUUGAGGAAACCGUUUCCAACUCGGGUAUCCUUUUUUCCUUUAUUGGUGUUCCCAUUAAAUUUUUAUCUGACUGGCCCUGGGGUGGUUUGAUUUGCUUUAUCCACAUUCUGACAGAUCUUACCUUGCUUGCUCAUGCUUAUAUAGGCUCCAAUUUCUUUUUAGAUCUGCUGACUAGCUGAGUGUGAUUUAAUUAUCACGACUGAAAUAUAUGUCCGUCUCACAAAUCCAAAAGUGAUUUCCGCUGGGUGUGCCACCUGGCACUGACAACCUUUCAUGUAAUGAUGAUUUCUGAUGAAAACUCAAGCUCUGACUCAUUGCAUUGGGUUUCUCCACUAAAUGCAGGUCCUUUGGGUUCCAAACAGUGAGUUAAAACAUAACCAUUUCCUGACAGAUUCUGACGCAUCGCAGGAGUUUCUGAAUCAUCUUACCGGUUCCACUGUCGUGAGUAUCGGAUCCGUACCAAAUAUUUGAUUGUCUCCUGUCGCGGCCAGCAUAAAGGGUUUGGCCUGUAUUAUAAUAUCUGCAGAGUUGACUGAUGGUGGUUCUGACGGAAAACUUUUGUUCAUGACAGGCUGUCCAUGAUGAUUCAUAUUAGUGAGGACUCAGGCUUCCAGACUGUUAUCCUCAUGCUGAUUAUUCAUGCUGUAGGCAUAUCCAUGUGGAUCAAUUACUGACUUAGACUGUCCGGGGAAUCUGCACCAUGGGGGUCAUGUACGAUUUUCAUACCUGCCUCACUGGUCUUGCUCCUUCAUUAUUGUUUUCUUGGUCUGGAUCUUUGGCUAAAAGAGCUGGGCCAUAUUGUUUCUUUGUAUGACCAUAGAUACUGUUGGUGCAAUUUUCUCAGCAAUCGUAGCUUAUUCUCAUUUUUCUAACAGGGUAACCCAUUAAAUGGCAGGUUCAACACCUCUCAAGUUCUGAUUGUUGGGAAAUGAUCAUCCAAAAUCCUUGCAAGAACUCUGCAAAUAAAUCAGUAGCCACCAGAAUGGUCUUUAUAACUCAGAUCUGGGACAUUACUGAAAUAACUCAACCACGGCUCAAGACGGCCGAAAAACAGCUCAGGGCAUGAGACCGGGUCGAUAAGAAGAAGGUGGCAGCUCCCUAAAAUAGCCAAAAGCAGCUAUAGGGCUACUGUCACAAAAAGAAACUCAACAGCUGUACGAGACAGCCGAAAAGUAGCUCAGACUCGUGAUAGUUGUUGAAGAGAGAAACAAAAAUCGGCAUCCACCCCGGAUAGCUAGAAACAUCUUAGGUCACAGGCGUGGUGCCGUCAUUGGAGAAAAGGGGACAAGGGCCCAUCAGGAUCAUUUUCCAGGUUCACGGGUACUUGUAUUGAGCUCAUUGAUGUCGUCAAUCCUCAUAAUCCUUUGUCACACUGUGGUGUAUACUGGCUUUCUUCUAUUAACCAUUCUCACGUGGUUGUUGGAUCCUCAUCCGAGUGACUUGUAAAAUCUUGAUGGUAUUCUCAUUGCAUAUAUAUGAGAAUCUGAUUCCCGAGAUAGAUGUGUAUUCUGACUGAUUCUUGAGAUUCACUGCCAUAUGUUGGCAAUUCACAGUGUACUACCUUGUACCAAUGUCUUACUGAGGGAUAUUAGCUGGCUUGUGCUCGAAGCUUUCAUCGGAUAGCUUGCUGAAGAAGACUGGGUAUCGUGCUUCAGAAACUUACCCCCUUGAAGACUUUGCUGGGGAAAGACUCUGUACCUUAUGCUGGAAGCUUUUGAAGUUGCUUACUGAAGAAGACAGGGUACCUUGCACGGGAAGUCGUCCAUGUAUCGUACUGAGGAAGAUAGAUGAAUCUUGCCUUGGAAGCUUCUCUGGUAUUUUGCGAUUGAAGAUUGGGCUGCUUACACUAGAAGCUUCUUAUUGUGAUAUGCAGACCAAUUUCCACAUAUAUAACAAUCUGAAUAUUUUUUCUAUUGAUUUCUUGCAUGAAAUGGGGUUUUGCAGGACUAUCCUCCUUUCUGAGUAUAUGCCAUAUUUUUGCCUGCUUCCACAUACAUCGAGUUCCAAAAUCAUCCUCAACGAAAAAUUAAACUUGUAUCUGAGCCAUACCCUUGAUAAUAUUCUGUCAAGCUUGCACACAAUUUAUCUUCUUGCUAAUUUAAUCAUUUUGUUGUGAUGAGUGCACGUAAUGCAAACUUGAUACUGAUGGUCCAUCCAGGAUUUCUUUUGCAUCCAGACAAGAUAUUCCCAAUUUCACUGCGGUCAGCUGAUAAUUCCAUUCUGUUUAGCUGAAUUUCCAAAUAUAUGCAUUUCUUGCUGACUCUUCUUGUCUGGUGUCGGCUGACGAGCAACUUUAAUAGGGGGAAAUUUGUAACACCGAAGGCCCAAAGAAAGGAACAACAGAAACGACUAAAACAAAAGCACACAAGCAUACUACUAAUAUAAUUAAUCAAGAAAUCAUCACAUAUUACUGCUACUCACACAAUAAUAUGCAUGCACACCUAAUCACACAAAUCUCACGGAAACUCCGGUAUUAAGGUCUAGCAUGUUGUGAUGAUGUGCAUGAGGACGAAUAAAUGUGUGGAAGAAUUGGUGUAAACACACUACACCACGCACUAGACUUCCCUAUCGGUGUGUGUUGGGAAAACUCAUUUAUACUGACACACAGUCGGUCGGAAAAACUUGUAUCAGUCAGUAGGUCGGGAAUACACACUUGUAGCGUCUAGCAGUCUGUCGGGAAUGCUGGUAUAUUUCACGUCUGAUGGUCGGUCGGGAAUAGAAAGACUUCCAUCGAACUAGCAGUCGGCAAUUUUUCCCGACCAACUGUUGGUGGCUAAUUGGGCCGAUCAGUCGCGCACGCGGGAACGUGAAACAGUUGGCGCCGAAAUGAGCGCUCCCCAUGAAAAACCCUAUCUCCCCUUUUCCCCUUCACCCCCCAAAUCCCUCAGAUCUGGCACACAGUUUCUGCAUCCGCCGCCGCCCCCGCUCGAGUUCUCCCUCCGCCGCACAUGCUGCUCCCCACGCCGGCCAUGUGCUCUCCAGCCGGCAGGGCCGUCGCAUCCUCUCUCCCUCCCGUCCGCCGCUGACCCCACUCCACACUGCCGCUGGUGGUACCCCGUACACCAUACUGCCGCCGCCUCCACCGGUAGGUGCUUUCUCUGUCCUCCCCCCCUCCUCCGUCUACAGGUGCUCUCUCCUCCUGUCCGUGCGCCCUUCCCUUCACCGUCGCUCACUGUGCUGCCCUACACGCACAGGUGGUCUUGCUGUCGCCGUCCAAACCCUGCCGGGAGCUUCCCUUUUCGUCCGCGCCCAAGCUCACCAUCUCCUGGAGGUGCUGCCGGCCAAGAAGGUAUGCUCCAAGAUGCCUCUUCCAGAUCCAACUACGACAGUGGGUUGGUUUUAGUCCUUCUAAUGCAAGGUCUUUAUCCACCUCGUGUGUUAUCUAUUUCCCAGCAAUACAACGAUUUCUCUUCGGAAGAAUUGUUUUUCCCCUCCACAUGUUCCUGCUUAUGUUAUGUGUGGAUUUUGAAAUCUAAUUUACACGUACUAUGUGCUUUGAGAAGAAAACAAUGUAGUUUUUUUGCAUGAGCACACCUUCUGCAUAGUGGUCAAUUUGGUUGACCUUCGUUAUCAAAAGAAAUUUGCUUAGUGUAUUGUCAUCAUAAGUAACUAGCAUACUGCUUAAAUUUGGAACAUAGAACUUAGCUAUAAAUCUUAACUAUGAUGAUACUUUGUGGAGAAUGGCACAUUUAGAUUGAUUUUAAUGAUAUAUUUAUUGCUCUGAACCUUGGGUUAUCACCAUAGUUUAGACUCUUGAGUGUUGUUCUGGCUUUGAAAAGUGGGAUCCGAGAGAAUAUAUGAAAAUGCUAAUGAUGUCCUGUGACAAGUUGAGAUCAUGCACAAGAACAAUAAUUAUCUGUGUAGCAGUAAUACAUUAUAAGGCAAACCAAAACUUGAGAUUCUGGUUCAGUUUCAGCUCUUGCCUCCGCCCAUAAAUUAAGAUACCAAUUUAGCGUGGCACCUUUAGUUCCUAGUUGUCAUGAUAACAAUACUGUACCUGACUUGCAUAAUCUCUUGCUAUUCCUUGAUGAGCAGCAACUUAUUUUGAACUUGUAUAUUUUAGAAUUUGCCUUUUCCUGUUAUUUUGUGUGUGGACAAUGUAUGACACCACAUGUAUAACAUUGUUGGUGAACAUUUAAAGCAGUGCCUGGCAAAAGAAGGGGGCCAAACCUACUAACCUGCGGGAUCCGAACGACAUGUGGAUUUCCAAAAGGUUUUUUCUUAUACUGUUAGACACUAUUUGAUAAUGAUAUAAUGAAUUCUUGCUAGACUUAAUUGUUUCCUAUGAAGUUCAAUUCCUGGAACACCUAUUUUGUUUCCUAUGAUCCACAUGCGAGGCAUAGAAAGGGUUUGAUUUUGAUUUUAGUUUCAGUUUCAGAGUUCUAUUCACAUUUUGAAUUUUCUAGUUUUUUUUGUGUGUGGACAGUGUGUGAGGCAUUUAAAUUCACUAUUAAUCAUGUGUGCAGGUGCAACUAGCAUGGACAAAUAUUGGAUGGAUACACCUAGGUACAACACCCCAUAUGUUAAACAUCUUAGAUUAGAUGUUAGUACUUGCUGAAAUCUGAUGCAACGCGCUGCAUAUGUACACUUGCAUGUAGGCAUACGGAGAAGUACUACAAGGGCUUGCCAGAUUCUUACAAUGCAUUUAGUAAAUGUUCAGUUGAGAAUCAGGGAUUCAAUAUUCUAUAUUAUUCUUCUAAGGGUUUUUAGCAUACAAAAGUAUGCAUGGUUGUGCAGACUUUUAGCUUUAUUUUUAACAAGCUAUAGUUAAGUAAAGCAUCUGCUGUUAACGACCUGAUAUUUUUUAGUUGUACAAGUUGUUGCCAUCAAGUUGAAUGACAAAGUGAAACAUAACCUUUAACUUUGUCGUUUGUUUUGAUGUCCUAGUGCAGUGAUACAGCAAACAAUGUAGAAUGCCCUCACUUACUACUGACUAGCAUAUGGAACUAUGUGCUAGUCCAAUAAACACAUCUCCAGUUUCCUAUUAUUUCUUUGUUACAUAGGAAAUACAUGCAGCACUUCGUAAAUGGUUCCUUGUCCCUGUUUUUUUAUUGUGCACAGAGCUUGUAACUUUUCGGUGGGCCACUAUUAGAGGCCUGACCUAUAGAAAUUCACCGUGGUAAAUACCGCCAACCUCGCAGCCUGCUCCUCAUGUAGAUGUAAUUGUGUUGUCUUCAUACUUCACAGGUUUUAUGCUAGCCGUGGAAUAUUUUUCGCCACGUACGUUAUUCACCUAGGUAACUCCGCUGCUCUGUUACCACGAGCAGCUCCAUGCCUCAGUGAGGCCGGUCCCUAUUUUUUAGGACUAGGUGUGCUACUAUUCCUAUUUCCUACUGAUUUGUCCACUUUCUCUCUGUCCUACUACUCUCUUUUCAUUAAUCCCCCGAAUCUCUAAUCUUUGUUUGUGCAGAUUCUCUCUUACCUAUGAAUACAAGGUCGAUGAAAAUCCAAGCAAGUUGCAAGGAAGAUUGAUCUAUGUAAUAAUGCAAUAUGCAAGUUCUGUUGUCUCUGCUUAAUAACUUCUUUUUGUGAAAUUUAGUUGCAUUGAAUGAUUAAUUCCUCUCAUGCCAAUGUGGCAAUGUCUCUCGUCUGAAUUCUCAAUUGUCUUUGCCAGUUACAUAGUGGCUUACAUGCCACCUGGAUACUGGAGUAGCAUAGUAUCUGGGAAUAUGAUUUUAUUCUUUAGUCAUUUGUAUGCCACAUCUGGUAUCGUUGGUCCUUUCUGAAGGCCAAUAUGAAAGGGCAACUUAUAUAUGUCAAAUCGCAUGGGUAUUUUAGUUGGUACUUUCAGGUUUUGAUAUUACUCUAUCACUAGAAUUUCCUUUCGAACAUUGCAAUUAGCUUUUAUCAAAGCAUGGUAAGUAUUGAGAAAUUUGUUCAUCAUACCUCCCAGGUAAACUGGAAGUAUUGUAGUAGUAGUCAAGCAGGAACCAAUUCCAAUUGUAUCCUGGGGAUUUUCUACCUUAUUCUAGCUCCAGUGAAUAAUGUUUGCUGUGGCAGAUAAAGAAUAAUGUUUGCACUUACCUCACCCUGUCCUAAAUUGGUUUGCUUACAAAUGUUGCACAUGUCUUAUGUUUCCAUAGUUAGUUUAUUAUUGGAAAUUGGUGAUGAUCAGGUAAGGAAAGAAAUCUUCAAGUCUCAGGUUUUUCUAUAACCAUUCCCCCAUGGUGGUAAGCUCUCCCAGCAAAUCAUGAUGUGACUCGGAUCAGGUGUGCAUUUUUUCCUUUUUGUACUGUAAAAAAACUUUCCACUAAGCACACUAAAGUGUAGCACUCAAUAAACAAACUUCAUGAUAUUCUAUUCGAAUAAAGUAAUCUAUGAUGUUCUUGAAGUUUUGUCACGAGUGCCUUAUAUAAGUGCACCAUGGCCAUAAGUACGAGUAGCAUGCAUAUGUGCAUUGAGUAAUCCAACGUGAGGAAUAAGAGAGAUAAAAGCGGGUCCACAAUGAAAAGCGGUGUGGCAAGGCUUGCAUCUACUUCUAGUGGUUACCUAUACUUGAAUGGAGUGCCUUCUUGAGUAGGUGUUUUGGUACUAGCUUGCCUUGUGAAGUAAUAGCUGUUGUCAAUGCUAUGCUUUAUCCCAGUUUUUAUGGUACAUUGUAUUUAUGAAUGUAAGAAUGUAAUGGCAACUUCUUUACAUUUUGCAGGGAAGAAAUGCAAGCGGAGGAGGAACCAUGAAGCCGGCGGUUCAGGAUAUUUUGUGUAGUGGUGAUUGAAUCAUUGGUGAUGAAUUUUAUCUAUCAUUUUGUAAACCCACAUUAUGUUUGAGGCAAUGAACCUUAAUGUUUCCUCUAGUUAAUUAGCUAUAUUAGCUUAUGGGAAAUUUUGGAAGUCAUUAUGUUGAUAACAGAUGAAGUAUUUACAUGUGAAAUUAAUUAAUAUGUGUUUCUAUUGUCUGGUUAUGGUUUAUUAUUGCUGGAGGACAUGCACAUUAUUGUUAUGAAAUGUCUUGAUUGAUAUUUUCUUGGUAGUGCAAAUGUAAGCUAUGGUAGGGCUACUGGAUGUUGGUUGGAAAAAAACCAUGUCUGAAAGUCGUUUGGGGAAGCUAAUGCCAGGGCCAACGAAAAGUUGGACAGGAAAACAAACCCCAUCAGAUAGUCGGUCGGGAAAAGCACAUGGCAUGCCCUAUAGACUGUUGGUCGGGAAUACAACCCCAUCAGAUAGUCGGUCGGAAAGGCCCAUGGUAGGCCCAACAGACCGUCGGUCGGGAAAGGCCCAUGGUAGGCCCAACAGACUGUCGGUCGGGAAAGUUACGCCAUAGGUGACAAACAGUCGGUCGGGAAAGAUAUGUCGGUCGGGAAAGGCUUUUCCCGUCUAGACUUUCCCCAACAGACACAGUCGGUCGGCAAUAGUCUUUCCCGACCGACUAUCUAUUGGUGGAAGCUGUUUUCCCGUCCGACCUAGCUGUCAGGGAUGUAGUGUUGUGGUGUAGUGACAGCGCUACACCAAGUGCUACCUUAGCCAGAUAGCAACCUGGACUAGCUUGGAGGUGAGGACGUACUCGGUAAUCAUGUAGUAGGACAUGAAGGUCGCAGCCACAUUAUUAUCAAGCAGACGGAAAAAGAUCCGUACUCGUCCAAGAAAUAGGAUAGCGGGAAAAACUGAGACUGCUGACAUUGCCCUUUCUUGAUAACUAAGAUCAUUAAGGGUUGCCAACACGACGAAAUAAAAGAACGAUCCGGGAUAGACGCAUGUCCAUCACCGAAACGACAAACGAGACUGAAAGAAAGACAUCGGUGUGAUACCUGAGCACCAUUUUUGCAAACAGUGUCGGGAUCACUUGGCAUCACUCUGCUGGGACAGAAUUGACACCAAACACCGAAAGAAAAGGAACUGGAGAAAUGCAAAGGUUGAGCUGUAGUGGAUCCGAACCGAUGUCAGCUACACUCACUAGAUAAAUCGUUAGUAACAAAUAAUAAUCUAUAUGCAUGCUAUGCGACAAACAAAUGCAGCAAUCAAGUGCAACAAACCAAUUGGGGUCUAUACUACCGCUUUCUAACGUUCGCGCGGUCUAGGGCGUUCUGCAGCCAGACCAGCUCUGAUACCAAGCACUAUGGCACCCCGGCUUAGAGAUACCGGAACGCCCCGUAUUCUAGCCCAAAGAUCGAGGAGAAGUCUUCUGGAAUACGACACUACUUAGCAUAGAACAAACCAGCUUUCUAUUAUUACACGGAUAUGAAUACGAGGUCUCCGAUAUUACAAUGAAUAACGUCGAUACGGCGACACUACGCCAUCCUCAGUUGCUCUAUGCAAGUAGCAGAACAACUCGAAGCAACGGAAGAACUCUAGCAGCUAGCGGAACAACGACGACGGUGGUGAACUCCACGCCAUAGCGACUCUGGCUGGAAUGAUUAUCCUAGCUCGCACGCACGGAAACCACGACAGAAAGCAAUCAAAUUCGGCAUGACCUGCAAGCUGGCAUGACACGCGAGGUCAGUACAUUGAAUGUACUUGCAAGCUCACAAUAAUCUAGAAGCAUUCAAGACAGACAACAACAUGGCAAUUACAGGUUAAAUAGGAAUUAUCAUGAGAUCAUCAGAAUAGCAUGUCAUCAUCAACAUAAACAUGAUACAGCUAUCACAACAUGAACAUAUUAAUCUGACAAUACUAACAUGCAACAUGAUGACACUAUAUGCACCAAUUAUUCUGUUCGGCUACCUCGUAACCAACUCAUGCAUCACUUACCAACCUCGGACAUCACACGAUCAAGUCAAGAUCAAAUCAAGCUUGGUAUAAACAAUACUGUAGUAAUCAGUAAAUGACCACAAGGAGCUUGACCUUUACCCACGAUUCUCGUACAACAUCACGAAUAUACAACAACUCGGUAUCCUCGAUACCAUUUUUAUCCUUACGGCGAUCACAACCCGACCAACACUUGGUCCCAUACCAUGGUCCUUCAGGCGAUCACAACCCGACCUCUAAAUGGCCCGUGAUCCUUACGAUGAUCACAACCAACUUAUCUCACUAUUAUUAAGCACAUUAUUCUUAUUACUGUUGACUCAUGGUGUGACCUAUUUUCAACCUGGGCCCUUAUCCGCGGGCACGGCUAUCGAUAGAUUUAAUAUACACUCUGCAGAGGUUAGUACACUAUACCCACACUACGGAACCCAUGGCCUCGCAAUCCCAUUCGGGUGGACCAACGGCAUUCCCACAAAACCGUCCCCAUCGGGCUAGUCCUGGGUAGCCCCGUGUCUACCUCCAGACACAAUGACCACCGUCGUGGCCCAUCCCACUCUAGGACAAGGAUCCAAAAACUAACUCAACAACGGGCACACAAGGCUUAUGUCCGCCUACCUUAUCGGGGUAGUGUGCACCCAUAACGUUCCCUCGUUGGAGGCACCGGAGAGAGGCACAACAAUAGACCCAGUUAGAACCGUCCCAUACCGGUAAGCGUGGUUGCACUGGUCAGCAUCGAUUCAGCGGCACCAUGACUCAGCCAACAGUUGUUCAAGUUCAAUUUAAUCCGGUUAACUUGAAUGAAAAUAUGCUGAGUCAUGAUAAAAUGCAUGAACAUGAUAUCAACAUCAUCAUGAGUGUAUCACAUAACUUUCCACCAUAUCAACAAUAAAUCAUAUCCACUGAGCAUGGCAUACUGACUAGCAUGACCAUCACCAACAUCAACAUGUACUACUAGCAAUCAUAAACAUAUGAAAGGUAAUACUAGCAGGUAGAAUAUGUUAAUAGAGUACAAGACGGCAUAGCACAAAGGUGAACAUGCAACUCUAAACAUCACUGAAACAACGAUAACCAUCUAGUCAACAAGCAAAUAUUUAACAAAGAUUCAAGUUGAAAACCAUGUCUACUGCAUGACUAUCAUGCAAGUGGAUAUUGUGGCUUGCCUGGGGAUGAAGAAGGCACCGGGGAGAAGUGCGGUGAAGCCGCGGAACAAAUUGCCAGAAAACAUUCUCUCUCGGAGGGGGCUGAUUAAGGACAGGGGGAAAAUGGUCAUUUUUAGUAUGCCAAAACAUAAUGAAAGUGACACCAAUAGAAAGGGCUCGACGAAAUGAAGAAGUGAGCGUUGGAUUCACCUCGUUUGGAGUUACGGAUAAAAAGAUAUAAGGGUUUUACCAUCAGGGACCUAUCUGUAAACAUUUAUUUUACAGACUCGGCCAAAACAGAAAAACGGAAAGCGCAUUCCAGGAUUUACGCUUCCACUUAUCCGCGUCGCAGUGGCGGGGCCGGCUCCUGUGUGGCUGACAGGUGGGUCCCACCUUAUCCACUCCCUCUCUCUCCUCCCUUCUCUUCUUCCUCUCUCCUUCUCCCGACGCCGCAUGCUCCGGCCACUCGGGCCACCUUCGGCGGAGCUUGGAUCGCCGGAGUGCUCAGGACGGUGAGGCGCACCCGUCCCACCACCACACGAACAUCAAGGAGACUCGGGCAGGGCGGGACCGUGGCCACGGCGGACGGGGCUUCAGCCGACGAUAGAGGACGAGGCCAUGGCGAUUCCGGUGACUAACAGAAGGCUGCGGGAGAGGCUAUGGUGGCUGGGUGACCUACUAGAUGUGGAAGACAGAGGAGAGGGGCUUCGGUUCACCGGAAUCAGAGUGGACAGGGGCGGCGGCCAUGGCGGCAAGGGCGGGCUCGGGAGCUCUUGGAGCUCGAACGAGUGGACGGGGAGGUUGCUGGGAGUGAGGCGAGUCUCGGGGUGAGCUCGGACGAGGCCGGGGAUGGCUUAAAUAGCCGUGGGGCAAGGUGGCCGAGCUGGCACCGCCGCGGAUGCGUGGCUGGCGCCACGGACGUAUGCCCGCACGCAUGAACUCGGGGGCAAACGAUGGAGGAGGAGAAGUGGUGGCUCUCACGGGGCAGAGGAGGCCAAGGGGGCGCAGGGAGGAAGACAAUGGUGACGGGAAGAUCCAAAACCCCACUGUGCUCUCGUGUUCACACGGCGGCGAGCAUCGGUGAGCAAGCGGACGGAGGGGGAGUGGGGUCCAGGGGAACGGCGACGAGGAGAGGAAGACAAUGGACAAGCUCACGAGCGCGAAAACAGUGAGAGGGGGAGGGGCCCAAGCAAGAAGACGCUAAGGGCGCGGCCAUUGCACGCCAAAACGGUGGUCACCGCGUGCACUGGUGCACACCGUGCCACAAGUGAUGCCAAACCAUGUCUGGGGGUUAGUCCCUCAUGGGUAAGUUGUAACUACGGUGGUAACUAAGUGAAAACGUCUCUGGUUAAAUAGUUAGUGAGCUCUGAAGUUUACUGCAGUAAAAUUUACCAGCUCAAUGUGAUCAAUAGGGAGUUACUUGAAGCCAAAGAAGUUGUCUGGGGUGUAUAGCUAUGGAGGUACUAUGAUACUGGUGAUUUUGAGGGGAAAUGGAACAAGAUAAAUGAUAGUUGCUUUGCAACUGCCAAAAUGGUCCAGAAAUGAAGAUUAGGAUGGUGCACUCACAUGGAGUGUCCACAUGAGCUCACAUUGGGCAAGGCUUAGUCAUUUGGUCAUAUGAAGAUGCUCACAAAGUAUCAUACCAUUUGGCAAAGCCAAAAUGGUACUUGGUUCACAAACAUCUCUGCUGACCAGAAACUUGAAAUAAUUAUAGUGAUCAAAUGGAUCAAUGAAAUGAUGCCAAAUUGGGUGGAUAGAUGUUUUAUGGGUAUAAGAAUGAUCUGGUAAUUUAUCAGGAUUUUUGAAGCAAUAUAAAAUACACUUGCUUCACAACCUGAAAAUAUUGCCAGAAACAAAGAUUUGCUCCUGUUCUCACAUAGAUAAUUGUAUGGGGCUGCAAAUGGGUGGAAGGGUCUAAUAUGAGCACUCUAAAGAGUCUGCAAAAUUUUAACUCAUUUGGGGACUCCUUGCUAGUACUUCCUUCACAAAGCCUUCUGUUUGACAGAAACUUUGAAAAAUCACUGAGGAAGAUUGUCUAGGCAAAUAAAUUUGAACUUGUGCAUGGGGAAAUUAUUUGUACAUAUAAACAUGCCCAAAAAGGUUGGGAUUCAAUAGGAGAAAUAUAAAUCUCACUUCCUUCACAAACUGCCAUCCAGGACAUAAUAGAAAAAGGAAUAUUGGGGAAAUAUUUUUGAACAUGGCAAUGAAAAGUUUUGCCAUAUUUGAGCAAGAAAUGACCCAAACAAUUUAUGAGAAUUAUUUGGGAGUUUUUGGAGUGAUGGAAAUAUAGGUUGCUUCACAACCUAGGGCAAUUUGAGUUAUUCCUUUAAUUGAAAAGGAAUAUUCCCAAUAAAAAGAAUAUUAGGAUUUGGGCUAGGAUGGAAAUGACAGGUUCUAGGGAAAUAUUUGGGAAUGACAAGCCACUCUGCAAGCAAAGAAGAGGUCAUGUUCUUCAGUUUCCAGACCACAAAGCCACGGAAAAAGAAAACUCACGCAAAAACCUCGAAAAAACAAAAGAAAUUUGGAGUUACUAAAAUUUUAUUUGGAGUUACUAAAAUUUUAGAAAUUUUCAGAAAAAGAUGAAGAGAUUGUUCUUGAGGGGCUCUUCUAGCCAAGGCUCUAAGGAUAAACAAGCUAAGGAGAAAGAAAAGGCCAAGUAUAAUCUUCCUCGUGUGGCAGAAGUACGGCCGUGUGAAUGGCCUUGUGAUGAUUUCUUGAGAGCAGUGGGGAUUUAUGAUGACUUUUAUUCCUUGGCUGAUAAUGCUAGCCUCACCGACUUCCUCCAUGACCAAAUCGAACAGUAACUCUUACUCACUAAUACUUUCGUGCAAAACUUCUACUAUUAUCCUAAGAAAUCACCUCCUUCGGUAGAGUUUCAUUUAUAUGGUGUGGCUAGGGAGAUGACACUAUAUGAAUUUUGCACGGUUUGCAAGAUACCCCUCGGGGGCAGCUUAGAGGAACCACAUCGUAAAGAUGUGGAUGGAUUUAUCGAUACUAUUAUCUUAGUGGAAACGAGGAAGGUUUCCGAUGCCAGAAUUACUAGCAUACAUUGCAAUAUUUGCUAGUCGAUGCUUAAUUGGUCGCGGAAACUGUGGAAACCUUAGUGUUCCUGAUCUUAGUGUUCUCAAGAGUGCUGUAUUAGGUGAUAAACAAUACAACUUGGGGGCAAUUGUUGCACGUAGGUUGGUUUAGUUGGACACUUGUUUGGAGGGAUUUAUGCAACCCGUGUGGCUAAUUAUCUUGGUAUACCUGCACAUGAAAAUGAUAGGGAGUUGGCUCCCUCUUAUUUAGAUUAUAAUGCCAUGGUUAAUCGUCAUUUUCUUGAGAGGAAUGAACAAUUCCUCCAGUAUCGACUAAUCUUUGACAGAUGUCGCGCUGUCCAUAUUAGUCUCCCUGCUCUUGCCCUUUUUGAUUAUCAGGCAAAAGGAAGAUAUGUUAUCACCAAGGAGGAGGCAAACGAGUACGAGAGGAGGACAGAGGUAGCUCGCCGCCAUGCUGCAGCUCAGGAGGCAAUCGCUGCUGCAUCUCAGUACGACCCUAGUUACAACUUCGGAUAUCAGCCAGGCUACCCAUGGCCAUAGACCAACUUAGGCCAAAAGCCUAAGCUUGGGGAGUACGUAUGUCGGUGCUCAUACUUUUUCAUGAUACUAUCCUUGCUAGUUUAAUUUCUCUUCUAGCUUUCUUCUUGUGUGUUUGAUAAACUUUAAGAAAAACCAAAAAAAUAGCUAGUUUAAUUUCCAUGCUAGUAGUAGUAAUUAAAAGAAAACCGAAAAAUAUUUCUCGUUCUUCUUUUGCUUGUUGGGAGCUUUCCCGUGUAAAUAGUUUUAUUUCUUUUUCUUUCCUUUUGGGGUCGAGAGGAGAAGACCAUGAUGAAAAUGCUUAGUGGCUCUAAUAUGCAUGAUUGUUGAUUUAACCAAGAGCCCAUAUUACCUUGUCUUCUCCCUUGAAUUGAAUGCUUGCAGAUUCCAGCUUAGUCCACUACACGUGCACUAUUAUUAUUAUUAUUCACAUCGUUCGGUCGUGCAAGUGAAAGGCAAUAAUGACGAUAUAUGAUGGAUUGAUUGAGAUGAGAGAAGCUGGUAUGACCUCGGCCUAUCUUGUUUUUGUAAAUACGAUUAGUUCAUCAUUCCUGAUUCAGCCUAUUAUGAAUAAACAUGUUUGCAAUGACAAUUAGAGAUUAUAGUUUCUUAUGUCAUGCUUAAUUAGCUAGGAGUUUAUAAUGGUUUAUCUUGCGUGCCAACAUGCUAUUAAAAUGGUUGUGAUGUGGUAUGAUAGGGUGGUAUCCUCCUUUGAAUGAUUCGAGUGACUUGACUUGGCACAUGUUCACGCAUGUGGUUGAAACAGAAUCAACAUAUCCUUCAUGAUAUUUGUGUUCAUGGUGGAUUAUAUCCUACUCAUGCUUGCACUCGGUGUUGAUUAAUUUUAAUGCAUGUUCAUGACUGUUGUCGCUCUCUCAGUUGUUCGCUUCCCAGUCUCUUGCUAGCCUUCACCUGUACUAAGCGGGAAUACUGUUUGUGCAUCCAAACUCCAUAAACCCCAAAGUUAUUCCAUAUGAGUCCACCAUACCUUCCUAUAUGCGGUAUCUACCUGCCGUUCCAAGUAAAUUUGUAUGUGCCAAACUCCAAACCUUCAAAUGAAAUUAUGUUUUGUAUGCUCGAAUAGCUCAUGUAUCAACUAGGGUUGUAUGUAUCUUCCAUGUUAGGCGGCUUAUUCUCAAGAGGAGUGGAAUCCUCUCCUCAUUCACGAGAAAAUGGCUGGUCACCGGGAUACCUAGUCCCAUGCUCAAAUCAAAUCAAAAUAAUUAAACAAAACUCCCCCACGAUUGUUGCUAGUUGGAGGCACACGUUCUUUCGGGCAAGCCAUGGAUUGAUGCUUGUUGGUGGUGGGGGAGUAUAAAAUUUACCAUUCUGUUUGGGAACCGCCUAUAAUGUGUGUAGCACGGAAGAUAUCGAGAUCUCAUAGUUGUUACAUUGACAGUGAAAGUAUACCGCUCAAAAUGCUAUUCAUCUCUAUUUCAAAAUCGAGCUCUGGCACCUCUACAAAUCCCUGCUUCCCUCUACGAAGGGCCUAUCUAUUUACUUUUAUGUUGAGUCAUCACCCUCUUAUUAAAAAGCACCUGCUGGAGAGCACCGCUGUCAUUUGCAUGCAUUACUAUUUGUUUAUAUUGGGUAUGACUAUGACUGGGUCUCUUUUACCAUGAAUUGGAAUGUUUAGUCAGUCCUUAAUCUUUAAAGGUGAUCUGCAUUUAUGUUUUGCGGUCUCAGAAAGGGCUAGCGAGAUACCAUCUUGUUAUAUCAUAUUAUGAUUGUUUUGAGAAAGUGUUGUCAUCCGAGAUUUAUUAUUAUUGCUCGCUAGUUGAUUAUGCCAUUGAUAUGAGUAAACAUGAGACCUAAGUGUUAUAGUGAAUAUGGUUAGCUCAUAAUCUUUGCUGAAAACUUGAAUGCAGACUUUACAUAUUUACAACAACAAGAGCAAACAGAGUUUGUAAAAGUUUUUCUUUAUCACUUUCAAUUUAUCAACUGAAUUUCUUGAGGACAAGCAAAGGUUUAAGCUUGGGGGAGUUGAUAUGUCUCCAUCGUAUCUACUUUUCCAAACACUUUUGCCCUUGUUUUGGACUCUGACUUGCAUGAUUUGAAUGGAACUAACCCGGACUGACGCUGUUUUCAGCAGAACUGCCAUGGUGUUAUUUUUGUGCAGAAAUAAAAGUUCUCGGAAUGACAUGAAAAUCCACGGAGCAACUUUUCAGAAUUAAUAAAAAAUACUGGCGAAAGAAACAGCAUCAGGAGGCCCACACGCUGUCCAUGAGGGUGGGGACGCGCCCCCUCCCCUAGGGUGCGGCCCCUGCCUCAUGGGCCCCCUAGACGUCCACCGACCUCGACUCCAACUCCAUAUAUUUGCUUUCGCGGAGAAAAAAAUCAGAGAGAAAGUUCCAUCGCGUUUUACGAUAUGGAGCCGCCGCCAAGCCCUCAUCUCUCUCGGGAGGGCUGAUCUGGAGUCCGUUCAGGGCUCCGAAGAGGGGGAUUCAUCGCCGUCGUCAUCAUCAACCAUCCUCCAUUACCAAUUUCAUGAUGCUCACCGUCGUGCAUGAGUAAUUCCAUCGUAGGCUUGUUGGACGGUGAUGGGUUGGAUGAGAUUUACCAUGUAAUCAAGUUAGUUUUGUUUGGGUUUGAUCCCUAGUAUCCAUUAUGUUCUGAGAUUGAUGUUGCUAUGACUGUGCUAUGCUUAAUGCUUGUCACUAGGUCCCGAGUGCCAUGGUUUCAGAUCUGAACCUAUUAUGUUUUCAUGAAUAGAUGUGAGUUCUUGAUCCUAUCUUGCAAUUCUAUUGUCACCUAUUAUGUGUUAUGAUCCGACAACCCCGAAGUGACAAUAAUCGGGAUACUUCUUGGUGAUGACCAUAGUUUGAGGAGUUCAUGUAUUCACUAUGUGUUAAUGCUUUGGUCCAGUACUGUAUUAAAAGGAGGCCUUAAUAUCCCUUAGUUUCCAUUAGGACCCCGCUACCACGGGAGGGUAGGACAAAAGAUGCCAGUUCUUUUCCAUAAGCACGUUUGACUAUAUUCGGAAUACAUGCCUACAUUACAUUGAUGAACUGGAGCUAGUUCUGUGUCACCCUAUGUUAUAACUAUUACAUGAGGAAUCGCAUCCGACAUAAUUAUCCAUCACUGAUUCAAUGCCUACGAGCUUUUCACACAUUGUGCUUUCUUACUUACUUUACCGUUGCCACUAUUACAAUUACUACAAAACUGCUACCGUUACUUUUGCUACCGUUACCGUUACUUCCAUACUACUUUACUACUAAAUACUUUGCUCCAGAUACUAAGUUAUCCAGGUGUGGUUGAAUUGAAAACUCAACUGCUAAUACUUCAGAAUAUUCUUUGGCUCCCCUUGUGUCGAAUCAAUAAAUUUGGGUCCAAAUACUCUACCCACGAAAACUGUUGUGAUCCCCUAUACUUCUGGGUUAUCAAGGUCCCAUAGGACCAGCGCACCAGAACAGCAACCGCCGCCGAUGAAGAGUAGCGUAAAUCGAAAGGAUCCAACCUGAAAACACACGAACGUAGACGAAUGACGAACAUAUCCAAGCAAAUCCACCAAGGACAGAUUUACCGGAGACACACAUCCACACGCCCACCGACAAUGCUAAAUGCACCAGCAGAACUAGGGCUAGGCGAGGAGAACCUUAUUCCAUCUUCAGGGAGCAACCACUGUCUCGUCUUCCUGAGUUGGACACAAACCCUAGCACAUCUCGAAGACACAUCUAAAAACCGAGCCUUCCCACAGGCAAAGGCCAGGAUCCGCCGCGCUCCCAUGACCCUAAGGCAACUGGAGAUGAGGCGGACCGGCGACGGCACCGGUAGGAGGCACAAGAAUCCUAGUUGGGGAGGAGGCCGCGGCCUGAGGAGUCAUGUAAUGUCCUUUAUAGGUUCACCGGUUGGCCCCUUCUAUUCUGCCGCUGCAGAUCUGACACGUCAGAACGAAUUGUUGCAAUCACCAGGCAGCAGCGAAUGCUAGCGAUUUCGGGAGCAGCUGAGCUCGAGCACAGAAUUGCAGCGUCCGGCGAGCGUAGUAGCCAGAGGAGAAACCGAGCGUGUGUAAAGCGCUAAACUACACUGCCCUAACAGAGCGUGCGUGUGAGCGCUCAUGCGCCAACCAACGCCAUAAGCAUGGUAGAGGAGCGCUCCUGCAAUUUGUUGCCUCAAAUUGGUGGGAAAACACAUAAGGACAGGCACUAGUCGGCCCAUUCAUUUCAUACUGUACAAACCCGGUAGCCAAGAUUUUUUCGGUGUUGUACACUUUUAAGCGCUUCUUUCAAUUAGGCGUUUUCUUUCUCGUAUUUUGAAAAACAUUAGAAAAACUUAUUUAUUGAAAAACUAAGUAUUGAGUUUUUACAAUAAUUUUACAAAAUGUGUACAUUUUUAAAACAUGAAUGUUUUUCAUAAUGCAGACCAUUUUUUCAAGUUUUGAACGUUUUUUCAAAAACACGAAUAUUUUUUGAAAACACUAAAAAAUUGUGAAAACAUUCAAAUGAAAUUAUCCAUUUUGAAUACUAUUCAUAUAUUUAAUAAACAUGAACAUUUUUGAACAUUUUGUGAAAAAACUGAAAAAGAACGAAGAAAACAAAAAAUAAAACCAGCAAAAGAAGAAAACCUCAAAAACCGGAAUCCUUAUUGCGUCAUAAUAAUGCAUGACUAUUUUUUAUGAAUAUGUCUUCGAAUCAAAAAUGUCUGUUAUAUAUGCAUUUGCCUAUACCUCACUUGUAGUGAGACAAAAGAACACAAAUCCUCAGGCCCCCUGUAUUGUGGCCUAGGGAUCCAUCAUUAUCCAGGAAGCCGGCUUGGUAGGCCGGCCUAGGGCCUUAUAGGCUGGUUUGUCUAGGGCCAUCAAUUUGGCCCAUGGAUCCAAUUAGAGAAAGGCCCGAGGGACUUGGAGCGGGUGACAGGGCGACUAGCGUCCAGGAGAACUCCUCCAACGACCAACUACGAUCGUGUAAUCCUAGACCCCAACACCCAUAUAUGUCGUGGCCAGAUUAGUCAAUAGACACAGAACCUUAGAACUAUUGCUCAAUCCAUCGAUUAUUGUAACCCCUAUACACAAGCAAUAUACACGAGCAGGGGUUAGGAUUUUACCUCAUCCAUGAGGGUCUGAACCUGGAUAAACCCCUUCUUAUUUCCCAUUUUGCUUAAUCGCAUGGCCAGAGUACCUUAUCAAGUGAUCUGCCGGAAAUAACUCCACCACGUCAUAAAUGGGCUAGGGCCAGAUAAUUUUUUUCUCCUUUUCUCUUAUUUUGUUUCUACUUUUGGUUCAAUUUAAAACAUCUUGUAAAUAUAUAUAUUUGGAAAGAUUCUUAAUCAAUUAUUAAUAACAUUCACUGUGCCUGAAAUAAUGGUCAUGAAAUGUAAUUAUUUUUUUGCACAAUUUGAUAAAUUGUUCAUAUCCUUCAAAAGAAUAUUCGUAUCAUUUUUAAAUGUUCGGAUGUUUAAAAAAUGAAUGAUUUUUUAACAAUGUUUAUUAAUAUAUAUAUAUAAAUUAACAGUGUAAUUUGUAAAAAAUAUUCAUACCAUUCAAAAAAUGUUUAACACUUUAAAAAUGUUCAAACAUUUUAAUUUUAAAUAUUUUUUAGUAAAUACUAUUGAAAUAGAAAAAAAUUAAAAGUUUAUAACAUAUAAAAAUGUUUGUAAAAUUUUCAAAUAUGUUCAUAAACACUUACAAAAUGUUUGGCACUUUUACGGAUAUGUUGAUGUCUUAAUUUUUUGAAAACUAUCAAUGAAAUUUACAAAAAUGUUCCUAACAGAAAUGCUAUUACAAAAAUUUAUGAAUAGAAAAUGUGUGUAAAAUUUACAGAAAUGUUCACAAUUUUUUGAAGGAGCUCGGGAUCCAAACAUCCACUCUCUACCAACUAUAUGCAUGUAUGUUGUAGCAAGCCAUGAGCCAAGGGUUGCUACAUGAUCAAUUGCUGAUAGUGCAGUGUGUUUUCUUCAUUUUGGGCAGAUCACAAGUGUUUGACAUCUCUCUCUGCAUUGGGUAUCCUUUUCCACUUGAAUUUUAAGAUACGCGGAAUGUGCUUUCCUUGUUGUUGCCUCGUCAUUCCAGCAUGGAAUCAAAGCAAAACUGAUAUUACUUCCCUUAAAAAUUGUCUCGCUAUCUAUCUCCAUAACAUGCCCAUUGGACUGCAUGGCGGAAGUGAAGGUGUGCGCCUAGCCGGCGGAGAAGACGAACUCAUCUGUGACCUCUGAUGAGCCCAUGGUGCAUGUGGGUUGGAACACUGCUUAGGAAAUCUAGACUUAUUUUGCAGGCAAGCCAAGAUGAGAUCUGUAGGCCCAUGUGAAUUCCAUCAAAAUCACGGUCAGUUCAACUCUGGUUCGAAUCCUAAUAAAAAUAGAUCAACGGUCCUAGAUGGUUAUGUCCAUUGCUAAAAAAUGCAAUUGUUGAAAGAGUCGAUAUGACUAGUAGCUAGAGGACGCUGACACCCCUCACUUCUUCUACACGUACUAAACAAACCCUAGCUUAUCCAACUCAAUUUGCUUUAAGGUUUGUGUGUGAAAGAAGUAGUCUUAAAACCAAACACCACACUCUUCAACUUGAGAAAUCAAUAGUCCAUUUACCUAUGGAUAUCAACUCUAUAUACAUCAUACUUGAUGUGUCAAGUUGAUAAUACUUACUAAACAUAUUUUAAAUUACAAUAUCUGGUGCUUCACAGUCGGUUAUGAAAUUAAUGUUCACCCAUCCAAUGCAAUAAAAAGUAUGUGAAUGAUGUUAACACACGCGCGCGCGUGUGUGUGUGAGAGAGAGAGAGAGAUUAGAGUACAUUUUGUCCUGAGAGAGAUUAGAGUACAUUUUGUCCUGAUGUCCACCAUAGUUCCACGAUCAAUACAUCUAGGAGGAGACAAUCAAAAUACCGACAGAAAAUAAAUAUUUAAUAUGUAAAUGGUAGGUGACAAAUCCAACCACAAAAUUGUGCAAACAACCCACUAGCUAGUUUUAUUGAAUAUUAAAAUGACAUAGUUGAUUUCUAAAACAUACAAAAUUUAUUAUCUCAUCAACACAUAAUUAUUUUGAGAACAAUAAGGUUGAGAUUUAUCCACCCAAAAUAGGGGAGAUAACAAAACUAUUGUGUUGUUGUUGCUGGUGUGCAAUUAAUCUUGCAGGGACAGUUGAUGAAGCAUUCUCCAAGAUCUGGCCAGCACAAGUUAUCUAUUUGACAGCAGAAUUCCCGUCCUGGGAGCUGGUGCCCAUCUUUAUAACAAGGGGGUCUGGUUACAUGGCUUACUUUGCUCAUCAUGUUUCCCCCCUUGUUGUUUAUGAUUUCACCUAAUUAACAUAAAAUAAAGAAUAUACUUGUCAUCUCAUCAUAUAAACAAUAAAAGUCCACAAUAUCAAUCCCCCCAAAAAAUUGAGUUGUUAAUUACCAUAUGUGCCUCCAAGACAAGUCAAACACACCACAAGAAGAAAAGAAAGUAGCACAAGUCCUUCCACAUUGUUCCUCAUGAACUUGGUCAUCGUCACUAAGGAAUAGAGGCUAUUAAUGGGUGGUACUCUUGUAAGCGGAGUUGAUGACUGUAUGACCGUGAAAUGCUUGCUCCAUGAAUGGUUCAUAUNNNNNNNNNNNNNNNNNNNNNNNNNNNNNNNNNNNNNNNNNNNNNNNNNNNNNNNNNNNNNNNNNNNNNNNNNNNNNNNNNNNNNNNNNNNNNNNNNNNNNNNNNNNNNNNNNNNNNNNNNNNNNNNNNNNNNNNNNNNNNNNNNNNNNNNNNNNNNNNNNNNNNNNNNNNNNNNNNNNNNNNNNNNNNNNNNNNNNNNNNNNNNNNNNNNNNNNNNNNNNNNNNNNNNNNNNNNNNNNNNNNNNNNNNNNNNNNNNNNNNNNNNNNNNNNNNNNNNNNNNNNNNNNNNNNNNNNNNNNNNNNNNNNNNNNNNNNNNNNNNNNNNNNNNNNNNNNNNNNNNNNNNNNNNNNNNNNNNNNNNNNNNNNNNNNNNNNNNNNNGAAGUUAUAGAAAAUAUUAAUGCUUGGAGUUAUGACUUGUCUGAAUUUCCAAUUUUAGUUUCACUUCUAAAGAUUCAUGGUUCCUUCUAAAGUUUUUUUUCUCAAAUUUAUGCUUUGUUAUAGCAUGUAAGUUAAUUUAAUGCCCCCUCUAGAAUUGACCACUUUUUGUUUCCAAGGGGUAGAAUUGACCUCUUAGAAUGGGUAGCAAAAAACGGGUGCAUGGUAAUAUUAUGUUUAAGGCAUUGAUAAUAAUUGGUAUAAUAUUAAUAAUUCCUAUAUAUAUGAUGCCUUAUCAAUAAAAUAUUAAUUUCUCUCUUGGUAUAAGAGAAAAAAAUUUAAAAUUCAACAAGACUCGUCACUUAACAUUGGACUUGUUUUUUAAUGUAUAUAAGAAAUUGUUCUUAACUAUAUCAACAAGUUACAGAUACAUUUUUUUUACUUUUAUUCCAUGAACAUAGAUUAAUUAUGGGAUGGCCAUUUUAUAAAUAUAAGAUGAUGAUUUAUUUUCAUAUACAUGAAAAUUUUAUAUCAAGGUACUUGAGCAUUUUUUACAUUUUUCUAUACACAAAAUCUUCUCCAAUAUUAAUUCGAUUUUGAUUUCUUUAAAUAGAUUAGUUUCCCCCAAACGUUCUUUAUUAGAAUAGUGAAAAUGUCGCACUUCACUACUGGAAUCUAGCACUUUGCCAUCUGCCAUGGCAAAUGGCAAAGGCAUGGUCGGUGGAUGGCAAAGGCUUUGCCAUCUGCCAGCAGAUGGCAAACAGUUUGUCUGAAACCCUGCCGGUAAAGGCUUCUUUGCCGUCUACUGGCUGAUGGCAAAGAGUCUGUGCCUUUGCCAUCAUCUGGCAGAUGGCAAAGCCUCUUAACGGGGUUAGCCCCGUUAGAAGGCUAACGACAUACUUUGUUGUCUGCCAGCAGAUGGCAAAGGUUGCAGGCUCUUUGCCGUCUGCCAGCAGAUGGCAAAGAGCUUUGCCAUCUGCUGGCAGAUGGCAAAGAGCCCAAAUUGGCCAGCCCAAAUUUUACAUGUAGAUGACACGUGGCCUCUUUGCCAUCUGACAGCUGAUGGCAAAGCUCUUUGCCAUCUGCCAGCAGAUGGCAAAGUGACUAUAUUGCCCCAUUUUAUUUUGUUUUUUCUUAUAUCAGUUCAUUUUCAUAGAAAAUCAAACACAAAUGUAUUUAUAUGACCAAUAUAGCAUAUUUAACACAUAUUACCAAUAGUCAUGAACACAUAUAUAUCCAACACAUGUUACCAAUAGUAGCAAGUUUCAUCCGUACAUAUACAUAGUUUCAUCAAUAUUACACAGUUUCAUCCACAGGUAGCAAGUUUCACAAGGUCAAAACAAACACUAAAUACAAGCACUCCAUCAACCCAAGCUUCCGUGAACUUAAGCAAAUCUGUAAAAUGGGAAAGAAGAAAGUUAGAAGAAGAAGACUAGAAGAAGAAGAUUAUUAUGAUGCGGAAAUAUGCAUGGAUUGUCAAAACUUGCAUUAUCCUACUAUCACUAGUACAACAAAGCUGCAGGUUUGCAUUAUCCUACUAUCAGAAAUCUGGAACUAAACUAACCUAAUUAAUCAUAACAAGGUGGCAUGCAUAGAAAUUUGGAACUAACUAAGAACUUCGAAUUAAAAGAGGAGAAGCAAAGGUUCAGGAAUUAGUUGCUCCCCUGCCGAUGCAUUGGUUGUCGAGGUUGAGGAGGUUGUGUGCAUGGCCACACCAUCGACCUGAGCUACAACCCAGCAUCCACCGCAGACCCGUCUUUGCGCUCGAAAGAGAUGACCACUUCAGACCCCUCCUAGCUCCCCUCCGAUGGUGGUCUCCUCCUUGUUCAUCCGCCUUGCUAUGGCUUCAGGGUGGUAGGCCAGGCCGUCCCUUGUCACUGGGCGUCGUCCUCCAUGGCCAGAUCUAGCCACUCCAUGGCGUCCGGGCAGGGGAGGAAGUGGCCAUCCUGUCCAUGGCGUCCCGGUGCUCGAGCGACGACGGAUCAGAGAGUUAGAGGGGACGUGGUAAAGAAGAUAAGGAAGGAGGGAUGUGGCAAGGGAAGAGAGGGGAUCUGACUCACCGGAGCAACGCUGGAGCCACACCAGCUACGCGGUAGCCCAAACCCUAGUGAAUCGGUGUUUUUCGAAUGUAACUCAUCCCUUGGCAGAAUAUUGCUGUCAUAUUCACAACGGAAGAGUUCAUGUCCAGCUGACAAUGCAGAUGAUGGAGAUGCUGAUAAGCAGAUCAAUAGUAUUUUGCAUUUUUUUACCUGGCUCGUAUCAAUUCAUGUUAAUUGCAUUCAGCUAGAAAGUAGAGUACAAUCCUGAUAAUUACAUUCAGCUACUGAAAUAAGGUAAGACAAUAUUCUGCCAAUCAUCACCCACUGGUAAACGAUGAUCUCAACAAGGUAAGACUGCAGACAAUGACCUCAAAGAGAUGUAUGUAACUAGCAACUGUGCACUCACCUGCCAUUCCAUGAAUAACCUGCAACUACUCUCACCCACAGAAUAGUUGAAAAUAUCUAAUGUUUACCAUUUAAACAAAAGACUUGGUUGGAGUGUCUUAAGAGAGCUCUUACGUAUAGGUAACAGUAUCUGUUGUGCAACUAGAUGAAUUUAACACGAAGAGUAAGUUAGAAUUUUCCAUAGAUACUAAAACAUGCUGAAAAUAGAAUGCUAGCAUUGCCAAGCUACUGAAUAGUCCAACUCUCCUAUGGCUGACAAAAACGGUAACAGACAUUUCAGAAACCAGAUGGAAUCCAACAAACAGAGGGAAAGCGGAGCAAGCUAUACUUGCGGCAUGGUAGAGAUGAAGAUCAGAGCAAGGGAAAAGAGCAGCUACUAGCAUCAGCCUGAAUUGUACGUGUACAACACAACAUCUUGUUACAAUACAGAGAUAGAUUAAGCGUAAUUUUCUUUCAACAACACACAAUCUGCGUGUCUUUAUAUUUUUUUGAAAGAUAGGGGAAAACAAAUGCAUACAGUAGAAAUUAAAAUCUCAUCUAAUAGCGUGUACUUCUGAACGAAAGAGAAGUUAGCUGGCCUCUUAAUGCUCUUCGUUGGCAGGAGGAUGACCACCUACGAUCAAGUGCGCUAUUGUGGCAUAUAUCUUCCUUCUUGCCAAAGAAGCAUGGUAGAAUUAUAAAGAGAGUAUGUUUCCAUAGACAUUUAAAAAAAGAGAUUUGUGUAUACUCAUUAUAGUGUAAGUACCAUAGAUUAUUCAGAUUAGAAGUUCUUGUCUCUACCAACAAUUUAUAUUUUCUAUACAUACUAAUAUCUAUAUCGCAUUGACAAUCAUGUAUUUAUAUGAGCUCUUUGUGGUGCGUGAUACAGCCAGAUUCCUUUUGUUAUUGCAGCAAUUUGUAAGUAUUUAAAUAUAUUUUAAUAGCUAGUUUCUUCUGUGUUAUAAAGACAAAAUAAGACAUGCAUAGACUUGCAAAUAUGUAUUAGAAAUCUGCUACUCCAAAGUAUCAUAUGAAUCAAUGUAAGUCACGAAUCGUGUGCAUAUCACGCAAAGCAGUUUUUUUGUAAGAACAAUACAUAAUACUAAUCGACGGUACAGAUGAUUCAACACAUAUGCAUCAAGACACCACUACCUUGCACAUGGUGAUAUAGGAUGGAGUUGAAUCUGAUCACCUCCUUUUUACAACUUAUAGUGUAAUGUGUACUGCUCAUAAAUAGGCAUAUAUAUAGUAAUUUUUCUUUUGAUCAAACGCUUGGUAUAUUAAUGAUCACAUUAUACAUUUAUGUAACAUUUCUUACUUGCGAAAUCUUUUACAAAUUGGAAUAUAGGAAUAUUAUUAAUACCCAGAAGAAAUACUACUAUUCGGAAAAUAUACUAACUGGUACUAUACUUAUUUUUUUCUAAUAUUGGUACUAUACUUAAUUGGACCAAAAGGUACACAUAUUUUGAUUAGUUCAAUUUUUUUUCUACAGAUUUAUCGGCGCCAUUAUUUCUCUAUGGUUGAAAUGUAUAUAAACUACUGUCUGUAUAUAUUGAUCUGCAUUUAGACAAAUAUCAUGGACAAACACACAUACUGUUUAGCACGUGUAGUUGUAAAGGUAGAACACUGAUUUCUAGUAUUAAGAAAAUAUAUUUAUAACAUCUCAUUACGAUGUAUAUGGAGUUAGCAUGAGAGAAAUAACCAAGUGUUGUGCAAGGAUCAUUCUGACUAUCCAGUGGCAGAAUAGAAAUAGGAUGCUAAGCCCAGGGAGAAUACUUAUGUCCUAUAAACCUGCAAAUACGAAGCAUGCAUUCACCAUAUAUUAGAAUUCCAAAUUUUAUAGUUUGUUUGCAUGUUGGUAAUAAGCUUUGCCCCUUGUGAUAUGGAUUAUCACAUAGAAUGGAAAGAGGAGAAAAAAUUAUGGCUUAGCAGAAUCAAGGAGGAAAAGCACUACAUGUGAAGUAUCAAAACGUUGUGAUAGCACGAACCCCACCAGAUUUGAACUCGUGCUCUUAGUAUGACAUGGAAAGAGGGGCUACUCUCCAAUUGAAGUGAAAAUAGUAGAACUUUGAGCAUAAAAAUUCUAAAAGCACAUUGCAACACGGUAUUAAGUCAAGAUUUUGCAACCGAGAGGGAAAGUCAAAUAAAUAAAUAAAUAAAUAAAUAAAUAAGGAUUCUAAUCAAACCUGUGAAUCCAAGCUAGUAUCUAACUAUUGUAUUGCCCAUAGUUUUGCAUACGCCAUGGAAAGUAUGAUACAUAGCAUGUUGAAAAAUUGUAACCAAUUAAAUAGAAGACAUUUAAUUUAAAGGCACAAUGCUAGGAGAUCAUCUCUCAGAGCAAUCAUCGCUGACAUAGACCUUCUGUUAAAUCACAUGUCUAAGCAGAACCCAGAGGUCUUUUACUUUUCCUUUAUAUGGAACCUUCAUUUUGACCUUUGGGGACUAUAGCCGCCUCAAUUAUGCAACUUUUUUUUCUAAAAUUUUAGUAUAGUGUAGUAGGAGCCUUUCCUGGUGUUCCAUANNNNNNNNNNNNNNNNNNNNNNNNNNNNNNNNNNNNNNNNNNNNNNNNNNNNNNNNNNNNNNNNNNNNNNNNNNNNNNNNNNNNNNNNNNNNNNNNNNNNNNNNNNNNNNNNNNNNNNNNNNNNNNNNNNNNNNNNNNNNNNNNNNNNNNNNNNNNNNNNNNNNNNNNNNNNNNNNNNNNNNNNNNNNNNNNNNNNNNNNNNNNNNNNNNNNNNNNNNNNNNNNNNNNNNNNNNNNNNNNNNNNNNNNNNNNNNNNNNNNNNNNNNNNNNNNNNNNNNNNNNNNNNNNNNNNNNNNNNNNNNNNNNNNNNNNNNNNNNNNNNNNNNNNNNNNNNNNNNNNNNNNNNNNNNNNNNNNNNNNNNNNNNNNNNNNNNNNNNNNNNNNNNNNNNNNNNNNNNNNNNNNNNNNNNNNNNAAACACAUACUAUAUUUAAAAGCAAAGAUGCACCUUAUGUGAGAAUCACGCAUGUGUUAUUUCUAAUCAAUGAGCCAAUAAAAUAAUAGCAUUGUAUCAUUAAAUAAAUUAUUUUUCAACUGAAUCAGACACGUGGGGUUUGACAAAAUUAAAAGUAUAUGCGAAGAUGUUAAGAAGAAAAUGUCAAUAUACAAAAUUUGUUUCUACAGGCAGAUGUGAUUUCCGUACAAAAAUAGUCUGUUUGCUUUACAAUAGAUCCACCUAAACCAAACUCCUGAGUUACUACAUGUAGAGCUCAAAAAUAUCAGAUAUAGAGUAUAAAAUGAGAAUGGAAUACUAAGUGCGUCUUACAGAAAUUAUAAGAUCUUUUAAUAGCUUUCUACAAUAUUACAUAGCAUACACGACAAUGAGGCAUGAAAUGAAUCAGUAUUGUAAAUAUGUAAAGAAGAAUAAGAAACACAAAGUAGCUGCUGCUCGAGCAACUACUACAUGCAAAUACAAUGCUUGAAAAUUUUCAAGCGUUCUCUAUGCUUUUUACCCAGAUUCAGCAUGGAUUAAAAAACCACAAUACUUAAUUCCAUGUAUCCUAAAUUCAAGCGUCAUGUUCGACUUGCCUGUGGACUUGUAGAACCAACAGCGCACUCGACAACAUCGGACAGAUAGAUCAAUCUGCAUACCGUUCGCUGUAGGUUCUUCAAUGGGAAGCAGCACGAUCCACUUUAGACCACCAUCAGUAGACCUCAUCCUACGCUCCAUCGCAUCGUUAUAUUGCAGUCAGCUCGGAACUUAUGCCAAGGAGAAUAGUUAGACCAUAGAUUUGAUAUUUGACCUCGCAUGAUAUUUGAUUUAAAGUUCAGUGAAAUAUCACGAGAAUGAAUUGCAUAUCCCAACUUUAAACUUAGAAACAUACAUGGAACUGUAAUAUUCAACAAACUUAGAAACAAAUUAAGUCGAGAAUAUAGUUUUUAUUUUGUAUUGCGGGUUACAACUACUAGAAAAGGCAGACUAUUAAUUGUUCUAAUAGUAAUAUCGUAAGCAUAUUCCAUAAUAUCUUUCUAUAUUUCUCAUUCUAUAUAUUAUUCUUUUAGAAAAUGCUAGCCCGUGCAGAUGCACGGGUUGAUGACUAGUCAAAGCUAAUUGAGGCAGAAAUGAUGUGUAAAAUUAUAUGUGUUGAUGUACUGGAUACCAAAGUGCAAAAAAAGCUAACCCUAAAUCAGAAAUCGGGUUGCUCUUGCUCACUUGCCCGCUUGCUGCCGUCGGGGACUGGUACUGGUGACUGAGAGGAAGGGCAGCGACUGCCGCCGGCUUUGCAGGGAGGCAGGGCAGGGGUGCCAGGAGGUCGGGGAAGGUGCGCAGCCAAGCCCGCGCAGAGCAGGGGCGCACGCAGGGAGCGCGUCCGCGCGGCUGGUUCCAGGAGUGCGGGAAGGAGGGGCGGGGCNNNNNNNNNNNNNNNNNNNNNNNNNNNNNNNNNNNNNNNNNNNNNNNNNNNNNNNNNNNNNNNNNNNNNNNNNNNNNNNNNNNNNNNNNNNNNNNNNNNNNNNNNNNNNNNNNNNNNNNNNNNNNNNNNNNNNNNNNNNNNNNNNNNNNNNNNNNNNNNNNNNNNNNNNNNNNNNNNNNNNNNNNNNNNNNNNNNNNNNNNNNNNNNNNNNNNNNNNNNNNNNNNNNNNNNNNNNNNNNNNNNNNNNNNNNNNNNNNNNNNNNNNNNNNNNNNNNNNNNNNNNNNNNNNNNNNNNNNNNNNNNNNNNNNNNNNNNNNNNNNNNNNNNNNNNNNNNNNNNNNNNNNNNNNNNNNNNNNNNNNNNNNNNNNNNNNNNNNNNNNNNNNNNNNGAGAGAGGGAGGGGAUAGAGGCCACAGUUUUUUUUACCUGGAAAAAAUAACCCCAUCUCUUUGCCAUCUGCCAGCAGAUGGCAAAGAAUCUUUGCCAUCUGCUGGCAGAUGGCAAAAAGGUGGGGUUGGUACGCCGUUACAUCCCUGGCAGACAUAGGAUUUGCCAACCUCUUUGCCAUCUGCUGGCCGAUGGCAAAGAAUUGGCUGAUGGCAACCAUGUUCUUUGCCGUCUGUCACUUCUUUGCCAUCUGUUUUUUAUAAGCAGAUGGCAAAGACGUUCUUUGCCAUCCGCUGGCAGAUGGCAAAAAGCUUGCCCGACUAGGGCAAAUUUCGUUAGGCGGAGCUUCCUAAUUCUCGGUACUCCCUAUACGUUCCUCCUUGCGGCUAACAACCUCCCCUUCGGACAGUCCGCGCCUGGCUGGGCUGGUCCAUUGACGACACGAAUGGACACCACUAAGUGGGAGAGUAGGAACAUAAGAAAAAUAGCCCAAGGAAAAAACAAAUAUGUAAAACUAAAAAAUAACCCAAAGAAAACGGUAACAGAAACAGAAGGAAAAAAAAGAACAAACGGAAAUACCAGUAAAAAUCAUAUCAGAACCUUUUGGAAGGCUCCCAAAAUCGGUAAAAGCCCGGUAGGAAUAUUUCGAAAGUUCGUAAAACUAGAGUGGCGCGGCGAACAUGGGUCGGCCGUCCCCAAGCUCUAGCAUCAGUUUUGUCUGCAAUCCCCGGCAAAUUGAUGUUGGCUGCUCAAAUAGGGUUUUCGCCAUUUCUCUUGUUUCUUGUUGCCUCAUAUGAGUUUCUUGUUCUUUGGGACAUACGUUGGCGCCAUUUGUACGGGUUCGAUGACCGCCAUCAAGGGUCUCUUAGUGGAAUCACAACAUCUUGCAUCGUGCGAGGGCGUGAGGAGAUUAUGGUGGCCCUGGUGGUAUUUUGGGGAGCAUUGUACCUCCACAGCGCUCCAAACGGAGAUUAGCAUCUGCAAUGUCGUCUCCGCGUGCCUCGGUUAUUUCUUAUCCGAGCCCUGUACUUUGUGAUAGCCAUAGUGUUUCAUGUUAUAUAUCUUGCUAUCACAUAGUUGUUUGUCGUGCUUAGCAUAAGUUGUUGGUGCACAUAGGUGAGCCUAGUUGUUUUAGGUUUUAUGCUUGACAAUUAGAUGCUAGUUUUAUUCCAUAUUUGUUCAAGCCUAAAUAGUAAUUAUUUUAAAGCGUCUAUUCACUCUCCCUCUAAGCAACAUCCACGAGUUUUCAAUUGGUAUCAGAGUGUUGCCUCUCUUUAUUAGACUUAACCACUUAGAGAGUAAAGAUGUCGACUAGGGGAUUAGGAUUCUUUGACACUCUUUGUUUUGAUGGCACAAUUUUUGAUGUUUGGGUAAUUCGUAUGGUUAAAUCUCUUUAGGGUCACGGACCCAAAUUUAGAGCGAAUUGUAGAUAUUAGUUUUUAUCCUUCAAAGGAGCCUCAAAGAUUAUCUCUAAAGGAUGAGAAAAACUCUUAUCUCACUGCUCAAGCUUCUAAUGUGCUUUUUGAUGCUAUGAACAAUGUAGUUAUAUUUGAACUUAUGCUGUUCUGGGAUGCUCAUGAGUUGUGGAAAAAGCUUCAAGAUAAAUAUGGUGUGUCCAGGAUUUGUGGGAAUGAUUAUUCUCCCUCCACCUCCAGUCUUAUGGUGUUCUCAACUUCUUCUACUUAACUUAUAUGUGGAUUGCCACGAGGUAGUGAUAUGGUGAGUAGUGUUGGUCAUUGCAAUGAUUAUAGUGGGCUUAUUGUUGAUGAUCCUUCAUCACUAUCUUAUUGAAUGCUCCUUCUUUGCACUUCAACACUUCGAGCUCUCUAGAUGGUUCACACGCUCGUGUUGAUAGUCCUUGCAUAUCAUGUAGAAAUUGAUCGACUAAAUCUCAUGAUGAUAUGCUUGCUAUGUCUUGCUGCCAUGAUAAAAGUGCCUCUAUUUCCUCGAGUUGUUGUGCAAACAGUGUAAAGGAAACCCUACACUCCAUGGAACAAGAUGUGGUCCUGAAUGGUGCUUCAAGGGAUCAAACAUCAUCAUCUAUUGUUUCUCACUUUUGCCUUAUGGCUACGGCUUCAAAGGUAUCUCCCAUUUUAAAUCCCAAUAUAUAUUGUGAUGAUGAUGUUCAUGAUAAUCAGGGGAGGGGCCCCACCCAGUUGAAAUCAGGGGAGGGCCGCUACCCAGUUGAAUCAGGGGGUGGAGUGAUCAGUUAGGAAAGUUAAGUAAGAUUAUGUAGGAUUUCUACGUAAUUGUACACCUACGUAGCUAUCAUACAAGAAUUUCUCCUCCCUCUCGUCCCAUACUGCAAAUUUGUCAUCUUAGGACUGACAUUUACAUUUACAAUUUAACAAGAACAGAUCACAUCAUAGUUCAAAUAAGCUAAGUAUGAAUGGACAAAAGUUUCCCAGCUAUAGGAUCAAAUUAUAGGGGUGCUGCAAAAGCAACAACUUUGAACCAAGCUUCAUUGCCUCAGUAUAUGAGAAGAAACCUGGGAGCCCUCCUUUGUUACCUUUCAUGGUGAUAAACUAAAAAUCUCGCACACAAGUUUCUUUCGGAGGUGCUGAGCCUGGGCGAGACAAAAAAAUACAGCUUUCAGUCCACCUCACGGUUUGUUCACUAUGGACACGCCCUGAACUACCAUGCUUUUACCUGACCAUGUGCAGACCGAAGGUAAAGCCCAUUGAACUCGAGGAUGUUGUGCAUGAUGUACACAUCGCUAUCCUCCUUAAGAUAACGGGAUCAGUAAUCGUCUUUGUUAGUGUGAAGCAUGACAAAAAAAUUAUCCUUGCUCAAAGUCAGAUGUACUAACCUCGUGCACAGUUUGUUCUGCGCCACUAAAGGGUACACAAAAGUCCAUCCAGUCGUGUCAACCAACCCGGCACCAAAAAUGUCAUUGAACACUCACCCCUUCGACCAUUCGAACCUCUGCGAGCCAAUGCUGGCCUCGAGCUGCCGAGGUUUCUGCUGUUGCAGUACAUCUCAUUGGUAGGAUCCCAGCAGAUUUUGUGUAUGAAGCACACCCGUGGGUAGGACAAGCAUUAGUAAAGAGCAAACUUUAAAUCUUUUGGAACACCAACUAAAAAUGUGUAACUAUUUGCUUGCGGUGCACCCACAUUCUAGUUCUAACUUUGCCAGUUCCGCAGCAGCAAACAUUUUGUCCAGUCUUAUCUGUUCUUCCUUGUCAACCUCGCCAACAACAUCUUGGUUUGUUUGACUCCAGGCAUUCGCACUAUUCACCCCAACUCCACUUCUGGCAACAUCUCACAGUCUCAGCUUCAGCUGAAGCCUGCCUCAAGCUGCGCAGCCAUGGCCCCCUGCAUGCACAAUUGACCCCGAAUAAACAUUUUUGGACUACCAACCUGACCCGAGGCCACCUCGCAGUUUUGAUGAAAUACGUAGGUUGCUCUGCCCAGCUGGUGCUCCAAUUGGUUACCUUACAUUGCAAAACAAUAUUGGUAUUUAUAUUCUUGUGGUCCAGCAUUGCUGCAUUUCUUGACAAAUAGUGCACUGGUCGAACAACAAUCAAGAUUUUUUUUGAAAAGGAGGAUGUACCCCCGUCCUCUCCAUCUGGAUGAUGCAUUCAACCAUAUUAUUAAUUAUUCACAAAGAUCAUACAAGAUGAUACAUCAAUAAGCCUGAAGCCACCAUCUUGGCAACGUUGUUGCUACUUCUAUCCCCUUGAUGAAGGUGUCCCGAAUGUCUGAGCCUAAUACCGAACAGACAUCGCACCAAAACCUAACAUCUAAAGCCGGGUGUCCCGUCCAAGCCACUACCUGGAAUGGGUCCCACACCGGUCUGGCAGACUCCGAGUGAGCACCACACGCUGCAAGGGUCGUCACCUCCAUCUUCCAUCGGUCCAUCCUUAGAGCAGAACUGAUGCACUGACCUUGCAAGGCCUCUCUGCCAUCAACGCCACCAUGAUGCCGGAUAGCUUCCUCCUCCUGCGCGAGUCCAUCUCUGCGCAUCAGACGCCAAGUAUCCACUGCGCCAUGCCGCAGAGACCCACCGUCAACGAUAUGGUUGAUGCCACACCGCUCCACCUACAUGCCAUCUCGCAUCGACUCCGAACUACCAGCAACUCCACCACCUUGAGCAGUCCCCAUCUGACGGCUUCAGGAAGGAACACGGCACCAAAGUGCCAUCAUCGCCCAAACAGAGGAACAGAGGCUUUUGCAUGCGCUCAUGGCAGAGGUGGGGGCGUAUGAUCCACACCGGAGCCUCCAGGAAGGGAAUCGGCGCCGAGGGCGUCGACUUUGGUGCGGCCGCCACGCCGGCGUGAAGUUUCCCCUGGAUCCAUGCCCACCCACCAGAUCCGUCCAGGUAGUAUUAGUGUCGACCGUAGUCGCUAUCGUAGCCAGCACAAACUGGAGUAGAUCUACUGUAGCCAGGGUAUAACGUUUGGUACAUGUGCAACGGCCAGAUACUUUUUUCGUUCGUCAACUCCCAUUCCUAACCUGAAUUACCAGGCCCCCUCCAGGGAGAGAUACGAGGGAGUUACCCCCGUCAAUUCCUCUUCCCUUCCCUCCACAACUCCUAUAUCCCCCAACCAUACAGGGGAUUUUUAGUGUCAUAGCCUCUUAAUUCCCAUUCCCAGCUUUUCUUCCCCCCAACCAAACAGGCUGUAAGAGUGAUUCUUGCAUUGCACUCCAGCAUCACAACUCCUUGCCGAACUGAAUCUACUAAGUUCCAUACAAAUUUAGGUUGAUUUAUGUACAUAUAUACAACAUGACGACAGUAGUGGUGUUGCUUUUUCGCUAAAUUCAACACACAAUGGACAGGAUAUUGUAUGCCACCUGGUUUAGAGAUAGCUAUUAAAGUUUUAUCGUUUGAGCAUCCUUAUUCAAAUUAAUAUGUCCUAACGAUACUAUUGAGGCUUCUAAGAUUUAAGUGCCCAAACUCGACUUCUGUAGAUAAACAUAGCAGUACAAUUUUUGCAUAGGUAUACACUAUCUUUCAACAUACUAUUUGAUUCCAUUGUGUAAUUUGGCUGAAAAAUUACGACGUGCUUUUGGUGACCAGACUAGAGUAGAAGUGGCAUAAGAGCUAAUGCAAGGAAGAAAAUCAUGUCCCAGACAUUUGCAUAGCCCGACUCAAAUUUGCCAAAUGUAGCAAGUUUUUUAUGCAAAUUCUAAAUGGUAUUUAAUUUAUCAAAAAUAAUGAAAUUUAGUUCAACGUUUCAGUCCUGAAGCAAACCUAAAACACGUACACUUCUUAUCCUCCUAAUCUUUGCAGAACCAGCAAACGUGGGCAAUAAGAACCGAACAAAUGAAGGCCUCUAUUUAGUCUGCAGCACAUAAACCCUUUAUGCCCAAUGUACAAAAAACAAAAUUGCAUCAAGUAAAUGUAACAGAACAGAAAAAUAAGAGAUAUAUGUAGAAACAGAAACCGAACAUAUCCGGGCAAACACAACAUCUCGCCGCGCAGAUAAAUUCUAGACGUACUUCUGAGGUGAAGAGAGAAGGUGGAUUUAGAAGCAGGAGAGCAAAGGCCCGGGGAUGGGGGCGAGAAACAGAGUUCUAAUGCCUUUGGGUCUACAUCCCCUCUAGAUAUGUAUCUUGGGGUGUCUGAUCUUGUGGCCGUGGGGCUCGUGGUGGCCAGAGAUGCCCUGCAGCCUACUAGGGUGCUAUAACAAAAUCAAAUGCCAUUGACAGCAUGGAGCUAUGUGAUACCCCACAAGUGUAGGGGAUAAUUGUAGCCUCUUUCGAUAAGUAAGAGUGUCGAACCCAACGAGAAGGUAAAGGUAGAACAAAUAUUCUCUCAAGCCCUAUCUGCCACUGAUACGACUCUACGCACGCUUGGUGUUCGCUUUACCUAGAAUAAGUAUGAAACUAGAAGUACUUUGUAGGUGUUGUUGGAUAGGUUUGCAAGAUAAUAAAGAACAUGUAAAUAAAAAGUAGAGGCUGUUUAGAUAAAGAAGCAAUAAAGUAAAGAUAGCGAGUGUGAAAAAGUGGUGGUAGGAGUAGUGAAAUUGUCCCUAAGCAAUUGACUACGUUACUUGAUCAGUAAUCAGUAUUGCAAUUUUAUUUGAGGGAGAGGCAUAAGCUAACAUCCUUUCUCUUCUUGAAUCAUAUGCACUUAUGAUUGGAACUCUAGAAAGCAUCCGCAACUACUAAAGAUCAUUAAGGUAAAACCCAACCAUAGCAGUAAAGUAUCAAGUCCCCUUUAUCCCAUACGCAAACAACCUACUUACUCGGGUUUGUGCUUCUGUCACUCACGCCAUCCACCAUAAGCAAAUCAUGAACAUAUUGCAAAUCCUACAGCGGGAAUCCCUCACGCUUGCGCGACACAGAGAGCACCAUAGGACAACACCAAUAAUAAAACAUGCAACUCAAACCAAUCAUAGCAAUUCAUCAAUCACCGAUAGGACAACGGAAAUCUACUCAGACAUCAUAGGAUGGCAACACAUCAUUGGAUAAUAAUAUGAAGCAUAAAGCACCAUGUUCAAGUAGAGGGUACAGCGGGUUGCGGGAGAGGGGACCGCUGAAUAUAGAUGGGGAAGGUGAUGGAGAUGUUGGUGAAGAUGGCGGAGGUGUUGGUGAAGAUCGCGGUGAUGAUGAUGGCCCCUGGCAGCGCUCCGGCGCCACCGUAAGAAAGGGCGAGAGAGGCCCCCUUCUUCUUCUUCUUCUUCUUCUUCUUCUUCUUCUUCUUCUUCUUCUUCUUCUUCUUCUUCUUCCUUGACCUCCUACCUGGAUGGGAGAAGGGUUUCCCCUCUGGUCCUUGGCUCCCAUGGCGUGGGAGGGGCGAGAGCCCCUCCGAGAUUGGAUCUAUCUCUUUGUCUCUCUCUGUUUCUGCGUUCUCAGAUUCUUCCCCUUCACCGUUUCUUUUAUAUACGGAUAUUCGUAACUCCGAUUGGGGUGAAUCUUUCGCCCAGAUUUUUCUCAUAAAAUUAGCUUUCUUGCGGCAAAAGAAGAGCGUCAACCACCUUACAGGGUGCCAGAGAUAGUCCAGGGUGCACCUUCCUCCCUAGGGCACCCCCCUUGUCUCGUGGCCCCCUCGGGUACCGUCUCGUGUUGAUUCUUCCUCCCAAAAAUCACAAAUAUCCCAAAAUAAUUCUCCGUCCAUUUUUAUCCCGUUUGGACUCCGUUUGAUAUUGGUUUCCUAUGAAACAUAAAACAUGCAACAAACAGGAACUGGCACUGGGCACUGGAUCAAUAUGUUAGUCCCAGAAAUAGUAUAAGAAUUUGCCAAAAGUAUAUGAAAGUUGAAUAAUAUUGGCAUGGAACAAUCAAAAAUUAUAGAUACGACGGAGGCAUAUCAGCAUGCCCAAGCUUAAUUCCUGCUCGUCCUCGAGUAGGCACAUGAUAAAAAAGAUAAUUUUUUAUGUGGAAUGCUACCUAGCAUAAUCUUGAUCACGUAUCUAAUCAUGGCAUGAAUAUUAAGACACGAGUGAUUCAAAGCAAUAGUCUAUCAUUUGACAUAAAAAUGAUAAUACUUCGAGCGUACUAAUAAAGCAAUCAUGUCCUUUCAAAACAACAAGGCCAAAGCAAGCUUAUCCCUACAAAAUCAUAUAGUUUGGUCAUGCUUCAUUUUCGUCACACAAAAUGCUCCAUCAUGCACAAUCCCGAUGACAAGCCUAGCAAUUGGUUCAUACUUUUUAACGCGCUUCAGCUUUUUCAACUCUCACGCAAUACAUGAGCGCAAGCCAUGGAUAUAGCACUAUAGGUGGAAUAGAAUAUGAUGGUGGGGGUUUAUGUGGAGAAGACAAAAAGGGAGAAAGUCUCACAUCGAUGCGGCUAAUCAACGGGCUAUGGAGAUGCCCAUUAAUUGAUGUCAAUGCGAUGAGUAGGGAUUGCCAUGCAACGGAUGCACUAACAGCUAUAAGUGUAUGAAAGCUCAAACUGAAACUAGUGGGUGUGCAUCCAACUUGCUUGCUAAUGAAGACCUAGGGCAUUUGAGGAAGCCCAUCGUUGUAAUAUACAAGCCAAGUUCUAUAAUGAAAAUUCCCACUAGGAUAUGAAAGUGACAAUAUAGGAGACUCUCUGUAUGAAGAACAUGGUGCUACUCUGAAGCACAAGUGUGGUAAAAGGAUAGUAACAUUGCCCCCCUUUUUUUCACUCUUUUUUGGUGGGCUUCUUUGGCCCCCCUUUUUUAUUUAGGCUUAUUUGGCCUCUUUUUUUAUGGGGCAAUGCUCUAUAAUGAUGAUCAUCACACUUUAUUUACCUACAACUCAAUAUUACAACACGAUAUUGGAACAAAGAUAUGACUCUAUAUGAAUGCUUUCGGCGGUGUACCGGGAUGUGCAAUGAUCUAGCAUAGCAAUUACAUGAAAAAAAUGGACAAGCCAUGAAAACAUCAUGCUAGCUAUCUUACGAUCAUGAAAAGCAAUAUGACAAUGAAUGCUCAAGUCAUGUAUAAGAUGAUGAUGGAAGUUGCAUGGCAAUAUAUCUCGGAAUGGCUAUGGAAAUGCCAUAAUAGGUAGGUACGGUGGCUGUUUUGAGCAAGAUAUAAGGAGGCUUAUGUGUGACAGAGCGUAUAAUAUCACGGGGUUUGGAUGUACCGGCGAAGUUUGCACCAACUCUCAAGGUAAGAAAGGACAAUGCGCGGUACCGAAGAGGCUAGCAAUGAUGGAAAGGUAAAAGUGCGUAUAAUCCAUGAACUCACAUUAGUCAUAAAGAACUCAUGUAUUUAUUGCAAAAGUUUAUUAGCCCAUGAAGCAAAGUAUUACUACGCAUGCCCCUAGGGGGAUAGAUUGGUAGGAAAAGACCAUCGCUCGUCCCUGACCGCCACUCAUAAGGAAGACAAUCAAAGAAACACCCCAUGCUUCAACUUUGUCACACAAGGUUACCAUAUGCGCAUGCUACGGGACUUGCAAACCUCAACACAAGUGUCUCUACAAUCCACAACCACCCACUAGCAUGACUCUAAUAUCACCACCUUUAUAUUGCAAAACUAUUGCAAGGAAUCAAACAUACCAUAUUCAGCGAUCUACAAGUUUAUGUAGGAUUUUAUGACUAACCAUGUGAAUGACCAAUUCCUGUCAUCUCUCUAAAUAGAUCUAAGUGAAGCAAGAGAGUUUAAUUCUUUCUACAAAAGAUAUGCCCACGCUUUAACAAAUAUAAGUGAAGCAAAAGAGUAUUCUACAAAUGGUGGUUUUCUAUGUGAAGAGAAAUAGGUAAUCCAAACUUCAAAUGAUAUAAGUGAAGCACAUGAAGCAUUCUUUAAAGCCAUACUCAAAAGAUAUAAUUGAAGUGCAAUUAGCAUUCUAUGAAUCAACCAAGAACUAUGUCAUACCAGCAUGGUGCAUAAAAUGAAACUGAAAACUAAAUGCAAAAGACGCUCCAAGACUUGCACAUGUCGCAUGAACGAAACGAAUACGAAAACAUACUGAUACUUGUUGAAGACAGAGGGGGUGCCUUCCGGGGCAUCCCCAAGCUUAGACGCUUGAGUCUCCUUGAAUAUUUACUUGGGGUGCCUUGGUAAUCCCCAAGAUUUAGCUCUUGCCUCUCUUCCUUUUCCUCAUAUCAAGACCUCCUCGAUUACACACUUGAUCCACACAAAACUUCAACAGAAAACUCGGUAAGAUCCGUUAGUAUAAUAAAGCAAAUCACUACUCUACGUACUGUUGCAAACCAAUUCAUAUUUUGUUUUUGCAUUAUGUCUACUGUAAUAUAGCUUUUCCAUGGCUUAAUCCACUGAUAUAAAUUGAUAGAUUCAUCAAAACAAGCAAACUAUGCAUCCAAAACAGAAUCUGUCAAAAACAGAACAGUCUGUAGAAAUCUGAACAUUUACCAUACUUCUCGUACCCCAAAACUUCUACCAAAAUUAGGAAAAAUAAGCAAUUUGUACAGAAAGACAGUGCAAAAAGAAUCAGAACCAUUUGACGUUCCAGCAAAAAAUGUAAAAUCGUGCACUACAGACAAAGUUUCUGUCCUGCACUGUACAAACCAACAAGCAUUGUAAACAUCCUAAAGGCAAACCUUGGCACAUUAUUUUUAUAAUACAUUGGAAUUGUACAAGGGGAUAAUUACUUUUGAUGAAAAGUUUCUGUAAUCAAGAUUCACAAAGUUUCCGUGAGCAUGAACAAAGUUAAAGGAGCUCUCCCACUUCAACAAUGCUUGUCUCUCUCACUUUCACUUUCCUUUUGAAAAGUUUUGGGUUCCCCUAUUUAUUUAUUUAUUUAUUUGUUUUUAAACUAUAUAAAAGCACUCAACAGAAAAAAAUGACUCUCUAAAACUUCAGGGUUGUCUCCCUGGCAGCGAUUUGUUUAAAGCCAUUAAGCUAGGCAUAUAGUGCUCAAGUAAUGGAUCCACCCGGAUCCCAAGGUAUAUCAAAGCCAAUUUUAAUUAACAAUGAUUUGUGAUUUAGUAGUGAGCACAAAGUAACAUAUAUCAAGCAAUGAUGAAGUCUAACUCUCUUCCUAUGCAUCGGCAUGUCAUAAAAGAACAAUUCAUGCACACAUAGUAAAGGCCAAUGCAUAGUAUAAGUAGUUUCUUGCAGUUUUAUCAUAUUGGAAACAUAGAGAGGUGGAGAUAUAGUUCCUCUCUCGUAAUAAUUGCAAGUAUGAGCAGCAAUCACAUGCAUAUUAUAUCCAUCAAAAUUAUCAUGUGCAACGGUAAAAGGCAUCCCAUCAAUAUAAUCCUUAAUAAGCACAAACUUCUCCGAUAUAGUGUAGUUGAGAGAAUUCAAAAAGAUAGUAGGACUAUCAUGCGUGGGUGCAAUAGCAACAAUUUCAUGUGUAACAUAAGGAACUAUAGCAAGUUCAUCUCCAUAAGCAUAACUCAUAUUGGCAUCUUGGCCACAAGCAUAGGAAAAGCAUCAUCAAAAAGGGGUAUUUGAAGAGAAUCAACGGGAUCAUAGCAAUCAUCACAGCAAUCAUCCUUCGGUAAGCACGAAGGGGAAUUAAACAAUGUAUGAGUUGAAGAGUUACUCUCAUUAGAAGGUGGGCACGGGUAGCUAAUCCGCUCUUUCUCCUUCUGUUCUUCGCUCUCCUCAUCAUCUUUUUCAUCCAAUGAGCUCACAGUUUCAUCAAUUUCUUCUUCCAUAGCUUCCUGCAAAAUAUUAGUCUCUUCUUGGACAGCGAAGUAGUCCUCAAUAUAUAGUUUAGCAUCGGCAUUAGAAGCAUAAUUAUCAUAGCAAUAUUCAAGUAUGGCAAAAUUUUCAGAUUUGUAGAGAGUAGCAUCAUACUUUUCAAUCAAAGAAGCAAUUUCAGAAGCACCCUUAAAAGCAACAAAUUCUUCAAUUUGUUGAACAUCAUAGUAAUUAUAAACACCCUUAGCAUAUGAAGAUACGAUUCCAUUAUCACUAAACAAGCAUUGGUAGGGAAGGUCUUUCUUAGGGUUAUCAGAACAACAAGUAACACCAUAUAUUUCAUAUAAAGUCCCAGCAUAGCAUGGAAAACGAUGAAUUUGAUCCAGUAAAAGUUUCCCCUUUUCAGAUAUACGGUGUCGCACAUAACAAGCAUGCUCAUCUAAAGAUUUGCCCUCAACUAAGCAAGUGGGGGUUUAGGCACGAGCACAAAGGGAUCGAAGAUGAUCCAAGUAAAAACCUUCAGGAGUGAUACAUUUUGAGUGGUUCUUCAACCAUUGGUUCAGUAGGUACAACUAAUUUUUUUGGUAUUUUGCAUUUCCUACCCAAAACUAAAGAUAGAAAACAACUAAGAAUAGCAAAUAAAAAUUACUUAGUGAUAAAGCAAACAAGCACACAUGAGAAUAUUCACCCCAUGCUAUGACUCCCAGGCAACGGCGCUAAAAAAAGGUCUUGAUAACCCACAAGUGUAGGGAAUAAUUGUAGCCUCUUUCGAUAAGUAAGAGUGUCGAACCCAACGAGGAGCUAAAGGUAGAACAAAUAUACGACUCUACGCACACUUAGUGUUCGCUUUACCUAGAACAAGUAUGAAACUAGAAGUACUUUGUAGGUGUUGUUGGAUAGGUUUGCAAGAUAAUAAAGAACACGUAAAUAAAAACUAGGGGCUGUUUAGAUAAAGAAGCAAUAAAGUAAAUAUAGCGAGUGUGGAAAAGUGGUGGUAGGAGUUGUGAAAUUGUCCCUAAGCAAUUGACUACGUUACUAGAUCGGUAAUCACUAUUGCAAUUUAUUUGAGGGAGAGGCAUAAGCUAACAUACUUUCUCUUCUUGGAUCAUAUGCACUUAUGAAUGGAACUCUAGCAAGCAUCCGCAACUACUAAAGAUCAUUAAGGUAAAACCCAACCAUAGCACUAAAGUAUCAAGUCCCCUUUAUCCCAUAUGCAAACAACCUACUUACUCGGGUCUGUGCUUCUGUCACUCACGCCACCCACCAUAAGCAAAUCAUGAACAUAUUGCAAACCCUACAGCGGGAAUCCCUCACGCUUGCACGACAUGGAGAGCACCAUAGGACAGCACCAAUAAUAAAACAUGCAACUCAAACCAAUCAUAGCAAUUCAUCAAUCACCGAUAAGACAACAGAAAUCUACUCAGACAUCAUAGGAUGGCAACACAUUAUUGGAUAAUAAUAUGAAGCAUAAAGAACCAUGUUCAAGUAGAGGGUACAGUUGGUUGUGGGAGAGUGGACCCCUGAAUAUAGAUGGGGGAAGGUGAUGGAGAUGUUGGUGAAGAUGGCGGAGGUGUUGGUGAAGAUCGCGGUGAUGAUGAUGGCCCCUGGCAGUGCUCCGGCGCCACCAGAAGCAAGGGGGAGAGAAGCCCCCUUCUUCUUCUUCUUCUUCUUUUUCCUUGACAUCCUCCCUAGAUGGGAGAAGGGUUUCCCCUCUGGUCCUUGGCUCCCAUGGCAUGGGAGGGGCGAGAGCCCCUCCGAGAUUGGAUCUAUCUCUCUGUCUCUCUCUGUUUCUGCGUUCUCAUAUUCUUCCCCUUCACCGUUUCUUUUAUAUCCGGAGAUCCGUAACUCCGAUUGGGGUGAAUCUUUCGCCCAGAUUUUCUAAUAAAAUUAGCUUUCUUGCGGCAAAAGAAGAGCGUCAGCCGCCUUACGGGGUGCCCAGGAGAGUCUAGGGCGUGCCGGCCUCCCUGGGGCGCGCCUCCCUGUCUCGUGGCCGCCUCGGGCACCGUCUCGCGUUGAUUCUUCCUCCCAAAAAUCACAAAUAUUCCAAAAUAAUUCUCCGUGCGUUUUUAUUCCGUUUGGACUCUGUUUGAUAUUGGUUUCCUCCGAAACAUGAAACAUGCAACAAACAGGAACUGGCACUGGGCACGGGAUCAAUAUGUUAGUCCCAAAAAUAGUAUAAAAAGUUGCCAAAAGUAUAUGAAAGUUGAAUAAUAUUGGCAUGGAACAAUAAAAAAUUAUAGAUACGACGGAGACGUAUCACUAUGUCAGGAGUGUGGCGGCCCUCUUGGACAUCAGAGCGCGCGUAGGAUGCUGGUACGUAGUGGUGGGCGCUGCCGUUGAGAUCAAGGUUGGGGGAGAUGGGAGGGGUGCCCCUGGGCGUGCUAAAUAAAGGAGCCUGGGAGCUGGCCGGGCACCUCCAUUGGUGUUAGGUUGCUGCCAAUGCAUGGGUGCUUAGAUGAGGUGCUAAGCACAUUAAAUAGCUUAGCAACUAUACUCCCCAAUGCAUAGGUGCUUAGCUUAUGGUUGCUAAGCUUGCUUCAUUUAAUGAUUUAGCAACUAAAGUUCUUCAUGUAUUGGUGGACUUCUUUCCUUUAAUUGUUUUGCCUAGGUUUACGAGCUUAGCAUUGUCUCUUCCUGGGUCACCACACUCGUCUCUCUCCUCUUAAAUAACUUGCCACAUCAAAUUUUUUGCCUAUGUGGAAGGCUUAGCACCUGUACAAGGUGGAGCAUUGGGAGAGGCCUUAAUGGAUUUUUAGCAACGGUAACAUUACUCCUCGCUUGAAUACCGGUGGACGAUCUCCAAUCACCCACUAUGCUGCAUCGCUGCCCAUUAAUGCGUCGCUAUCUCUACGCAUUUCCCGCACACUGCCCUUCCCAAAGCAGACACUCUUUCUUGCGAUAUUCCUUGUGCUAACCGGGCCGAUGUUAAACAACAGAUGAUGGCAAGCGAAUAUGUUACAGUGAGCUUAAAUGGGAUUCUUGAGGGAGAAGGGUAUGAUUAACCAUAAACCACCGAUUUUGUGACAGGAGUAGCAGCCAAUGAGGCAUCCAGUCCACUUAGUGCUAUUUAAAAGUAUCUUACGGCCAAAAAGCGACCAUCACAAAAUGAUCCAAUGGUUAGGAACGGUGCUGGACUGAGAGGGCAGGAAAGAUGCUCAGGUAUAAUGUAUCCAUAUGUCCUUCCCACGAUAUUGAGCAUGAACAUUUGUUGUGCUUGGACCAGCGUCCCUUAAGGUGCACACUAUCCGGAUAGACUUUGCUGGUUGCCACCCCCAUAUCUUUGGGACAUAGAGUGGAUGUGACUUUCACGGUGAUUGGUGAUGUACCAACUAUUGUCAUACCCAUGCAGCAACCGUACCAAAACAGGGCACUCACACCUACAUGAACUGUUGUUUACUGACUCUGGCUUCCCCUGCACACCAGCUAGCACAUGUCAUGGUCAGCGCAACUAAAUUAGUGAUGGGAGCCCCACAAAUAAAAGGACAGAAGAGAAGAGAGUGGCGUUUUGGCACAUGGAAGCACGUGUUCCUAUUUUUAAAAUUUAUUUUAAACAUACUUUGAAAUAUCAAAAAAAUUCAAACAAAAACUUGGCGCGUACAUCUCGAUAUUAUACAUUCUCACAAAGUUGUUUCGCGAAAAACUGACAACUCACGCGUCGCGUGUGAAAAAGACAAAAUCCGGUCUUAAAAAAUACUUUUCACAAAACAUCCUUUUGUCUUUUUUACACAAGCCACAAAAAAUGGUGGGUUUUCUUCGAAACUUGACAUGCACACAUAUAAUGUCAAAAUGUAUGCGCCAAAUUUUUGUUUGGAAUUUUUUCACACAUUGAAAUAUUUUUUUUGUGUCCAGGAGCGCGCGCUCCAGGGAGCAGCAACAUAUAUCCACAUAAUAGAUAAGCAGAAGGCACUACAUGCCAAGCAGCCACAAAUGAUUUCCUGCAUCUAUUUGGUCCUCUCAGCAUUAAAUCUAGUCUUACAAUACCUGAUCCCAAACCCAAUCUCCCAUGAAUACAAGUUGUAGAUGUCGUGCGCCUCACCUAGCGAGUAGUGAGUUGAAUUCAGUCCCAGUUCUGGCUUGAUUACACUCUCCCUAGCCUCCUCUGCACAUUUCCGAAUCGACUGCUCCAAUGCCCUCAUCCUACAUGGACAAGGCCUUUUGUCCGAUGGAGAACUCUUGAGGCGUAACCUGAUUUUUUAGCAACACAGUCAAUCGGAUAGAUGCAGGCUUACCUCUUAUGUCCAUCCUGGUCCUCCGGAUUGACCCUAUCAGUAGACCCGGACCAUGUCGGAGACGCCUUUUUUCACCGGCUUCCUUCGCCACCUUGCUGCCCGCACCCAGACCCAACAUUGGAGUUCCCCGGCUCAGUCGGGUGGGCAUCACCGCGUAACUGGAUCGGGAUGCUCCAACAUGUUCGCAAACUUCUCCGGCAAAGGAAACCUGCAAGACACACCAUGGCCACUGGCGGUGGAAGUGGGAUGAGGGGACAACGGUUGUACGAAGCACCAACUCUCAAAAAUCGACGUGGAUGAGGGGGCGGGUUGAACUCACCGGUUGAAGGCAUCGAACAGGAACUCAAGCCCCGCAUCCUCCAUCGCCAACACCGCCAGAACUAGCAAAAGCCGCCUCAAUUACGGAUGGAGUGGGCUGAUGUGAGGGCGGGUUUGGCGGACCUCCUACUGGCGGUCUCAAUCCCUGGUUGACCUACCGAGAAAGGUCCACAAAUUCGUCUGUGUGACGGCUCAAGUUUUUCGCGUAACCCUAGGCCACGGCUCAAACAGAAAUUCUCUGUCCUGGUCCACGGAGCAUUAAAUCCCGCCCGAGUCAAGGCGCCCAUCCCUACUUAAUUGGCCGCACACACGGUCGCACUGUUUCAUGCUGUAUACAAGCCGUAUCCUCAUUAUUUGCCGGUGCAGAUUUUUUUCGGAAAAACAUCCAAUAUAUUCAUCUUCAAUCAUGGCGGUACAACAAACACCAGAAAUAAUAAAAUUUAUAUCUAGAUCCGUAGACCGCCUAGCGACGACUACAAGCACUAAAGCGAGCCGAAUGCGCGCCGCUGUCAUUGCCCCUCCCUCACUGGAGCUGGGCAGAACUUGUUGUAGUAGACAGCAGGGAAGUCGUCGUCCUAAGGUCCCAUAGGACCAUCUCACCAGAAUAGCAACCACCGCCGAUGAAGUGUAGCACAAAUCGAAAGGAUCCAACCUGAAAACACACGAACGUAGACGAACGACGAACAUAUCCAAGCAAAUCCACCAAUGACAGAUCUACCGGAGACACACAUCCACACGCCCACCGACAAUGCUAAAUGCACCACCAGAACUGGGGCUAGGCGAGGAGAACCUUAUUCCAUCUUCAGGGAGCAGCCAUUGUCUCAUCUUUCUGAGUUGGACACAAACCCUAACAAAUCUCGAAGACACAUCUAAAAACCGAUCCCUUCCCUGGCAAGGGCCAGGAUCCGCUGCGCUCCCAUGACCCUAAGGCAACCGGAGAUGAGGCGGACCAGCGCCGGCGCCGGUGGGAGGCACAUGAAUCCUAGUUGGGGAGGAGGAGGCGGCCUGAGGAUUCAUGUAACGUCCUUUCUAGGUUCACCGGUUGUCCCCUUCUAUUCUGCCGAUGCAGAUCUGACACGUCAAAACGAAUUGUUGCAAUCCCCAGGCAGCAGCGAAUGCUAGCGAUAUUGGGAGCAGCUGAGCUCGAGCACCGAAUCGCUGCGUCCCGCGAGCAUAGUAGCCAGAAGAGAAACCGAGCGUGUAUAAAGCGCUAAACUACACUGCCCUAACAGAGCGUGCGUGUGAGCGCUGAUGCGCCAACCAACGCCAUAAGCAUGGUAGAGGAGUGCUCCUGCAAUUUGUUGCCUCAAAUAGGUGGGGAAACACAUAAGGACAGGCACUGGUCGGCCCAUUCAUUUCAUACUGUACAAACCCGGUAGCCAAGAUUUUUUCGGUGUUGUACACUUUCAAGCGCUUUUUCAAUUAGGCGUUUUCUUUUUCAUAUUUUGAAAAACAUUAGAAAAACUUAUUUAUUGAAAAACUAAGUAUUGAGUUUUUAAAAUAAUUUUACAAAAUGUGAACAUUUUUAAAAACAUGAAUGUUUUCAUAAUGCAGACCAUUUUUUCAAGUUUUGAACAUUUUUUCAAAAACACGAAUAUUUUUGGAAAACACUAAAAAAUUGUGAAAACAUUCAAAUGAAAUUAUCCAUUUUGAAAAACUAUUCAUAUAUUUAAUAAACAUGAACAUUUUUGAAGAUUUUGUGAAAAAAUCUGAAAAAGAACAAAAGAAAACAAAAUAUAAACCAGCAAAAGAAGAAAACCUAAAAAACCGGAAUCCUUAAUGCGUCAUAAUAAUGCACGUCUAUUUUUUAUGAAUAUGUCUUCGAAUCAAAAAUUUCUUUCAUAUAUGGGUUUGCCUAUACCUCACUUGUAGUGAGGCAAAAGAACACAACGCCUCAGGCCCCCUGUAUUGUGGCCUAGGGAUUCUUCAUUAUGCAGGAAGCCGGCUUGGUAGGCCGGCCCAGGGCCUCAUAGGUCGGCUUGUCCAGGGCCAUCAAUCUGGCCCAUGGAUCCAAUUAGAGAAAGGCUCGGGGAACUUGGAGCGGGUGACAGGGUGACUAGCGUCCAGGAGAACUCCUCCAAUGACCAACUACGAUCGUGUAAUCUUAGACCCCGACACCCAUAUAUGUGGUGGCUAGAUUAGUCAAUAGACACAGAACCUUAGAACUAUUGCUCAAUCCAUCGAUUAUUGUAACCCCUAUACACAAGCAAUAUACACGAGCAGGGGUUAGGAUUUUAGCUCAUCCAUGAGGGUCUGAACCUGGAUAAACCCCUUCUUAUUUCCCAUUUGGUUUAAUCGCAUGGCCAGAGAACCUUAUCAAGUGAUCUGUCGGAAAUAACUCCACCAGUCAUAAAUGGGCUAGGGCCAGAUAAUUUUUUUCUCCUUUUCUCUUAUUUUGUUUCUACUUUUGGUUCAAUUUAAAACAUAUUGUAAAUAUAUAUAUUUGGAAAUAUUCUUCAUCAAUUAUUAAUAACAUUCACCAUGCCUGAAAUAAUGGUCAUGAAAUGAAAUUAUUUUUUUGCACAAUUUGAGAAAUUGUUCAUAUCCUUCAAACGAAUAUUCGUAUCAUUUUUAAAAUGUUCGCGUGUUUAAAAAUGAAUGAAUUUUUAACAAUGUUUAUUAAAAUAUAUAAAAAUUAACAGUGUAAUUUGUAAAAAAUGUUCAUACCAUUCAAAUAAUGUUUAACACUUUAAAAAUGUUCAAACAUUUUAAUUUUAAGUAUUUUUUAGUAAAUACUAUUGAUAUAGAAAAAAAUUGACAAAAAAUUAAAAGUUUGUAACAUAUAAAAAUGUUUGUAAAAUUUUCAAAAUAUGUUCAUAAACACUUACGAAAUGUUUGGCACAUUUACGGAUAUGUUGAUGUCUUAAUUUUUUGAAAACUAUCAAUGAAAUUUACAAAAAUGUUCCUAGCAGAAAUGCUAUUACAAAAAUUUAUGAAUAGAAAAUGUGUAUAAAAUUUACAGAAAAGUUCACAAUUUUUUGAAACUUUAAAGCUGGCUUCUGAUUUUUUUUCAAAAUUUUGAGGUCCAUGGAGCUCGGGAUCCAAACAUCCACUCUCUACCAACUAUAUGCAUGUAUCUUGUAGCAAGCCAUGAGCCAAGGGUUGCUACAUGAUCAAUUGCUGACUGGGCAGUGUGUUUUCUUCAUUUAGGGCAGAUCACAAGUGUUUGACAUCUCUCUCUACAUUGGGUAUCCUUUUCCACUUGAAUUUUAAGAUGCGCAGAAUGUGCUUUCCUUGUUGUUGCCUCGUCAUUCCAGCAUGGAAUCAAAGCAAAAAUGAUAUUACUUCCCUUAAAAAUUGUCUCGCUAUCUAUGUCCAUAACAUGCCCAUUGGACUGCAUGGCAGAAGUGAAGGUGUGUGCCUAGCUGGCGGAGCAGACACACUCAUCUGUGACCUCUGAUCUAAGAAUGACAUGUACUUUGUUGUGAGCCCAUGGUGCAUGUGGGUUGGAACGCUCCUUAGGAAAUCUAGACUUAUUUUGCAGGCAAGCCAAGAUGAGAUCUGUAGGCCCAUGUGAAUUCCAUCAAAAUCACGCUCAGUUCAACUCUGGUUCGAAUCCUAAUAAAAAAUAGCUCAGCGGUCCUAGAUGGAUAUGUCCAUUGCUAAAAAAUGCAGUUUUUGAAAGAGUCAAUUUGACUUGUAGCUAGAGGACGCCGACACCUGUCACUUCUUCUACACGCACUAAACAAACCCUAGCUUAUCCAACUCAAUUUGCUUUAAGGUUUGUGUGUGAAAGAAGUAGUGUUAAAACCAAACACCACACUCUUCGACCUGAGAAAUCAAUAGUAAAUUUACCUAUGGAUAUUAAAUCUAUAUACAUCAUACUUGAUUUGUCAAGUUGAUAAUACUUACUAAACAUAUUUCAAAUUACAAUAUUUGGUGCUUCACAGCCUGUUAUGAAAUUAUUGUUCACCCAUCCAAUACAAUAAAAAGUAUUUGAAUGAUGUUAACGCACGCGUGAGAGAGAGAGAGAGAGAGAAAGACUAGAGUACAUUUUGUCGUGAUGUCCAUCAUAGUUCCACGAUUAGUACACCUAGGAGGAGACAAUCAAAAUAUGGACAGAAAAUAAAUAUUUAAUAUGUAAAUGGUAGGUAACAAAUCCAACCACAAAAUUGUGCAAGCAACCCACUAGCUAGUUUUAUUGAAUAUUAAAAUAACAUAGUUGAUUUCUAAAACAUAUAAGAUUUAUUAUCUCAUCAACACAUAAUUAUUUUGAGAACCAUAAGGUUGAGAUUUAUCCACCCAAAAUAGGGGAGAUAACAAAACUAUUGUGUUGUUGUUGCUGGUGUGCAAUUAAUCUUGCAGGGACAAUUGAUGAAGCAUUCUCCAAGAUCUGGCCAGCACAAGUUAUCUAUUUGACAGCAGAAUUCCCGUCCUGGGAGCUGGUGCCCAUCUUUAUAACAAGGGGGUCUGGUUACAUGGCUUACUUUGCUCAUCAUGUUUCUCCCCUUGUUGUUUAUGAGUUCACCUAAUUAACAUAAAAUAAAGAAUAUACUUAUCAUCUCAUCAUAUAAACAAUAAAAGUCCACAAUAUCAAUCCCCCCAAAAAAUUGAGUUGUUAAUUACCAUAUGUGCCUCCAAGAGAAGGCAAACACACCACGAGAAGAAAAGAAAGUAGCACAAGUCCUUGCACAUCGUUCCUCGUGAACUUUGUCAUCGUCACUAAGGAAUACAGGCUAUUAAUAGGUGGUACUAUUGUAUGUGGAGUUGAUAAGUGUAUGACCGUGAAAUGCUUGCUCCAUGAAUGGUUCAUAUAUAUAUAUAGGAAAAGCUUCUCCGUGUUGAUGUGUGAAGUUAUAGAAAAUAUUAAUGCUUGGAGUUAUGGCUUGUCUGAAUUUCCAAUUUUAGUUUCACUUCUAAAGAUUCAUGGUUCCUUCUAAAGUUUUUUCUUCUCAAAUUGAUGCUUUGUCAUAGCAUGUAAGUUACUUUAAUGCCCCCUCUAGAAUUGACCGCUUAUUGUUUCCAAGGGGUAGAAUUGACCUCUUAGAAUGGGUAGCAAAAAACGGGUGCAUGGCAAUAUUAUGUUUAAGGCAUUGAUAAUAAUUGGUAUAACAUUAAUAAUUCCUAUAUAUAUGAUGCCUUAUCAGUAAAAUUAUUAAUUUCUCUCUUGGUAUAAGAGAACAAAAUUUAAAAUUCAACAAGACUCGUCCAAUUAACAUUGGACUUGUUUUUUAAUGUAUAUAAGCAAUUGUUCUUAAGUAUAUCAACAAGUUAUGGAUACAUUUUUUUUACUUUUAUUCCAUGAACAUAUAUUAAUUAUGGGAUGGCCAUUUUAUAAAUAUAAGAUGAUGAUUUAUUUUCAUAUACAUGAACUUUUUAUAUCAAGGUACUUGAGCAUUUUUUACAUUUUUCUAUACACAAAAUUUUCUCCAAUAUUAAGUCGAUUUUGAUUUCUUUAAAUAGAUUAGUUUACCCAAAACGUUCUUUUAUUAGAAUAGUGAAAAUGUCGCACUUGCCUUGACUAUGGAAAAUUUCGUUGGGCGGAGCUUCCCAAUUCUCGGGACUCCCUAUACGUUCCUCCUUGCGGCUAACAACCUCCCCUUCGGAUAGUGCGCGCCUGGCUGGGCCGGCCCAUUGACGACACGAAUGGACACCACAGAGUGGGAGAGUAGGCGCUGAGCCAAUCCACUUUAGCGACAAUUUUUAAAAUUUUGGAAAAUUUCUUUGCAAAAUGAACAAGCAUUGAUAAAUGCGAAGUUUUUUUUGAACAUAUUCUAAAAUUUGAAAUGUCUUAAAACCCCAAUUAUGUUUGGAAUUUCGUUCAUUUUUUUGAAAAAUGAACACUUUAGGAAAUACUGAACAUUAUUUGAGAACUACAACCUUUUCUUGGAAAACCAAUAAUUUAUGAAAAACGUGUAUAUUUUAUAAUUUGUAGAAUGUUUUUCAAAAUUAUGAUUUUUUAGAACUCAAACAAUUUUUGAAAUUUCGAACAAAAUAUGAGAAUCAGAACAUUUCCUGAAAACUUGAAUAUUUUCAAAAUUUCAAAUUUCCACACAUUUUAAAAUGGAGACUUUUUGAUAAAGAAAAUAAGAAAAAUAAAACAAGGAAAAAACAAAUACGUAAAACUAAAAAAUAACUCAAAGAAAACGGUAACAGAAACAGAAGGAAAAAAAGAACAAACGAAAAUACCAGUAAAAAUCAUAUCAGAACCUUUUGGAAGGCUCCCAGAAUCUGUAAAAGCCUGGAAGAAAUAUUCCGAAAGUUCGUAAAACUAGAGUGGCGUGACUAACAUGGGUCGGCCGUCCGCAAGCUCUAGCACCAGGUCUGUUUGCAAUCCCCGGCAAUUUGAUGUUGACUGCUCAAAUAGGGUUUUCGCCAAUUCUCUUGUUUCUUAUUGCCUCAUAUGAGUUUCUUGUUGUUCGGGGCAUACCUUGGCGCCAUUUUUAUGGGUUCGAUGACCGCCAUCAAGGGUCUCUUAGUGGAAUCACAGCAUCUUGCAUCAUGCGAUGGCGUGAGGAGAUUAUGGUGGCCCUACUGGCAUUUUGGGGAGCAUUAUGCCUCCACAGCGCUCCAAACGGAGAUUAGCAUUUGCAAUGUCGUCUCCGCAUGCCUCGGUUAUUUCUUACCCGAGCCCUUUACUUUGUGAUAGCUAUAGUGUUUCAUGUUAUAUAUCUUGCUAUCACAUAGUUGUUUGUCAUGCUUAGCAUAAAUUGUUGGUGCACAUAGGUGAGCUAGUUGUUUUAGGUUUUAUGCUUGACAAAUUAUACGCUAGUUUUAUUCUGCAUUUGUUCAAGCAUAAAUAGUGAUUUUUAAAGCGUCUAUUCACCCUCCCUCUAGGUAACAUCCACGAUUUUCAAGUGGUAUCAGAGUGUCGCCUCUCUUUAUUAGGCUUAACCACUUAGAGAGUAAAGAUGUCGACUAGGGGAUUAGGAUUCUUUGACACUCUUUGUUUUGAUGGCACAAUUUUUGAUGUUUGGGUAAUUCGUAUGGUUAAUCUCUUUAGGGUCAUGGACCCAAAUUUAGAGUGAAUUGUAGAUAUUAGUUUUAUCCUUCAAAGGAUCCUCAAAGAUUAUCUCUAGAUGAUGAGAAAAACUCUUAUCUCACUGCUCAAGCUUCUAAUGUGCUUUUUGACGCUUUGAACAAUGUAGUUAUAUUUGAACUUAUGUUGUUCUAGGAUGCUCAUUAGUUGUGGACAAAGCUUCAAGAUAAAUAUGGUGUGUCCAGGAUUUGUGGGAAUGAUUAUUCUCCCCCCACCUCCAGUCUUAUGGUGUUCUCAACUUCUUCUACUUCACCUACAUGUGGAUUGUCACAAGGUAGUGAUAUGGUGAGUAGUGUUGGUCAUUGCAAUGAUUAUAUUGGGCUUAUUGUUGAUGGUCCUUCAUCACUAUCUUAUUGAAUACUCCUUCUUUGCACUUUAACACUUCGAGCUCUCUAGAUGGUUCACAUGCUCGUGUUGAUAGUCCUUGCAUAUCAUGUAGAAAUUGCUCGACUAAAUCCCAUGAUGAUAUGAUUGCUAUGUCUUGCUGCCAUGAUAAAAGUGCCUCUAUUUCCUCGAGUUGUUCUGCAAACAGUGUAAAGGAAACCCUACACUCCAUGGAACAAGAUGUGGUCCUGAAUGGUGCUUCAAGGGAUCGAACAUCAUCAUCUAUUGUUUCUCACUUUUACCUUAUGGCUACGACUUCAAAGGUAUCUCCCACUUUGAAUCCCAAUAUAUAUUGUGAUGAUGAUAUUCAUGAUAAUCAUGGGAGGGGCCGCACCCAGUUGAAAUCAGGGGAGGGCCCUACCCAGUUGAAAUCAGGGGGUGGAGUGAUCAGUUAGGAAAGUUAAGUGAGAUUACAUAGGAUUUCUACGUAAUGCUACACCUACGUAGCUAUCAUACAAGAAUUUCUCCUCCCUCUCGUCCCAUUGCCCCUUCCUUGACACUCUGCUUGAUAAGAAUGUUCUGCACUCCAGCAACACAUGUAUCUUCAGUAGUCCUAGUGCAAUUUUGCCUUCCCCUGCUUUUGUACAUCUAAAUCCACAUCCGCACGAGAUGUACCAACAAUCACUUGGGUUACGAAAGCUAUAUUUCCCACACAAGGGAAGGGCGAGAAAUCGAUACUGCAAAUUUGUCAUCUUAGGACUGACAUUUACACUUACGAUUUAACAAGAAUGGAUCAGAUCAUAGUUCAAAUAAGCUAAGUACGAAUGUACAUAAGUUUUCCAGUUAUAGGAUCAACUUAUAGGGGUGCUGCAAAAGCAACAACUUUGAACCAAGCUUCAUUGCCUCAGUAUACACAAGUUUCUUCCGGGGGUGCCCCAGCUGAGCCAGGGCGAGACAAAAAAAUACAGAUUUCAGUCGACCUCACGGUUUGUUCACUAUGGACAUGCCCUUAACUACCAUGCUUUUACCUGACUAUGUGCAGACCGAAGGUAAAGCCCAUUGAACUCGAGGAUGUUGUGCAUGAUGUACACAUCUCUAUCCUCCUUAAGAUCAUGGGAUCACUAAUCAUCUUUGUUAGUGUCAUGUAUGACAAAAAAAUUAUCAUUGUUCAAAAGUCAGAUGUACUAACUUUGUGCACAGUUCGUUCUGCGCCACUAAAGGGUACACAAAAGUCCAUCCAGUCGUGUCAACCAACCCAGCACCGAAAAUGUCAUUGAACACUCACCCCUUCGACCAUUCGAACCUUUGUGAUCCAAUGUUGGGCUCGAGCUACCGAGGUUUCUGCUGUUGCAGUACAUCUCAUUGGUAGGAUCCAAGGAGAUUUUGUGUCUGAAGCACACCCAUGGGUAGGACAAGCAUUAGUCAAGAGCAAACUUUAAAUAUUUUGGAACACCAACUACGAAUGUGUAACUAUUUGCUUGCGGUGCACCCACAUUCUAGUUCUAACUUUGCCAGUUCUGCAGCAGCAAACAUUUCAUCCGAUCUUAUCUGUUCUUCUUUGUCAACCUCGCCAACAACAUCUUGGUUUGUUUGACUCUUGGCAUUCACACUAUUCACCCCAACUCCACUUCUGGCAACAUCUCUCAGUCUCAGCUUCAGCUGAAGCCUGCUCAACCUCCACAGCCAUGGCCCCCUAUGUGCACAAUUGACCCCGAAUAAACAUUUUUAGACUACCAACCUGACCCGAGGCCACCUCGCAGUUCUGAUGAAAUACGUAGGUUGCUCUGCCCAGCUGGUGCUCCAAUGGGUUACCUUACAUUGCAAGACAAUAUUGGUAUUUAUAUUUUUGUGGUUUAGCAUUGCUGCAUUUGUCGACAAAUAGUGCACUGGUCGAACAACAAUCAAGCUUUUUUUUUUGAAAAGGAAGAUGUACCCCCGACCUCUCCAUCUAGAUGAUGCAUUCAACCAUAUUAUUAAUUAUUCACAAAGAUCAUACAAGGUGAUACAUCUAUAAGCCUGAAGCCACCAUCUUGGCAAUGUUGUUGCUAAUUCUAUCCCCUAAGAUAAUCCAAGGACAACCAAAAGCCUAAGCUUGGGGAUGCCCCGGAAGGCAUCCCCUCUUUCGUCUUCGUCUAUCGGUAACUUUACUUGGAGCUAUAUUUUUAUUCGCCACAUGAUAUGUGUUUUGCUUGGAGCGUCUUGUAUGAUAUUAGUCUUUGCUUUUUACUUUACCACAAUCAUCCUUGCUGUACACACCUUUUGGGAGAUACACACUUGAUUUGGAAUUUAUUAGAAUACUCUAUGUGCUUCACUUAUAUCUUUUGAGCUAGAUAAUUUUGCUCUAGUGCUUCACUUAUAUCUUUUAGAGCACGGCGGUGGCUUUAUUUUGUAGAAAUUGUUGAUCUCUCAUGCUUCACUUAUAUUAUUUUGAGAGUCUUUUAGAACAGCAUGGUAUUUUCUAUGGUUAUAAAAUUGGUCCUAGAAUGAUGGGCAUCCAAGUUGGGUAUAAUAAAACUAUCAUAGGAAGUGAAUUGGAUGCUAUGAUCAAUUUGAUGCUUCAUAAUUGGUUUGAGAUAUAGGGGUGGUGAUAUUAGAGUCAUGCUAGUUGGGUAAUUGUGAAUUUAAAGAAUACUUGUGUUGAAGUUGGCAAGUCUCGUAGCAUGCACGUAUGGUAAAAGUUGUGUAACAAAUUUGUUUCAUAGGUUGCUCUUUUAAUUGCCUUCCUUAUGUGUGGAGGUCAGGAUCGCGCGAUGGUUAACUCCUACCAACCCUUCCCCAAGGAGCAUGCAUAGUAGUACUUUGCUUCGAGGGCUAAUAAAACUUUUGCAAUAAGUAUAUGAGUUCUUUAUGACUAAUGUGAGUCCAUCGAUUAUAUGCACUCUUACCUUUCCAUCAUUGCUAGCCUCUUCGGUACCGUGCAUUGCCCUUUCUCACCUUGAGAGUUGGUGCAAUCUUCGCCGGUGCAUCCAAACCCCAUGAUACGAUAUGCUCUAUCACACAUAAACCUCUUUAUAUCUUCCUCAAAAUAGCCACCAUACCUACCUAUUAUGGCAUUUCCAUAGCCAUUCCGAGAUAUAUUGUCAUGCAACUUUCCACCGUUCCGUUUAUCAUGACACGCAUCAUCAUUGUCAUAUUGCCUUGCAUGAUCAUGUAGUUGACAUCGUAUUUGUGGCAAAGACACCAUGCAUAAUUUUUCAUACAUAUGUCACUCUUGAUUCAUUGCCCAUCCCGAUACACCGAAGGAGGCAUUCAUAUAGAGUCAUAUUUUGUUCUAGUUUUGAGUUGUAAUUCAUGAGUUGUAAAUAAAUAGAAGUGUGAUGAUCAUCAUUAUUAGAGCAUUGUCAGUUAUAAAAAAAAGAAAGGCCAAAAAAAAGGAAAGGCCAAAGAAAAAAAAGGAAGAAAAAAAAAGAAAGGCCAAAAAAGGGAAAGGCCCAAAAAAGGGAAAAUAAAAAAAGGGGGACAAUGUUACUAUCUUUGUCCACACUUGUGCUUCAAAGUAGCACCAUGUUCUUCUUGCGGAACGAAGUAAUUUCAAAAAAAUUCCUACACACAUGCAAGAUCGUGGUGAUGCAUAGCAACGAGAGGCGAGAAUGUUGUUGACGUACCCUCAUAGACCGAAAGCGGAAGCGUUAGCACAACGCGGUUGAUGUAGUCGUACGUCUUCACGAUCCGAUCGAUCCAAGUAUUGAACAUACGGCACCUCCGAGUUCAGCACACGUUCAGCUCGAUGACAUCCCACGAACUCCGAUCCAGUAGAGCUUUGCAGGACAGUUCCGUCAGCACGACGGUGUGAUGACGGUGUUGAUGAUGCUACCGACGUAGGCCUUCGCCUAAGCACCGCUACGAUAUUACCGAGGUGGAAUAUGGUGGAGGGGGGGCACCGCACACGGCUGGGAGAGAUCAACAAAUCAACUUGUGUGUCUAGAGGUGCCCCCCUUCCCCGUAUAUAAAGGAGCAAGGGGGGGAGGCGGCCGGCCAGGAGGAGGGCGCGCCAAGGGGGAGUCCUACUCCCACCGGGAGUAGGACUCCUCCUUUCCUUGUAGGAGUAGGAGAAGGGGGAAAGGGAGAGAGAGAGGAAGGAAAGGGCCCCCCCCCCCUUGUCCAAUUCGGACUAGAGGGGGAGGGGGGCGCGGCCUGCCCUAGCCGCCCCUCCUCUUCUCCACUAGGGUCCAUGAGGCAGAAUAAACCCCCCGGGGGGUUCCGGUAACCCCCCGGUACUCUGGUAUAUGUCUGAAACCUUACAAAACCAUUCCGGUGUCCAAACAUAGUCAUCCAAUAUAUCGAUCUUUACGUCUCGACCAUUUCAAGACUCCUCGUCAUGUCCGUGAUCAUAUCCGGGACUCCGAACUACAUUCGGUACAUCAAAACACAAAAACUCAUAAUACUGAUCGUCACCAAACUUUAAGCGUGCGGACCCUACGGGUUCGAGAACUAUGUAGACAUGACUGAGACACGUCUCUAGUCAAUAACCAAUAGCGGAACCUAGAUGCUCAUGUUGGUUCCCACAUAUUCUACGAAGAUCUUAUAGGUAAAACCACAUAACUACAUAUGUUGUUCCCUUUGUCAUCGGUAUGCUACUUGCCCAAGAUUUGAUCGUCGGUAUCUCAAUACCUAGUUCAAUAUCGUUAUUGGCAAGUCUCUUUACUCGUUACAUAAUGCAUCAUCCCACAACUAACUCAUUAGCUACAUUGCUUACAAGGCUUAUAGUGAUGUGCUUACCGAGAGGGCCCAGAGAUACCUCUCCGACAAUCGGAGUGACAAAUCCUAAUCUUGAAAUACGUCAACUCAACAAGUACCUUCGGAGACACCUGUAGAGAACCUUUAUAAUCACCCAGUUACGUUGUGACAUUUGGUAGCACAAAAAGUGUUCCUCCGGUAAGCGGGAGUUACAUAAUCUCAUAGUCAUAGGAACAUGUAUAAAUCAUGAAGAAAGCAAUAGAAACAUACUAAACGAUCAAGGGCUAAGCUAACGGAAUGGGUCAAGUCAAUCACAUCAUUCUCCUAAUGAUGUUAUCCCGUUAAUCAAAUGACAACUCAUGUCUAUGGUUAGCAAACUUAACCAUCUUUGAUUAACGAGCAAGUCAAGUAGAGGCAUACUAGUGACACUAUGUUUGUCUAUGUAUUCACACAUGUAUUAUGUUUCCGGUUAAUACAAUUCUAGCAUGAAUAAUAAACAUUUAUCAUGAAAUAAGGAAAUAAAUAAUAGCUUUAUUAUUGCCUCUAGGGAAUAUUUCCUUCAGUCUCCCACUUGCACUAGAGUCAAUAAUCUAGUUUACAAUACCAUGUGAUUUAACACCAAUAUUCACAUCUGUAUGUGAUUAACACCCAUAGUUCACAUCGUCAUGUGACCAAACACCCGAAGGGUUUACUAGAGUCAAUAAUCUAGUUCACAUCGCUAUGUGAUUAGCACCCAAAGAGUAUUAAGGUGUGAUCAUGUUUUGCUCGUGAGAGAAGUUUAGUCAACGGGUCUGUCUUAUUCAGAGCCGUAUGUAUUUUGCAAAUAUUCUAUGUCUACAAUGCUCUGCAUGGAGCUGCUCUAGAUAAUUGCUCCCACUUUCAAUAUGUAUCCAGAUUGAGACUUAGAGUCAUAUGGAUCGAUGUAAAAGCUUGCACCGAUGUAACUCUUUACGACGAACUCUUUUAUCACCUCCAUAAUCGAGAAACAUUUCCUUAGUCCUCACUAAUGAUAUUUUUGACCGCUGUCUAGUGAUCCACUCCUAGAUCAAAACUGUAAUCCCUUGCCAAAUACAGAGCAAGGUAUACAAUAGGUCCGGUACGCAGCAUAGCAUACUAUAUAGAACCUAUGACUGAGGCAUAGGGAAUGACUUUUCAUUCUCUUUCUAUUUUCUGCCAUGGUCGGGUUUUGUGUCUUACUCAACUUCACACCUUGCAACAUAGGCAGGAACUCCUUCUUUGACUGUUCCAUUUUGAACUACUUCAAAAUCUUAUCAAGGUACGUACUCAUUGAAAAAUCUUAUCAAGUGUCUUGAUCUAUCUCUAUAGAUCUUGAUGCUCAAUGUGUAAGCAGCUUCACUGAGGCCUUUCUUUGAAAAACUCUUAUUCAAGUAUCCUUUCAUGCUAUCCAGAAUUUCUAUAUCAUUUCCAAUCAACAAUAUGUCAUCUACAUAUAGUUUUAGAAAUGUUACAGAGCUCCCACUUACUUUCUUGUAAAUACAGGCUUCCCAAAUGUCUGUAUAAAACCAUAUGCUUUGAUCAACUCAUCAAAGCGUAUAUUCCAACUCCGAGAUGCUUGCACCAGUCCAUAGAUGGAUCGCUAGAGGUUGCACAUUUUGUUAGCACCUUUAGGAUUGACAAAACCUUCUGGUUGCAUCAUAUACAACUCUUCUUUAAUAAAUCCAUUAAGGAAUGCAGUUUUGACAUCCAUUUGCCAGAUUUCAUAAAAUUUGGCAAUUGCUAACAUGAUUCGGACAGACUUAAGCAUCAAUACGAUUGAGAAAAUCUCAUCGUAUUCAACACCUUGAACUUGUUGAAAAACCUUUUGCGACAAGUUGAGCUUUCUAAAUAGUAACACUACUAUCAGCGUCUGUCUUCCUCUUGAAGAUCCAUUUAUUUUCUAUGGCUUGCCGAUCAUCGGGCAAGUCCACCAAAGUCCACACUUUGUUCUCAUACAUGGAUCCCAUCUCAGAUUUCAUGGCCUUCAAGCCAUUUCGCGGAAUCUGGGCUCAUCAUCGCUUCCUCUUAGUUCGUAGGUUCAUCAUGGUCUAGUAACAUGACUUCCAGAAUAGGAUUACCGUACCACUCUGGUGCGGACUGUACUUUGGAAGACCUACGAGGUUAUGUAGUAACUUAAUUUGAAGUUUCAUGAUCAUCAUCAUUAUCUUCCGCACUAAUUGGUGUAGGAAUCACUGGAACUGAUUUCUGUGAUGAACUACUUUCCAAUUCGGGAGAAGGUACAAUUACCUUAUCAAGCUCUACUUUCCUCCCAGUCACUUCUUUCGAGAGAAACCUCUUCUCUAUAAAGGAUCCAUCUUAGCAACAAAUAGCUUGCCUUCGGAUCUGUGAUAGAAGGUGUAUCCAACAAUUUCCUUUGGGUAUUCUAUGAAGACGCACUUCUCCGAUUUGGGUUCGAGCUUAUCAGGUUGAAACUUUUUCACAUAAGCAUCGCAAACCCAAACUUUAAGAAACGACAACUUUGGUUUCUUGCCAAACCAUAGUUCGUAAGGCAUCGUCUCAACGGAUUUUGAUGGUGCCCUAUUUAAAGUGAAUGCAGCUAUUUGUAAUGCAUAACUCCAAAACGAUAGUGAUAAAUCAGUAAGAUACAUCAUAGAUUGCACCAUAUCCAAUAAAGUGCGGUUACGACAUUCAGACACACCAUUACGCUGUGGUGUUCCAUGUGGCGUGAGCUGUGAAACUAUUCCACAUUGUUUUUAAAUGAAGGGCAAACUCGUAACUCAAAUAUUCUCUUUUACGAUCAGAUUGUAGAAACUUUAUUUUCUUGUUACGAUGAUUGUCCACUUCACUCUGAAAUUCUUUGAAAUUUUCGAAAUGUUUCAGACUUGUGCUUCAUUAAGUAGAUAUACUCAUAUCUGCUCAAAUCAUCUGUGAAGGUCAGAAAAUAACGAUACCUGCCACGAGCAUCAACACUCAUUGGACCGGAGAACGGAGUUUUAGUCAUCUUGCCCAAAAGGCAUGGUUCGCAAGCAUCAAAUGAGUCAUAACCAAGUGAUUCCAAAAGUCCAUCUUUAUGGAGUUUCUUCAUGUGCUUUACACCGAUAUGACCCAAACGGCAGUGCCACAAACAAGUUGCACUAUCAUUACCAACUUUGCAUCUUUUGGCAUCAAUAUUAUGAAUAUGUAUGUCACUACGAUCGAGAUCCAACAAACUAUUUUCAUUGGGUGUAUGACCAUCGAAGGUUUUAUUCAUGUAAACAGAACAACAAUUAUUCUCUGACUUUAAAUGAAUAACAGUAUUGCAAGAAACAUGAUCAAAUCAUAUUCAUGCUCAACGCAAACGCCAAAUAACAUUUAUUUAGGUUGAACACUAAUCCUGAAAGUAUAGAGAGUGUGCGAUGAUGAUCAUAUUAAUCUUGGAACCACUUCCAACACACAUCGUCACUUCACCCUCAACUAGUCCCUGUUUAUUAUGUAACUCCUGUUUCGAGUUACUAAUUUUUAGCAACCGAACAAGUAUCAAAUACCCAGGGGCUACUAUAAAUACUAGUAAGGUACACAUCAAUAACCUGUAUAUCAAAUAUACCCUUGUUCACUUUGCCAUCCUUCUUAUCCACCAAAUAUUCAGGGCAUUUCUGCUUCCAGUGACCAUUUCCUUUGCAGUAUAAGGACUCAUUUUCAGGCUUUGGUCCAGCUUUGGGCUUCUUCGCGGGAGUGACAACUUGCUUGUCAUUCUACUUGAAGUUCCCUUUCUUUCCCUUUGCCCUUUUUCUUGAAACUAGUAGUCUUGUCAAUCAUCAACACUUGAUGCUCUUUCUUGAUUUCUACCUUCAUCGAUUUCAACAUCACGAAGAGCUUAGGAAUCGUUUUCGUCAUACCUUACAUACUAUAGUUCAUCAUGAAGUUCUAGUAACUUGGUGAUGGUGACUAGAGAACUCUGUCAAUCACUAUCUUAUCUGGAAGAUUAACUCCCACUUGAUUCAAGCGAUUGUAGUACCCAGACAAUCUGAGCACAUGCUCACUAGUUGAGAAAUUCUCCUCCAUCUUUUAGCUAUAGAACUUGUUGGAGGCUUCAUAUCUCUCAACUCGGGUAUUUGCUUGAAAUAUUAACUUCAACUCCUGGAACAUCUCAUAUGGUCCAUGACGUUCAAAACGUCUUUGAAGUCCUGAUUCUAAGCCGUUAAGCAUGGUGCACUAAACUAUCAAGUAGUCAUCAUAUUGAGCUAGCCAAACGUUCAUAACGUCUGCAUCUGCUCCUGCAAUAGGUCUGUCACCUAGCGGUGCAUCAAGGACAUAAUUCUUCUGUGCGGCGAUGAGGAUAAACCUCAGAUCACGGACCUAGUCCACAUCAUUGCUACUAUCAUCUUUCAACUUAGUUUUCUUUAGGAACACAUUUAAAACAUAGGGAAGCAACAACACGAGCUAUUGAUCUACAACAUUAUUUGCAAAAUACUAUCAAGACUAAGUUCAUGAUAAAGUAAUGUUCGAUUAAUCAUAUUACUUAAGAACUCCCACUUAGAUAUACAUCUCUCUAAUCAUCUAAGUGAUCACAUGAUCCAAAUCAACUAAACCAUAACCGAUCAUCACAUGAAAUGGAGUAGUUUUCAAUGGUGAACAUAACUAUGUUGAUCAUAUCUACUAUAUGAUUCACCCUCGACCUUUCGGUCUCAGUGUUCCGAGGCCAUAUCUGCAUAUGCUAGGCUCGUCAAGUUUAACCUGAGUAUUCUACGUGUGCAAAACUGGCUUGCACCCGUUGUAGAUGAACUUAGAGCUUAUCACACCCGAUCAUCACGUGGUGUCUCGGCAUGACGAACUUUGGCAAUGGUGCAUACUCAAGGAGAACACUUUUAUCUUGAAAUUUAGUGAGAGAUCAUCUUAUAAUGCUACCGUCAAUCAAAGCAAAAUAAGAUGCAUAAAGGAUAAACAUCACAUGCAAUCAAUAUAAGUGAUAUGAUAUGGCCAUCAUCAUCUUGUGCUCACCAUCGUCACCGGCGCGACACCUUGAUCUCCAUCGUAGCAUCGUUAUCGUCUCGCCAACUAUUGCUUCCAUGACUAUCGCUAUCGCUUAGUGAUAAAGUAAAGCAAUUACAGGGCGAUUGCAUUGCACACAAUAAAGUGACAACCAUAUGGCUCCUGUCAGUUGCCGAUAACUCUGUUACAAAACAUGAUCAUCUCAUACAAUAAAAUUUAGCAUCAUGUCUUGACAAUAUCACAUCACAACAUGCCCUGCAAAAACAAGUUACACAUCCUCUACUUUGUUGUUGCAAGUUUUACGUGGCUGCUACGGGCUGAGCAAGAACCGUUCUUACCUACGCAUCAAAGCCACAACGAUAUUUCGUCAAGUUAGUGUUAUUUUAACUUUCUCAAGGACCGGGCGUAGCCACACUCGGUUCAACUAAAGUUGGAGAAACUGACGCCCGCCAGCCACCUAUGUGCAAUGUGAUGACCCACAAGUAUAGGGGAUCUAUCGUAGUCCUUUCGAUAAGUAAGAGUGUCGAACCCAACAAGGAGCAGAAGGAAGUGUUAAGCGGUUUACAGUAAGGUUUUCUCUGCAAGCACUGAAAUAGUAGGUGAUAGAUAGUUUUGUGAUAAGAUAAAUGGUAAUGAGCAAGAAGCAAAUAAAGUAAAUGAAGUGCAGCAAGGUGGCCCAAUCCUUGAUGUAGCAAAGGAUAAGCCUGGACAAAUUCUAAUAAUGAAGAAGGAGCUCCCGAGGACACAUUGGGAAUUAUCAUCAAGCUAGUUUUCAUCACGUUCAUAAGAUUCGCGUUCGGUACCUUGAUAAUUUGAUAUGUGGGUGGACCGGCACUUGGGUACUGCCCUAACAUGGAAAAGCAUCCCACUUAUGAUUAACCCCUAUUGCAAGCAUCCUCAACUACAAAAAGGAGUAUUCACGUAAACCUAACCACAACAUUAAACAUAUGGGUCCAUAUCAACUCCUAACGAAGCAACGCAUAAACUAGGGUUUAAGCUUCUGUCGCUCUAGCAACCCAUCAUCUACUUAUUACUUACCUAUGCCUUCCUCUAGGCCCAAAUAAUGGUGAAGUGUCAUGUAGUCGACGUUCACAUAACACCACUAGAGGAAAGACAACAUACAUCCCAUCAAAAUAUCAAACGAAUACCAAAUUCACAUGACUACUAAUAGCAAGACUUCACCCAUGUCCUCAGGAACAAACGUAACUACUCACAAAGCAUAUUCAUGUUCAUAAUCAGAGGAGUAAUAAUAUGCGUAAAGGAUCUGAACAUAUGAUCUUCCACCAAGUAAACCAAAUAGCAUCAACUACAAGGAGUAAUCAACACUACUAGCAACCCACAUGUACCAAUUUGUGGUUUUAAUACAAGAUUGGAUACAAGAGAUGAACUAGGGUUUUGAGAUGAGAUGGUGCUGGUGAAGAUGUUGAUGGAGAUUGACCCCCUCCCGAUGAGAGGAUCGUUGGUGAUGAUGUUGGUGAUGAUUUCCCCCUCCCGAAGGGAAGUGUCCCCAGCAGAACACCUCCGCCAGAGCCCUAGAUUGAUUCCGCCAAGGUUCCGCCUCGUGGCGGCGGAGUUUCGUCCCGUCAGCUUGCUCACAAUUUUUUCCAAGACAAAACCCUUCAUAUAGCAGAAGAUGGACGCCGAAAGCCCACCAGGGGGCCCAGGAGAUAUGGGGCGCGCCCUAUAGUGGGGGCGCGCCCCCUGUCUCCUGGACAGGGUGUGGUCCCCCUGGCCUAUUUCUUUUUCCCACAAAUUCUUAUGAAUUCCAAAUAGUUGUUUCGUGGAGUCUCAGGUCUUUUGGAGUUGUGCAGAAUAGGUUUCCAACUUUUGCUCCUUUUCCAACCAGAAUUCCACCUGCCGGCAUUCCCACUCUUCAUGGUAAACCUUGUAAAAUAAGAGAGAAUAGCCAUAAGUAUUUAGAUAUAAUGUGUAAUAACAGCCCAUAAUGCAAUAAAUAUUGAUAUAAAAGCAUGAUGCAAAAUGGACGUAUCAACUCCCCCAACCUUAGACCUCGCUUGUCCUCAAGCGGAAGCCGAAAUCGAAAAAUAUGUCCACAUGUUUAGAGAUAGAGGUGUCGAUAAAAAUAAAAUAUGGACAUGAGGGCAUCAUGAUCAUUCUAAUAACAACAAUAUAUAUGGAUUUUGUCAUAUGAUUUCCUAUGUUCAAGUAAUAAGCAAUUAACAAUGUCAAGUAUGGUUCAAAAACUUCAUUGGGAACUAACAAACUAUAAUCUCAAUCAUUGAAGCAAUUGCAAUUUAUCGUAACAUCAGAAAGAGUCAAUAAUAGAGCUUUUCAGCAAGCUCACAUACUCAACUAUCUCGUAGUCCCCUAUAAUUGUUAACACUCACGUAAUACUUGUGGUUAUAGAGUUUCAGCCGGACACUGAGAAAGAUAGGGGCUUAUUGUGUUUCCUCCCAACAUAUUCACCUUUAGGUGAUGUCAACAAUAAUAGCCUAUGCCAACUUACAUCCAAUUGGAUAUAUGUAUCAUGAUCUUCCAAACACGAGGAGCUUGCCAAAGGAUAAAAAUAAAAAGGGAAAGGUGAGAAUCACCUUGACUCAAGCAUAAAGUAAAACAUAAAGUAAAAGAUAGGCCCUUCACAGAGGGAAGCAGAGGUUGUCAUGUGCGUUUAGGGUUGAUGCACAAAAUCAUAAUGCAAAAGAACGCCACUUUAUAUUGCCCCUUGUAUGUGGACCUUUAUUAUGCAAUCCAUCGCUUUUAUUACUUCCACAACAAGUUCGUACAAAGCUUAUUUUCUCUGCACUAAUAAGUCAUACAUAUUUAGAGAGCAAUUUUUAUUGCUUGCAACGAUGACAACUUACUUGAAGGAUAUUACUCAAUCCAUGGGUAGGUAUGGUGGACUCUCAUGGCAAAACUGGGUUUAAGGAUAUUUGGAAGCACAAGUAGUAUCUCUACUUGGUGCAAGGAAUUUGGCUAGCAUGAGGGGGAAAUGCAAGAUAAACAUGUUUGGAAGGUCAAUGACAAUAUACUUUAACUGAGAUGUCGGAAAACAUAAACCAUUACGUUGUCUUCCUUGUCCAACGUCAAUUCUUUUAGCAUGUCAUACUUAAUGAGUGCUUCACAAAUCAUAAAAGAUGUCCAAGAUAAUAUAUUUAUAUGUGAACCUCUCUUUCCUUAUCACUUCCUAUUAAUUGCAAUGAUGACCAAGGCUACGUUCAUCAACUCUCAACAAUUUUUAUGCCUCAUACUUUCUAUGUGUGAAGUUAUCACUAUCCAUAAGAUCAAUAUGAACUCUUUUGUUCUUUCUACUUUCUCAAGAUCAUAGCAACAUAGCAAAGCCCUUGACUCAACACUAAUCUUUAUUAUAGAUAGCACAUGGACUUGAUUACAUAAAGAGAUCACAAAGCAAAACUCAAAACUACUUGAUAUCGAAACUUCAAACUAAUAGAUCAAGAUACUACUAAAGGAUCGAACUAAAUAAAGCGGUAAAAAUAGGAGCGUGAUGGUGAUACGAUACCGGGGAACCUCCCCCAAGCUUGGCAGUUGCCAAGGGGAGUGCCCAUACCCAUGUGAUUAUUUCUUCGGAGGUGGUGAAGUAGGAGUUGUUGCACUAUUCUUCUCUAGCUUGCGUCUGAGGCUAAAAUUUUCCUCCCUCAGAUCCUCAUUCUCGAGCUCAAGUUUCAUUAUCUUUUUGCAUAGUGUUGCCUUGAUGUCCUGCAAAAAAUAUGGUGGGAUAGAUUGUACCUUAGGGAGGCUUGACUUCUUGAACUCCACAUGCAUAUCACCAGGUUGAGGCAGCGGAUCGUCCUCUUCAUCGGAGCUUGUCUCCUCCUUCCACUUUGGAUCAUAGUCUUCUUCUUCCUCUGUGGUCCAGCCAUAAGAUUCCACAUCCCCAUAUACUUUUGGGUUUGCAAUAUAAUCAGCCAUGUAGCUCUCUUCCUCCAAAUCUUGGGACGACAUCUUGUUCCGAAUCUGCAACAGGAACAGCUCGAAACGAAAACAGAGGAUAUUUGCGUGAUACGUUGGUCAAAACCUUCGGGAGUAUAUAUAAUGAAUUUUUACCGACCAAAAUGCUUAACAUACAAGAAAACGGAGUCCAGGAGGCACACGAGGUGCCCACGAGACAGGGGGCGCGCCCUACAGGGGGGGUGCGCUCUCCUCUCUCAUGGGAGCCUCGUGUUCCUUUCGGACUACUUCUUUCUUCCUAAAAUCUUUAAAUAAUCCAAAACUGAUAAAAAUUGCCAUUAGAGUUGUUUUGGAGUUGGUUUACUUACCGUACCACGAACCUAUGCCUUUUUAGAGUCUGGAACAUUCUGGAAAGUGUCUCUUAUGUAUUCCUCACGGGUUAUGGUUUCAAUAAUAUUAGUCUCAACAUUGAUAGGAUUACCUGAAAUAUAAUGUUUAAUUCUUUGACCGUUUACCACCCUCGGAUUUGUGCCUUCGAAGUUGUUGAUUUUUAUAGCACCAGAACGAUAGACAUCCUCGAUAACAUAGGGACCUUCCCAUUUUGAGAGAAGUUUUCCUGCAAAAAAUCUUAAAAGAGAGUUGAACAAUAACACAUAAUCUCCUAUGUUAAAUUCACACGUUUGUAUCCUCUUAUCAUGCCAACGUUUGACUUUUUCUUUGAAAAUCUUGGCAUUCUCAUAUGCUUGGGUUCUCCAUUCAUCAAGUGAGCUAAUAUCAAAUAAUAUUUUCUCACCGGCAAGUUUGAAGUCAUAAUUGAGCUCUUUAACAGCCCAAUAUGCUUUAUGUUCAAGUUCAAGAGGUCAAUGACAUGCUUUUCCAUAAACCAUCUUAUAUGGAGACAUACCCAUAGGAUUUUUGUAUGCAGUUCUAUAGGCCCAUAAUGCAUCAUCAAGUUUUUUGGACCAAUUCUUUCUAGAUCUAUUCACAGUCUUUUGCAAAAUUAACUUGAGCUCUCUAUUGCUCAACUCUACUUGACCACUAGACUGCAGGUGAUAAGGAGAUGCGAUUCUAUGAUUGACAUCAUACUUAGCAAGCAUCUUACGGAAAGCACCAUGAAUAAAGUGUGAACCACCAUCAGUCAUAAGAUAUCUAGGGACUCCAAACCUCGGACAAAUAACUUCUUUAAGCAUUUUAAUAGAAGUGUUAUGAUCAGCACUACUAGUUGGAAUAGCUUCUACCCACUUAGUAACGUAAUCAACAACAACUAAAAUAUGUGUAUAACCAUUGAAGGCAGGAAAAGGUCCCAUAUAAUCAAAGCCCCAAGCAUCAAACGGUUCAAUAACAAGAGAAUAAUUCAUAGGCAUUUCUUGACGUCUACUAAUGUUACCUAUUCUUUGACAUUCAUCACAAGAUACAACAAACUUACGAGCAUCUUUGAAAAGAGUAGGCCAAUAAAAACCAGAUUGUAGUACCUUGUGUGCAGUUUUGUCUCCAGCGUGGUGUCCUCCAUAGGAUUCAGAGUGACACUUGCGUAGGAUUUGUUCCUGUUCAUGAUCAGGCACACAACGUCUAAUAAUACCAUCUACUCCUUCUUUAUAAAGGUGUGGAUCAUCCCAAAAGUAAUGUCUUAAAUCAUAAAAGAACUUUUUCUUUUGCUGGUAUGUGAAACUAGGCAGUAUAUAUUUAGCAACAAUGUAAUUAGCAUAAUCAGCAUACCAAGGAGCAGUACGAGAAGCAUUGAUGACCGCUAAUUGUUCAUCAGAAAAGCUAUCAUUAAUAGGCAGUGGGUCAUCAAGAACAUUCUCUAACCUAGAAAAGUUGUCUGCAAUGGGGUUCUCAGCUCCCUUUCUAUCAAUAAUAUGCAAGUCAAAUUCUUGGAGCAAGAGAACCCAUCUAAUGAGUCUAGGCUUAGCAUCUUUAUUUUCCAUAAGAUAUUUAAUAGCAGCAUGAUCAGUGUGGAUAGUAACUUUGGAAUCAACAAUAUAAGGUCUAAACUUAUCACAUGCAAACACAACUGCUAAGAACUCUUUUUCAGUAGUAGCAUAAUUUCUCUGGGCAGUAUCAAGAGUCUUACUAGCAUAAUGGAUAACAUUCAAUUUCUUAUGGACUCUUUGCCCUAAAACAGCACCUACAGCAUAAUCACUAGCAUCGCACAUAAUUUCAAAAGGUAAAUUCCAAUCAGGUGGCUGAACAAUAGGUGCAGUGAUCAAAGCUUUCUUAAGUGUUUCAAAUGCUUCUACACAAUCAUCAUCAAAAACAAAAGGAAUAUCUUUUUGCAAUAAAUUAGUCAGAGGCCUAGAGAGUUUAGAUAAGUCCUUAAUGAACCUCCUAUAAAAGUCGGCAUGACCAAGGAAACUUCUUAUACCUUUUAUGUCCUUGGGACAUGGCAUCUUUUCAAUAGCAUCAACUUUGGCUUUAUCAACUUCAAUACCUCUCUCGGAGAUCUUGUGCCCCAAGACAAUGCCUUCAUUAACCAUAAAGUGACACUUUUGCCAAUUCAGGACGGGACUAGUGUCUUCGCAUCUCUGCAGAACUCGAUCAAGGUUGCUCAAACAAUCAUCAAAAGAGGAUCCAUAGAUGGAGAAGUCAUCCAUGAAUACCUCACAAAUCUUUUCACAAAAAUCAGAAAAUAUAGCCAUCAUGCAUCUUUGAAAGGUAGCAGGUGCAUUACAUAAACCAAAAGGCAUACGUCUAUAAGCAAAAGUACCAAAAGGGCAAGUAAAAGUAGUUUUAGAUUGAUCCCCCGCUGAUACAGGUAUCUGAGAGAAACCAGAAUAAUCAUCUAGAAAGAAAAAAUGUGUGUGUUUGGAUAGCCUUUCUAGCCUGUAAUAAUUCUUUGCGGGAUCAAUUCAUCUUUAUCAUUAGGAACAACGGUAAUACCUCCCUUUUUAGGGACACAAUGGACAGGGCUUACCCAUUCACUAUCAGCAAUGGGAUAAAUAAUACCUGCCUCAAGGAGUUUUAGUAUCUCCUUUCUUACCACUUCUUUCAUUUUGGGAUUUAAUCGUCUUUGAGGAUAUCUAACUGGUUUGGCAUCUUUCUCCACUAAAAUUUUGUGUUGACAUAAUGUGGGACUAAUGCCCUUAAGAUCGUCCCUAGUAUAUCCAAUAGCAACUCGGUGCUUCUUCAGAGUUUUCAAUAAUCUUUCUUCUUCUUUCUCUGAAAGGUUAGCACUAAUAAUAACAGGAUAUAUUUCUUUUUCAUCAAGAUAAGCAUACUUAAGAUUAUUAGGUUAUGGUUUGAGUUCAAACACGGGAUCACCCUUGGGUGGAGGGGGGUCCCCAAGAAUUUCAAUGGGAAGGUUAUGUUUCAGCAUAGGUUCUUGUUUAAGGAACACUUCAUCUAUUUCUUCCCUUUCCUUCAUAAACAUAUCGUUUUCAUGAUCUAGCAAAUAUUGUUCUAACAGAUCAGUUGGUGGAACAGCAAUGGAAGCAAGACCAAUAAUUUCGUCCUUACUAGAUGGUUCCCUUUCACGAGGUUGUCUACUAAACUUAGCAAAAUUAAACUCAUGAGACAUACCAUAUAUGCCAACAGUGACAAUAUUCUUUUCACAAUUAAUCUUAGCACUAGCAGUAUUCAAGAAGGGUCUACCAAAAAUAAUGGGACAAAAAUCAUCUUGUGGGGAACCAAGAACAAGAAAAUCAGCACGGUAUUUAAUCUUCCCACACAAUACUUCAACAUCUCUAACAAUCCCAAUAGGUUUAAUGGUGUCCCUAUUAGCAAGCUUAAUAGUAACAUCAAUGUCUUCUAAUUCAAUAGGUGCAAUAUCGUGCAUAAUUUCUUUAUAAAGAUCAUAAGGUAUCGCAUUAGCACUAGCACCCAUAUCACAUAAACCAUGAUAACAAUGAUCUCCUAUUUUAACAGAAAUAACAGGCGUGCCUACAAUAGGUCUUCGUGUCUUAGUAUCGGGUCUAGCAAUAUUAGCAGUUUCACCCAAGAAAGAGAUAACAUGCCCAUCUAAGUCCUCAUCCAAGAGAUCUUUAACCAUAGCAAUACUAGGUUCAACAUUAAUUUGCUCAGGAGGUGUAUAAGUCCUAGUAUUACUCUUACAAACAACAGUCGAAGCUUUAACAUGAUCUUUUAUCCUAACAAGAAAAGGAGGUUUUUCAACAUAAGCAGUAGGAAUAAUGGGAUCACUAUAUGUAAUAGUCUUCUCUUCGACUGUAAUAGGUGCAACUACUUUCACUUCAAUAGGAGGAUUAUAUUUAAACCACUUAUCUUUAGGGAGAUCAACGUGAGUAACAAAAUUUUCACAAAAAGUAGCUACUAUCUCAUAGUCAAGUCCAUACUUAGAGCUAAAUCCACGGAAAGCAUCGGUAUCCAUAAAAGAUUUAACACAAUCGAACUUAGGUGUCAUACCUGACUCCUUACCAUGGUCGGAACCCCAAUCUUCAGAGUUGCGUUUAAUUCUUUCCAAUAAGUCCCAUUUGAAAUUAAUAGUCUUCAGCAUAUAGGAACCAACACCGGAAGUAUCGAGCAAGUUGCGAUUAUCAAGAGAAAGCCGAGCAUAAAAAUUCUGAAUAAUCAUUUCCCGAGAGAGCUCAUGAUUGGGGCAUGAAUACAACAUUGACUUAAGCCUCCCCCAAGCUUGAGGGAUGCUUUCUCCUUCGCGAGGCUAGAAAUUAUAUAUGUAAUUACGAUCACGAUGAACAAGAUGCAUAGGAUAGAACUUCUAGUGAAAUUCCAACUUCAAUCGCUUAUAAUUCCAAUAUCUCAUAUCAUCACAUAGCCUAUACCAUGUCGUUGCAUCUCCCUUAAAAGAUAAAGGGAAGAACUUCCUUUUGACAACAUCAUCGAGAAUACCCGCAAGCUUAAAUAGUCCAAAAGCUUCAUCCAUAAAGAUGAGGUGUAAGUCGGGAUGCAAUGUUCUGUCUCCUGCAAAAGGAUUAGCUAACAGUUUUUCUAUCAUACCCGAAGGAAUCUCAAAUUGAAUAUUUUCAUAAGGUUCAGUAGGUUGAGGAGCAUCUCUUUGCUCUUUUGGUUGGGGUGAAGAUACCCCAAACAAGCCCCUCAAAGGAUUAGUUUCCAUAGUGACAAGUAACUGAAAAUUUCAGCACACUAUAUAAAUGUUUCCUUACCAAGUUCCACUCACCAAGAGCGCUACGCCCCCCGGCAACGGCGCCAGAAAAGAGUCUUGAUGACCCACAAGUAUAGGGGAUCUAUCAUAGUCCUUUUGAUAAGUAAGAGUGUCGAACCCAACGAGGAGCAGAAGGAAAUGAUAAGCGGUUUUCAGUAAGGUUUUCUCUGCAAGCACUGAAAUAGUAGGUGAUAGAUAGUUUCGUGAUAAGAUAAAUAUUGACGAGCAAAAAGCAAAUAAAGUAAAUAAAAUGCAGCAAGGUGGCCCAAUCCUUUAUGUAGCAAAGGAUAAGCCUGGACAAAUUCUAAUAAUGAAGAAGGAGCACCCGAGGACACAUUGGGAAUUAUCGUCAAGCUAGUUUUCAUCACGUUCAUAAGAUUCGCGUUCGUUACCUUGAUAAUUUGAUAUGUGGGUGGACCGGCACUUGGGUACUGCCCUAACAUGGACAAGCAUCCCACUUAUGAUUAACUCAUAUUGCAAGCAUCGGCAACUACAAAAGGGAGUAUUAAGGUAAACCUAACCACAACAUUAAACAUAUGGGUCCAUAUCAACCCCUAACGAAGCAACGCAUAAACUAGGGUUUAAGCUUCUGUCACUCUAGCAACCCAUCAUCUACUUAUUACUUCCCUAUGCCCUCCUCUAGGCCCAAAUAAUGGUGAAGUGUCAUGUAGUCGACGUUCACAUAACACCACUAGAGGAAAGACAACAUACAUCCCAUCAAAAUAUCGAACGAAUACCAAAUUCACAUGACUACUAAUAGCAAGACUUCACCCAUGUCCUCAAGAACAAACGUAACUACUCACAAAGCAUAUUCAUGUUCAUAAUAAGAGGUUUAAUAAUAUGCAUAAAGGAUCUGAACAUAUGAUCUUCCACCAAGUAAACCAAAUAGCAUCAACUACAAGGAGUAAUCAACACUACUAGCAACCCACAGGUACCAAUUUGUGGUUUUGAUACAAGAUUGGAUACAAGAGAUGAACUAGGGUUUUGAGAUGAGAUGGUGCUUGUGAAGAUGUUGAUGGAGAUUGACCCCCUCCCGAUGAGAGGAUCGCUGGUGAUGACAUUGGUGAUGAUUUCCCCCUCCCGGAAGGAAGUGUCCCUGGUAGAACAGCUCCGCCAGAGCCCUAGAUUGAUUCCGCCAAGGUUCCACCUCGUGGCGGCGGAGUUUCGUCCCGUAAGAUUGCCCACGAUUUUUUCCAAGACAAAACCCUUCAUAUAGCAGAAGAUGGACGCCGGAAGCCCACCAGGGGGCCCAGGAGAUAGGGGGCGCGCCCUACAGGGGGGUACGCCCCUGUCUCCUGGACAGGGUGUGGCCCCCCGUUGCCUAUUUCUUUUGCUCAUAAAUUCUUAUAAAUUCCAAAAAGUUGUUUCGUGGAGUCUCAGGUCUUUUGGAGUUGCGCAGAAUAGGUUUCCAACGCUUGCUCCUUUUCCAGCCAGAAUUCCAGCUGCCGGCAUUCCCCCUCUUCAUGGUAACCCUUGUAAAAUAAGAGAGAAUAGCCAUAAGUAUUGAGAUAUAAUGUGUAAUAACAGCCCAUAAUGCAAUAAAUAUUGAUAUAAAAGCAUGAUGCAAAAUGGACGUAUCACAAAGCACGUCGGUAGAACCAGUCUCGCGUAAGCGUACGCAUAAUGUCGGUCUAGACCGUUUCAUCCAACAAUACCGCCUAACCAAAGUAUGACAUGCUGGUAAGCAGUAUGACUUGUAUCACCCACAACUCACUUGUGUUCUACUCGUGCUAUAACAUCUACGCAUAAACAUGGCUCGGAUGCCACUGUUGGGGAACGUAGUAAUUUCAAAAAAAUUCCUACGCACACGCAAGAUCAUGGUGAUGCAUAGCAAUGAGAGGGGAGAGUUUUGUCCACGUACCCUCAUAGACCGAAAGAAGAAGCGUUAGCAGAACGCGGUUGAUGUAGUAGUACGUCUUGAUGAUCCGACCGAUCCAAGUACCGAACUUACGGCACCUCUGAGUUCAGCACAUGUUCAGCUUGAUGACGUCCCACGAACUCCGAUCCAGCAGAUCUUUGCAGGAGAGUUCCGUCAGCACGACAGCGUGAUGUCGGUGUUGAUGAUGCUACUGACGUAGAGCUUCGCCUAAGCACCGCUACGAUAUUACCGAGGUGGAAUAUGGUGGAGGGGGGCACCACACACAGCUGGGAGAGAUCAACAGAUCAACUUGUGUGUCUAGAGGUGCCCCCCUGCCCUCGUAUCUAAAGGAGCAAUGGGGAGAGGUGGCCGGCCAGUAGGAGGGCGCGCCAAGGGGGGAGUCCUACUCGCACCGGGAGUAGGACUCCUUGAGGGAGUCCUGGAUUAGGGGGUGUCCGGAUGCCGGACUAUGACCUUUGGCCGGACUCCCGGACUAUGAAGAUACAGGAUUGAAGACUUCGUCCCAUGUCCGGAUAGGGACUUUCCUUGGCGUGGAAGGCAAGCUUGGCGAUACGAUAUGAAGAUCUCCUUCCAUUGUAACCGACUCUGUGUAACCCUAGCCCUCUCCGGUGUCUAUAUAAACCGGAGAGUUUUAGUCCGUAGGACGAACAACAAUCAUACCAUAGGCUAGCUUCUAGGGUUUAGCCUCUCUGAUCUCGUGGUAGAUCAACUCUUGUAAUACCCAUACCAUCAAUAUUAAUCAAGCAGGAGUAGGGUUUUACCUCCACCGAGAGGGCCCGAACCUGGGUACAAACAUCGUGUUCCUUGUCUCCUGUUACCAUCCGCCUAGACGCACAGUUCGGGACCCCCUACCCAAGAUCCGCCGGUUUGGACACCGACAUUGGUGCUUUCAUUGAGAGUUCCUCUAUGUCGUCGCCUUUAGGCCCGAUGGCUUCUUCGAUCAUCAACCACGAUGCGGUCCAUGGCGAGACUUUUCUCCCCGGACAGAUCUUCGUAUUCGGCGGCUUUGCACUGCGGGCCAACUCAUUUGGCCAUCUAGAGCAGAUUGAAAGCUACGCCCCUGGCCAUCAGGUCAGAUUAGGAAGCUUAAACUACACGGUCGAAAUUUGCAGGGACUUGAUCUUUGACGGAUUCGAGCCACGGCCGAGCGCGCCGCACUGUCUCGAUGGGCAUGAUCUAGCUCUGCCGCCGGACAGCGCCCGGAGUGCCGCUCAGGAGUCCGCUCCGACCGUUAAUUCGGAUCCGACCGUGCUAACCAGGGAUGGACGAUUGGAUGCCGCCCCAGGAGCCACGAUCUCUACGGCGAUAGAGCCGAAUACCAGUCUAGUCCUUCGCAAGGCCCGUGACUCCAAGGUGCCGGACUCCGCCCCGGACUCCGAAUCCUCCGCACCCCUUCCGAUCGAACCCGAUUGGGCUCCGAUCAUGGAGUUCACCGCCGCGAACGUCUUUCAGCACUCGCCCUUUGGCGAUAUCCUGAACUUCCUAAAGUCUCUCUCUUUGUUAGGAGAGCCCUGGCCGGACUAUGGUCAGCAGGGUUGGGAUACGGAGGACGAAGAAAUUCGAAACCCACCCACCACCCACUUUGUAGCCACUGUCGACAAUUAAACCGACAUGCUCGACUUUGACUCCGAAGACAUCGACGGUAUGGACGCCGAUGAAGGAGACGACCAAGAACCAGCACCUAUAGGGAACUGGAAAGCCACCUCAUCAUACGAUGUAUACAUGGUGGACACAACCAAAAGGGAUAACAACAAGGAUCGAAAGGGCGCAAACAGGGAUCGUUCCCUCGAAAAACAAUCAAAGCGGCGACGCAAGCGCCACGCAAAGCCCCACCUCGACAAAGACCCAGCCAUAGAGCAGGGCGAAUCAACGGAAGACGAACAUGCCAUUAAGCAACUGUCCAAACAACCAACCCCCAGAAAAGAUAGUAAUCCGGACGACCUCAUGCCGGACAAACUGCUGGAACAUCAGAACCUCCACCAAAGGCUCGUCGCCACUGCACGUAGCCUGAAAAAGCAGAAGCGGAGGAUCAAAACAGCAGAAGAUGCACUCAGGAUCAGAUGGAACAAAGUGCUGGAUACUGCACACAAGUACGGCAACAGUCGUCACACAAAGAGCUAUCCAAAGCGGAAACUACUACCGGAAUUUGAUGAAGAGGCCAUAAAGCCCCCACAGUCGAAAAACAAAGAAGCCACCAGGUCGGAUAGACGACCCAACGAUCGAUCCAAAGUGGCAGAGGGCGCUGCACUCAAUCCGGUGAGUGACCCCCCUAAGGAUUCGCAUCAAACAACCUUCCCAACCAGAUCCAUCUACGGCCCAAGAAAGCAAGCUCCAGCGAGCAACACAAUGCAAAAAAUACCCGAACAUCACGGCACACCUGCAUACAGGGGCGCCGCACAUCCCUUAUGUUUUACCGAUGAGGUGCUGGAUCACGAAUUUCUAGCGGGAUUCAAGCCCGUGAACAUAGAAGCAUAUGACGGAACAACAGACCUUGAAGUCUGGAUAGAGGAUUAUAUCCUCCACAUACACAUGGCCAGAGGAGAUGACCUUCAUGCCAUCAAGUACUUACCCCUCAAGCUCAAAGGGCCAGCUCGGCAUUGGCUUAAAAGCCUUCCCAAAAAUACCAUAGGAAGUUGGGAAGCGCUUGAGGAGGCUUUCCGAACAAAUUUUCAAGGGACCUAUGUCCGACCUCCGGAUGCAGACGAUCUGAGUCAUAUAACUCAGCAACCCGGAGAGUCAGCCCGGAAACUCUAGAACAGAUUCCUUACUAAAAAGAAUCAGAUAGUCGACUGUCCGGACGCUGAAGCCCUAGCAGCUUUCAAACAUAGCGUCUGAGACGAAUUGCUCGCCAGACACCUCGGCCAAGAAAAACCAAGAACGAUGGCCGCAUUAACAAGCCUCAUGACCCGCUUUUGCGCAGGAGAGGAUAGCUGGUUAGCAAGGAGCAGCACCAGCGACCCGAGUACAUCCGAACCUAGAGAUGGAAACGGGAAACCGCGCCGUAACAAAGAACAACAUGGAAUCAAGGACAACAGCCCAACGAGUACCAAAGUCAAUGCCGGAUUCAAAAGCUCUCGGCAAAAUCAGAAAAAGCCGCCGCCCAAAGAUGACAGGGACGAGCCGUCUAACCUCAACAAAAUCAUGGAUAAAAUAUGUCAAGUCCACAGCACCCCCGGGAGGCCUGCAAACCACACCCACAGAGAUUGUUGGGUUUUCAAGCAGUCCGGCAAACUCAAUGUCGAACACAAGGGGCUCGACGCACCAAGCGAGGAUGACGACGCGCCCCACAAGCAGAACACCGAAGAACAAAAGAAGUUCCCACAAGAAGUCAAAUUAGUGAAUUCACUUCAUAUGACAAAAGGGCAAAACAGAACGACGCUUAUGAAGACACGCGCCACACAGCCAGCCCCAGAGGAGCACCACCACUGGUUGUUACAACCAAUCACCUUUGACCAUCGGGAUUACUCCAGAGGGGACCGGAACGCAGGCUGGACUGCCUUGCUCUUGAAUCCGGUUAUUAACGGACUACAAUUUACACGAGUCCUUAUGGACGGCGGCAGUGACUUAAACCUGUUAUAUCAGGACACAAUCCACAAACUAGGGGUAAACCCAGCGCUAAUACACCGCGGCAAAACUUCCUUUCGAGGAGCCACGCCGGGCCCAGAUACCCAGACUAUGGGUUCCCUUUCAUUAGAAGUCAAGUUCGGCUCACCCGACAACUUCCGAAUCGAAAAGCUAACCUUCCACAUCGCCCCAUUCGUAAGUCGCUAUCAAGCGCUACUGGGACAUGAAGCUUUCGCCCGCUUUAACGCAAUAUCACACUAUGCAGCCCUUACACUUAAAAUGCCCGGCCCACAAGGCAUCAUCUCAUCACAAGGGAAUUGACCCCCAAAACACGGGUAAGGGUGCGGCCGCCUGGACAGCUGCACACUAAUCUAGCCUGGACACGGCUAGACGAGUCCGGCGUCAACACACAUGGACAUAAUAGCUGCACAACCCUGUACAAGGGGCUCCGUGUGUUCACGCCAGGAGACAAUGCGGCUCUCUUCUUGCUCCAACUAUAUCCUAUUUAUUUUAAUAUAGAUUUCUCGCACGCCUCUUUACUAAAGUUCCUCUUUUUCACAGACGAACACCGUGUUACGCCCGUCCAGGAUACGGCACAACGGAGAUACAGGCGCAGACGUGCAGUAGGGACCCGUUCUAAGGAUUCUUUUCAGUUUAAGACCCUGCGUAAACCUUUUUUACUGUCUCUUGUUGAAAACAUCCCCGGUUUUUCAUCAUAACCGAGGAGGAGACUGGCGUUUUGGCAUGUGGCCACGCCAGAAUUUUGCGCGUACCUGGACACAAGGGGCUUUCUUACCAAGGGCUCUGUUUCGGCCCGUCUUCAUAAAGACCGAAUACCUUAGGGAUUGUUCGGCGUCGCGAGUUAGGCCUUAUAUGCAUCAGCUCUGAAUCAUGUCUUUGGUCAAAUGUUGGGUUUGCCCGGCUCCUGUGUUUUGCUGCCUUACAUUCCGUUAUAUCGGCUAACGCGGCACCAGGAGAACUACUGCGAUUAUGCCCCGGCUCAGCCAGGCGAGCACCUCAGUAGAGAAAGCCGAAAACUGACUAUCAUGAUAUAGUGAGAGACUGGUCAACCACUCGAUGACUCUCGGAAUCUCUAGAAUUCCUCCGCAUUAAAGAAGGACCGCUUCCCGGUCAGGCACACACGCGCCCCAGAUUCGGGAGAGCGCGGUGCCUCUAGGGGCUAUUAAGUAGCCCCAAUGUCAAACUCCUAUGGCUAAGUGAAAGUGAUAAAGCAUUAUAGUCCGGUUGCCUCAUUCGCCAUGCCAUCACCUCCUUUGUAGGACCAAGACGUUGGAUUAAGUGUGAAAAGGCGCAUUUUUUGCGAACACCACCGCAUUAUAUGCGUGGGGGCUGAAGCCAACGACUGCCAUCUUUCAGGUUAUAUACACAUAUACAUUAACAGCCGCACAUGAGGUGUUAUAAUUCUUACAAGCACAAGUAUAAAAAGCUUUUAUAUUCUAUCAAAAUAUUUCUUUUACAAUAGCACCUGCUAUUCGAACAAAACAUCCUUCGAGCACUGCGCUUCUAUUAAACGAGCCCUCAAGGAAGUGCUCGGCAGAUACCCGACCUUCGUCCGAAUCCUGGGAUGCGACAACACUGGCCUGCAUAUCAGCCCAGUAUGUCUUGACACGGGCAAAAGCCAUUCGUGCACCCUCUAUACACGCCGACCUCUUCAGUACAUCGACAUGCGGCAUAGAACCAAGGAACUGAUGCACCAAUCCAAAGUAACUUUUCGGCUCCGGCUCCCUCGGCCACAAACGACUCGCGACAUACUUCAUGGCGAGUCCGGACAACCUGUUCAGCUCCGCAAAGGCAGCCAAAUGGUCGAGUACCGAAAGCGGGCGCUCUGGCUUGUGGAACUGCGACCAGAACAGUUCUUCCAAAUUAUGGUCGCCUGGUCCUCGGAAGUGUUCGGUUGUGUCAGCCGCACUCGCUGGCACAUCCAGAUAAGUGUUUUCCACACUCCACUGACAGUCUAACGGAGCAUACUUAGGAUCCCCGAACUUCAUCCGCAGCAUAUAGGGCUUUCCAGCCGUGAUAUCCCCGGCCUGACGCAGCUCCUCCUUCAUAGCUCUCAUCGCAGAGCGAGCAUCCUUGACCUUGGUAGUGAUCUUCUCAAGGUCCUUCUGAGCCGCCCCUUUUUCUUGUUCGAGAAAUUCACAGCGGUCGGCAGCAUCCUUCAAUUUUACAACCAUCUCGGCUAUUGCCUUCUUACUCUGGCAGUGAGCAGCCUGUUCGGCUUCAGCUCUUCAGCCGCCUUAACGGCCGCCGCAUCACUUUUUCUUGCUUGCUCCUUGGCUCGGGCAAGUUCCGCCCGAAGAAUCUCCACGGAAGCAGCACUAUCUGCAAUAAGCAUAUAUAUAUAUAUAUAUAUACUGUAAGAAACGAGCAUCGAACUCCUCUUAUCAGAUAUCUGUGGAGUAUACCUUGUGCCUCGUCUAGCCGCUUAUUUACAAGCGCGAUGUCGGCAUCUGCCACGUCCAGUUGCCGCUUUAACUCGGUAGAUUCAUCAGUCCGGCUAGCCACCGAACACCUCGCCACCUUCGUAAAAAGGUCACAUUUUAUACCCGGGGUUUUGAUCCUCUGUGCGCAUUCACUCUUGACGACACACAGAGUCCCAGGGGCUACUAUUUAUACAGGGCGCAUUCUAUGCGACUGUCACGACCGGUUUUUCAAUAAAAAUAUUUAUUGAGAAACCAAUCUUUUGAGUCCAGUAUGAGAGAAAUCCUCCUCACUGGUACACAAAUUCUUGAUACAAUAAGCCAGUAGCAUAAAAUAUAUUACAGGGUCGAACUACGGUUGUUCAACCAAAUUAUUACAAGCACGCCAAUAAAUAUACAUAUUGGCGGACAUGACACAGUGGUGUGGAGGCAUACUACUGACUCGAGGAUAGGGCGGUGGUGGAAAAACACAGCGGGGAGAGAGAUACAAGUCUCUAAAACUGUCAUCUCAUCGAGCGUCGAGGUGAGACUCGAUGAAUUUAUUUGGUAGUGGAAGCGGAUAUAAUACAGUAACCAAAUCCAGGGUCGUACGAGACUGACUGGGACUCCUCUAGGCGUCGGACUCGCUAUCAAAUUCUUCAUCCAUGAGAUCGCCUUUCUCAGCAUCUGGCCAAAUCAACAAGCCAGCGAGUACUUUGAAAGUACUCGCAAGACAGUUCGGAUGUAAGAUAUAACAAAUGCAUGCAUGAAUGCGUCAUGAUUAAUUCACCAAUGUAUAUUCAAAAAUUAGCAUAACGAGGUAAGUAAAAGGGAAACGGCGGUAGUCCGCCUGAAAUCCCACAAAACAUAAAUGAAGACCGAUCGGGUGUCUGAAGCGACGCCUCGAAAGGUGAACAAAUAAAUAUAAGGAAAUGAUGCCACGGUCGGGCGUCUUAGCGACACCACAUAAAGGCUUUAAAAGAAAUGCCGCAGUCGGACGUCGGGGCGACAUCACAGAAAGGGCUUUAAAAGAAAUACCACAGUCGGGCGUCUUAGCGACACCAUAUAAAGGGUUUUAAAAGAAAUGCCACAGNNNNNNNNNNNNNNNNNNNNNNNNNNNNNNNNNNNNNNNNNNNNNNNNNNNNNNNNNNNNNNNNNNNNNNNNNNNNNNNNNNNNNNNNNNNNNNNNNNNNNNNNNNNNNNNNNNNNNNNNNNNNNNNNNNNNNNNNNNNNNNNNNNNNNNNNNNNNNNNNNNNNNNNNNNNNNNNNNNNNNNNNNNNNNNNNNNNNNNNNNNNNNNNNNNNNNNNNNNNNNNNNNNNNNNNNNNNNNNNNNNNNNNNNNNNNNNNNNNNNNNNNNNNNNNNNNNNNNCCACAGUCGGGCGUCUUAGCGACACCACAUAAAGGGCUUUAAAAGAAAUGCCACAGUCGGACGUCGGGGCGACAUCACAGAAAGGGCUUUAAAAGAAAUACCACAGUCGGGCGUCUUAGCGACACCUCAUAAAGGGCUUGAAAAGAAAGUAAAAUACAACAAUGCCACAGUCGGACGUCUGAGCGACAUCGCAGAAAGGGCUCUUAUUCACAAGUGAAUAAUAUUCAUAAUAAACAUUCAAUUUAUGAGAAUAAAUGGGUUAGUCCAUUCACAGGAAUAAUCAUUUAACCGGACUUAGCACUCAUGCGAUUCACCGGAGUCUCUGUCAUCAAAACUGACAUUUGAUCGGGAUAAGAUAAUAUCGAUCUUGGACAUGGAAUAGAUGAUUUGGAGGAAUAUAUGACUCUGUAGAGUUUUUACAAAAUUUUUCCCACAGCCAACGGAUUUCCGUAGUCCCGAAGGACUAGUUCCGUUUACGGUUUUUCGGGAGAAAACACAGCUAACCAGUACACACCCAUUCUACCUUUCGACGCUAGGAAUCACCCUAGACAUCGUCCAAGAAAAACUUUUGAGACGGGGAGAUCACAAUCUCGAAUAGCAUGGGAUCAAAUUUAUAUACGCGCGCUCUAAGGGGUGCCCCCCUCUCGGUCCCAACCGGAAACACCCAUGCCCCCUGACCGGAUGACUGGCUUUAAUCCAGGGCCAUGGAACCAUCAUCACGGCCUCUCCUUUUUGGUGUGUACCAGGAAAGCGGUUUACAACUUACUAAGUUACGGAAAACCUGUGGUAGUACAAGGAAGGAAGAAUGGAAGGAACUGGAAUGAUACGAGUUGACAUUGAAGUCACAUAGUCUGGCAUAAGCCUAGCAUGCUACAACACUGCCAUCUUACCCAUCCUCAUGCCAACACAUGGCCAUGCAUACUCACAUCCAUCCACUCAUGGAACUCACUUGCCUCAUCGUCUCAGGUAACAGGACAUUCAUCGGUAUGUUCAUCAACAUGCCAUAAACUACUUAAUGCAAACAUGCCAAAACAAUCAUCAUAUCAAAAGCUCAAACAUGCUUGCCUGGUUCGGAGUAGUCGGAGCCUAGCUCGGUGAAGUUCGCGGCUCCGUCACCUCCUUCGGUAUCUACGGUAUAAAGAACAUAUAUGCGCUAUCGUAAAUACCAAGAGGUGCACAAAAAGUAUUCCAAAUAUUUUUCAAAUAAAUCUGAUAAAAAACUAGACAAAAUUUUAAAGAGGACAGAAAAAGAAUCAAUCAAAAAUACUUUUCUGUUUAAAAGUUAUAAAGGUUUUUGUCCAGGGACUCAUCUGUAAUGAAACAGAAAGUUCCCAGGGGCUAGCUUAUAAAAAUAGAAAACGUUCCAGUCUUGAAUACGCCAGCCCAGAGGGGAAAGCGUAUUUUGCCCGAAGGCGCUUCCAGAAACCGAUUCACUUAGAAAUGACAGAGAGGCUGACGGUGGGGUCCCACUCGUCAGGUUUAAACUUUCAAAUGGGAGGGACGAGGCUCGUCGGCGCCCGAGGGCUGCGGUGGUUGCCGGCGGCGAUCCACGGCGAGGUAAGGGGAUCGGAGGUUACCAACAUGCUCACCGUGUCCUUCCGCAACGGUGGGUGGUGGUGUUGGUUGCCGGGGAGCACCACGUCGACGGCGGUCUCAACUCCGGCGGACGGUGGUUCGGGCGUGGAUGGAGCUCGUCGGAGAGAGCUGCGAAGGACAAAUUGAUGCUGGCGUUAGCUUACUGGGUGCUAGAGUGAGUAACUGACGGGGUUUGGGCGCCUGAGACGGUCUCACCGGAGCGAAUCGUGGUGGAGGCCGAGGCGGAUCGGGGCGGCCGGAGUUGGGGGAGGAGACCUCCUCGAGGUCCUCCGGGUGGCUUGGCAGAGCUUUGGUGAGGUGUAGAGGUGGUGCGUGCUCGAGGGUGAGCUCGGGGGCCCUUUUUAUAGGCGGCCCGAGGCGGUGGCCGUGAACGGGGGUCUCCGGUGAAGGUUACGGCGGCGCAGGGCUUGGUCGGGGGUAAUUAGGACGUUGGGCGUCAUUGUGGAGGUCCACGGUUCCGUUUAGGUGCUAAUCGAGCUGGGAUUUGGUGCUAUGGGCGAAUUCGACAGAACGGGGCGGCGCGGGCCCGUCGGCGACAGUGAGCACGUCCCGUGCUUGCCGGGCCACGGUGACGGUGCCACGGGCGUGCACUGGCAUGCAUGAGGCCACGCGGAGGGCAGAGGGGCGUUGGGCAGCGCCGAACGGCGUUGAGCCGCCGUUCCGUCCCCUGUUGGCUGCUACGGGGGUUCGGCCACCGCAAGACACGCCGGCGCGGGCGGCCAAGGGCGCCACCGACGCCGGGAAGACGCCAAGCGCGCGUGCGGGGGUGCUGGCCAGGGAGAAGAAGCCGCGUGCAACGCGCCAAGCGCACUGUCCACGCGUGAUUGAAACUGACGGACGAAAAUAAACUGAAUCUUUCUGAAUAUGAACAGCAACAGUGCACGCCAAGUGUUCGACAGAAUGAUCUAGGCAUGUAGGGAUUUUUCCUUGAGCUGAUUUUUGGUGGAGUGGCUUCUCAUUGCUCCAGUAGGCUGCCUGAUUUUUGGUGAAUUUUUUGGAGAAGUGUAGGUAUGAAUUUCACCAAAUUUGGCAAAUCUGGUCCAAACUUGCAGAGACUGAAUUUUGAAAAAUUUGAAAAGAGAAGGAGUGGAUCAAGAUAGUUCUGGGUUGUGGGUACAAAGGACUUUCCAGGAGAGUUGGUUUGAGGUCAAAACUCAAAUGCAAAAGGGUACUUGCUUUGAAAAACUCUCAGGCUCCAAAUAAUUUUCAGAAAUGAUUUGAGUGAAAAGAAAAUUAGGAAAAAAUCCAAAACUUGCUUGGAUUAGUUGGGACAGAGAACUUAGGUUGAUUACAAGGAGGAGGGGAGGUUUUGGAGGGGUUUUACCACAUGGACAAAAUACAAAGUCAUGGGUAGUUUUCAAGAUAUGAAAAUCCCAAGUUUUCAUAGAGUUUCUUUUUAAAAGAAAAAGAUUAAACUCCCAAAAUAAAUUUGAGAGGGAACCAACAGAGAAGAAGUUUCAAAAGAUCAAACACCAUAGCUUGAAUAAAAAUAAAAACCUUGCCAAAGAAAAGGAAGUUUUUAAGAGGAAGGUUUUCUGGAAAAAAAUUUAAAUGGCCUCUUUUCAAAAACCACAAAGUUUUUGCUGAAAACCAAAUAAAAAUUUUUGGAGUGUCACAACACCUACCCCCUUAGGAAAAAUCUCGUCCCCAAGAUUUCAACUGUUCCUCAAAUAAGUGUGGAUGCUCUGUCCGAAGAAAAUCCUCUCUUUCCCAAGUUGCUUCGCUUUCGGUGUGGUUGCUCCACUGAACUCUGAAAAACUUGAUGGUCUUCUGUCGGGUCCUCCUUUCAGACUCCUCUAAUAUUUUUACUGGGCGUUCCCAAUAAGUGAGGUCUGGCUGUACGUCAAUGUUCUCAUGGGAUACUUGCUUCUCUGGUUUGCUUACGCACUUCCUUAAUUGAGAGACGUAUAACACGUCGUGAAUGUCGGACAAGUCUUCGGGUAAGUCUAGCUGGUAGGCUACAGUGCCUCUUCGUGCCACUAUGCAGAAUGGUCCAAUGAAUCUUGGUGCUAACUUUCCUUUAAUCUUAAACCGUUGAAGUCCCCUCAUAGGUGAUACUCGUAGGUACACGAAUUCACCGGGUUCAAAAUUUACCCCACGAUGUUUCUGAUCGUAAUAACUCUUCUGUCGGCUUUGAGCGGUCUUGAGUCGGUCCCUGAUUAGCUUGACUUUUUCCUCGGCUUCUUUGAGCACGUCUGGGCCGAAGAUACGGCUGUCUCCAGUCUCUGACCAAUGUAGCGGGGUACGACAUCUCCGUCCGUAUAGGGCUUCAAAAGGAGCCAUUUGCAGGCUGGUCUGGUAACUGUUGUUGUAUGCGAACUCGGCAUAUGGCAGGCUUUCUUCCCAACUGGUUCCAUAGGUGAGGACACAUGCUCUCAGCAUGUCUUCUAAAACCUGGUUUACGCGUUCUGUUUGUCCAUCAGUCUGUGGGUGGUAUGCGAUACUGAAGGCUAGUUGGGUUCCCAGAGCCUGUUGUAAAUGCUCCCAAAAUCUUGAGACGAACUGAGUGCCUCUGUCGGAUAUUAUAGUCUUCGGGACACCGUGCAGACAAACUAUGCGGGAAAGAUAAAUCCUGGCAAGCCUCUGAGUGGUGUGGGUCAUCUUUAUUGGAAUAAAGUGUGCCACUUUGGUUAACCUGUCCGUGAUGACCCAUAUGGCAUCAUUCCCGUGUCGUGACCGAGGUAGUCCGACAAUGAAAUCCAUCUCUAUUUCAUCCCAUUUCCACUCAAGUAUUUUGUUCGGUUGCAGUAGUCCGGCUGGUCUCUGAUGCUCAGCUUUUAUGCGUUGACAUGAGUCGCAACAUGCAAUGAAGGUGGCUAUGUCCCUCUUCAUACUGUGCCACCAAAAUCUUUCCUGAAUAUCUUUAUACAUUUUGGUUCCUCCAGGGUGGAUCAAGUACGGGGCGGUGUGGUAUUCAGCUAAAAUUUGCUGUUUAAGGUCUUCUAUGUUUGGCACGCAGAGCCUUUCUCCGUACCAUAAUAUUCCUUCAUUGUCUAUGACGAAUUCCGAGGCCUUGCCCACACUCAACUUUCUUUUGAUGCCUUCGAUGUUGGUGUGACCGGGCUGAGCUCCUUUAAUUUUCGCCACAAGGUCGGGUUGUAUUUCCAAGUUUGAUAUGGUGCCUUCUGCUACCAUUAUCAAGUUGAGCUUGGCAAAUUCUUGUUGGAAUUCGGGCCUCAAGCUGUGCAGAUUGUUUUCGUCGGAGCUGGGGUUCCGACUAAGGGCAUCGGCCACUACAUUUGCUUUCCCUGGAUGGUAAUGGAUACCAACAUCAUAAUCCUUUACCAACUCCAACCAACGUCGUUGCCGUAAGUUUAGUUCUGGUUGUGUGAAAAUAUAUUUGAGACUUUUGUGAUCCGUAUAUAUUUCACAUCGAUUCCCAAGUAAGAAAUGCCUCCAUUCCUUGAGUGCAUGAAUAACUGCUGCCAUUUCUAAGUCAUGAGUGGGAUAAUUUUCCUCAUGCUUGCGAAGUUGCCUUGAAGCGUAGGCGACAAUCUUGCCUUCCUACAUCAACACGCAUCCGAGACCCUUUCUGGACGCGUCACAAUAUACUUCAAAAUUCUUGUGUAUGUCGGGUACAAUUAAUACCGGUGCUGUCGUUAACUUCCGCUUUAGUUCUUGGAAACUUUUCUUGCAGGCUUCUGUCCAUUCAAACUUCUUAUCUUUCUUGAGUAACUGCGUCAUAGGCUUGGCUAUGGUGGAGAAUCCUUCAAUAAAUCUGCGGUAAUAUCCUGCCAUUCCCAAGAAACUCCGUAUGUCCGUAACGCUGGCUGGUGACUUCCAGCCAAGUACGGCCUUGACUUUCUUUGGGUCGACUGCGAUACUGUCUUGGGUCAGUACGUGGCCUAGAAAGCCUACUUGUCUUAGCCAAAAUUCGCACUUGCUGAACUUGGCAUACAAUUGGUGUUUUCUGAGCUCUCCUAGCACAAUCCUGAGAUGUUCUGCGUGCUCUUCUGGUGUCUUGGAGUAUACCAGAAUAUCAUUCAUGAAUACCACGACGAACUUGUCCAUAAACUUCAUAAAUACUUUGUUCAUGAGGUGAACAAAAUAUGCUGGGGCGUUAGUUAAUCCAAAUGGCAUCACUGUGAACUCGUACAGUCCAUAUCUGGAGGUGAAGGCUGUUUUGGGGAUAUCUUCCGUUCGUACCUUCAAUUGAUGGUAUCCUGACUUUAAGUCAAUUUUUGAGAAUACCUUGGCCUGAGCGAGUUGAUCAAACAAAUCGUUUAUCCUUGGCAUCAGGUAUUUGUUUUUGACUGUGACCAUGUUAAGUGCUCGAUAGUCAAUACACAAUCUCAGCGUUCCAUCCUUCUUUUUGGCAAAUAAAAUUGGUGAUCCCCAAGGUGAGGAGCUGGCUCGAAUGUAUCCUUUGUCUAGCAAUUCCCUUAUUUGUUUCUUCAACUCAACUAAUUCGGAUGGUGCCAUUCGGUACGGUUUCUUGUAUAUGGGGGUGGUUCCUGGUGCGAGCUCAAUGCUGAAUUCUAUCUCUCGGUCUGGUGGCAUGCCUGGUAGCUCUUCAGGGAAUACAUCUGGAAAUUCACACACUACUGGAACCUUGUUUAGCUCAGAAACGUCCACCUUAUUUAAUCUCGGUUGCCGGGGUAUUUUUCCUUCCUUGGCUGAUACUCUUAUUGUCUUCCCUUGGUGGUGUGUGAGAAUUACGGUCCUGUUGAAACAGUCGAUAAACCCCUUGUUGGUGGUUAGCCAAUCCAUCCCUAGGAUGACAUCCAGUCCUUUAUUUUCCAACACAAUAAGAUUUGCGUGAAACUCCAAUCCUUCGAACUCAAUGACCACAUUCUGACAGUAAUUCUGGGUAACUUGCUGAAUCCCAGGGGACUUGAUGAUCAUGGAUUUCUCCAAAGGAAGCAUCGAAAAAUUAUUUUGCAAAGCAAAACUUUUCGAAAUGAAAGAGUGAGAAGAUCCAGAAUCAAACAAAACCAUUGCAGGUAUUGUGUUGACAGGAAACGUACCGAGUACGAUAUCCAGAGCAUUUUGUGCCUCCUCUUUGGUUACGUGGUUCAGAUGACCCUUCCUGUGGUUAUUGUUGGGAUUGAAAUUGUUUCGCUUGGGCGCUGAAUUGUUGCCGCCGUUGUUCGGCUUUGGGGUUGAGUUCCUUGGCUUGGGGCACUGUUUGGCAUAGUGCCCUUCUUCUCCACAAGCGUAACAAGUAACGCCGGGGCGAUAGGUGAAUUCCUUGUCCCUUGCAUGAAAAUUCUUGAUUGGGCGUGAGACAUUGGAUGAGGAUUUGUGUGUCCCACCCUUUUGAAAAUCCGUCCUGCUUCGGUGAUUGCGAGCAUGGUUAGUCUGAUCCCUUUUUCGCUUGCGGAUAUCUUCCAGACUGCGUCUCUCAUUUUCCAGAGUAAUGGCUUUGUCCACCAGUGUUUUAAAAUCAGGAAAAGUGUGCACGACCAGUUGGCAUCUAAGCGCGGGCGCCAGACCGUCAAGGAAUUUCUCCAUCUUCUUGCUUUCAGUCAUACGUUCUUCAUUGGCAUAGCGGGAGAAUAGAGUAAAUUGACCGUUGUAUUCCGACACUGUCAUGUUCCUUUGUUUGAGGUCAUCGAACUCUCUCUUCUUAAUUUUCAUAAUACUCUUGGGAAUGUGUGCACCACGGAAACCUUCCUUGAAAUCAUCCCAGGUUAUAUCAUUUUCGUUGGGGUGCAUGUGCAGAAAAUUCUCCCACCAUGAUGCAGCUGCUCCUGUGAGAUAGUGCGGAGCAUAUAGUACUUUCUCAAGAUCUGAACAUUUUGCAAUAAUUAAUUUUCUCUCCAUAUCUCGAAGCCAAUCCUCGGCUUCAAGAGGCUUGUCAGUAUGAGAAAAUGUUUGAGGACGUGUCUUCUGUAGCUCAGAUAACUUGGAAUGCUGCUGAUACUAUCCAUGGUGAUUUCCCAUGUUGAUGACUUGGUUCAUCAUUUCACGAUGUUGUUGCUGACUCUGUUCAUAAAGGCGGCACAUUUGGGAAAGUGCCGUUUCACUGUUCUGUUGACUCGACUGCCCUUGUGUGAAAUUGUUGCCUGGUUGAGUGUCAUAAUCUUCCUCUGGCGGAGUAGGCAUGGAGCGAGUCCAAGGACGAGACAUUUUUCACUCUGGGGAUAUAUUUUGUUAAAACUCAUAAGAAAAGCGAAGAUGGUCGCAAAAACAAAUCCAAAAUUGCACAAGGAUGGCAAAUAAUUUAAAUGACCAAGAUCACUUAAGAAAACAAAUCGAAUUGCGCACGGAGAAGGACUGCUCAUUACAUAUCUUACACGCGGGCGAUAAUUAUACAAUACAUCACUCAGGAUAUGCGUACAUAAUCCUGACAUGUUAUUUAGGCUAGUGCACUUCUCCAGAUCCUACAUGAUGCGCAAACAGGCUACUUCUCACAACCUAUGCACAUAUAAACAUAUCAUACAAGGCGGUACAUUACAUGGUGGCUAAGCGUACUCAGGCGGAGAUGUUGACGACCUCCUUUGCCCUGCCGAGGAUGAGGCGUAGCGAGGUUGGGGACUCGACUUCUUCCUCGCUAAUAGGCUCCAUACGUGUAGUGUUGCGCAGAGUGGACGGAGCGGUUGCCAGGGGCGGAACAACACGAACAGGAGUGGGCGCGAAGGGUGGUGCAGUGCGCGCUGGAGUGGGUGCAAUGACUUGGUUGAAUUCUUCGGUAGAAGGUAGGCGACGAGUAGGCGUAUAAGAUGCUGAGGACGAGACCAAAGUCAGUGGCGGUGCGGUGGGUAGGAGCUCCCUCCUGUUGGCAGCACAGCCAUGAACUGAGUCCAUGCGGGCAGCCACGAAGUCGUCCGCCAGGUUGUCGAAGGCUGCCUCCAGGGCCCGGAGAUACUCAAUGAGCAUCUCAAAAGCCUCGUCUCGUUCUCCUCUGGGGCAGGAGUAUGCGUAGUGACAGGUGUAAGGCACAUGGCACGGAAGAUAACGGUAACGACGAGUCUUCAUCACGGGGAGGACAUCCCUGAGACGAGCUAUCGCCUCGCGGGCUGCCAUCUGCAUAGCAUGCCUCUCCGUAGGCAUGGCUCUUCCCAAGAACCGGAAGCGGCGUAACUCACCAUGCCCUCCCUUGAACUGCACCACGGCCUGGUGCAUGGUCAGACUGUCGUUGACUCGGUGCUGGCAGAGUGUGAAGACUGGGCGCACAAAUGGCCCCAUCGCGACCUGAACGAUGAAGGAAAGAAGCUUGACGAACCCAUCGGGCACGUUGGCAAAGGUCUGAGACUCGCAGCUGUUGUCGGCCAUCUACAAAAGUAGGCAAAAAUUCUGCAUGGUCAGAUCAUAAAUUUAUGCUGACUGACAGAAAAUGACUACAAUCAAGAAAAUAUGGAAAGGCUCAAUCAUGCUAAUAACCAAUUAGCAAUCGCACCUAGUGGCUUCCUACAGUCUGCCUGGCUCUGGUACCAAGCUUGUCACGACCGGUUUUCCAAUAAAGAUAUUUAUUGAGAAACCAAUCUUUUGAAUCCAGUAUGAGAGAAAUCCUCCUCACUGGUAGACAAAUUCUUGAUACAAUAAGCCAGUAGCAUAAAAUAUAUUACAGGGUCGAACUACGGUUGUUCAACCAAAUUAUUACAAGCACGCUAAUAAAUAUACAUAAUGGCGGACAUGACACAGUGGUGUGGAGGCAUACUACUGACUCAAGGAUAGGGCGGUGGUGGAAAAACACAGCGGGGAGAGAGAUACACGUCUCUAAAACUGUCAUCUCAUCGAGCGUCGAGGUGAGGCUCGAUGAAUUUAUUUGGUAGCGGAAGCGGAUAUAAUACAGUGACCAAAUCCAGGGUCGUACGAGACUGACUGGGACUCCUCUAGGCGUCGGACUCGCUAUCAAAUUCUUCAUCCAUGAGAUCGCCUUCGUCAGCAUCUGGCCAAAUCAACAAGCCAGUGAGUACUUUGAAAGUACUCGCAAGACAGUUCGGACGUAAGAUAUAACAAAUGCAUGCAUGAAUGCGUCAUGAUUAAUUCACCAAUGUAUAUUCAAAAAUUAGCAUAACGAGGUAAGUAAAAGGGAAACGGCGGUAGUCCGCCUGAAAUCCCACAAAACAUAAAUGAAGACCGAUCGGGUGUCUGAAGCGACGCCUCGAAAGGUGAACAAAUAAAUAUAAGGAAAUGAUGCCACAGUCGGGCGUCUUAGUGACACCACAUAAAGGGCUUUAAAAGAAAUGCCACAGUCGGACGUCGGGGCGACAUCACAGAAAGGGCUUUAAAAGAAAUACCACAGUCGGGUGUCUUAGCGACACCACAUAAAGGGUUUUAAAAGAAAUGCCACAGUCGGACGUCGGGGCGACAUCACANNNNNNNNNNNNNNNNNNNNNNNNNNNNNNNNNNNNNNNNNNNNNNNNNNNNNNNNNNNNNNNNNNNNNNNNNNNNNNNNNNNNNNNNNNNNNNNNNNNNNNNNNNNNCAGAAAGGGCUUUAAAAGAAAUACCACAGUCGGGCGUCUUAGCGACACCACAUAAAGGGCUUUAAAAGAAAUGCCACAGUCGGACGUCGGGGCGACAUCACAGAAAGGGCUUUAAAAGAAAUAUCACAGUCGGGCGUCUUAGCGACACCACAUAAAGGGCUUGAAAAGAAAGUAAAAUACAACAAUGCCACAGUCGGACGUCUGAGCGACAUCGCAGAAAGGGCUUUUAUUCACCAGUGAAUAAUAUUCAUAAUAAACAUUCAAUUUAUGAGAAUAAAUGGGUUAGUCCAUUCACAGGAAUAAUCAUUUAACCGGACUUAGCACUCAUGCGAUUCACCGGAGUCUCUGUCAUCAAAACUGACAUUUGAUCAGGAUAAGAUAAUAUCGAUCUUGGACAUGGAAUAGAUGAUUUGGAGGAAUAUAUGACUCUGCAGAGUUUGUACAAAAAUUUUCCCACAGCCAACGGAUUUCCGUAGUCCCGAAGGACUAGUUCCGUUUACGGUUUUUCGGGAGAAAACACAGCUAACCAGUACACACCCAUUCUACCUCUCGACGCUAGGAAUCACCCUAGACAUCGUCCAAGAAAAACUUUUGAGACGGGGAGAUCACAAUCUCGAAUAGCAUGGGAUCAAAUUUAUAUACGCGCGCUCUAAGGGGUGCCCCCCUCUCGGUCCCAACCGGAAACACCCAUGCCCCCUGACCGGAUGACUGGCUUUAAUCCAGGGCCAUGGAACCAUCAUCAUGGCCUCUCCUUUUUGGUGUGUACCAGGAAAGCGGUUUACAACUUACUAAGCCAUAUUCCUUACGGAAAACCUGUGGUAGUACAAGGAAGGAAGAAUGGAAGGAACUGGAAUGAUACGAGUUGACAUUGAAGUCACAUAGUCUGGCAUAAGCCUGGCAUGCUACAACACUGCCAUCUUACCCAUCCUCAUGCCAACACAUGGCCAUGCAUACUCACAUCCAUCCACUCAUGGAACUCACUUGCAUCAUCGUCUCAGGUAACAGGACAUUCAUCGGUAUGUUCAUCAACAUGCCAUAAACUACUUAAUGCAAACAUGCCAAAACAAUCAUCAUAUCAAAAGUUCAAACAUGCUUGCCUGGAUCGGAGUAGUCGGAGCCUAGCUCGGUGAAGUUCGCGGCUCCGUCACCUCCUUCGGUAUCUACGGUAUAAAGAAAAUAUAUGUGCUAUCGUAAAUACCAAGAGGUGCACAAAAAGUAUUCCAAAUAUUUUUCAAAUAAAUCUGAUAAAAAACUAGACAAAAUUUUAAAGAGGACAGAAAAGGAAUCAAUCAAAAAUACUUUUCUGUUUAAAAGUUAUAAAGGUUUUUGUCCAGGGACUCAUCUGUAAUGAAACAGAAAGUUCCCAGGGGCUAGCUUAUAAAAACAGAAAACGUUCCAGUCUUGAAUACGCCAGCCUGAAGGGGAAAGCGUAUUUUGCCCGAAGGCGCUUCCAGAAAAUGAUUCACUUAGAAAUGACAGAGAGGCUGACGGUGGGGUCCCACUCGUCAGGUUUAAACUUUCAAAUGGGAGGGACGAGGCUCGUCGGCGCCCGAGGGCUGCGGUGGUCGCCGGCGGCGAUCCACGGCGAGGUAAGGGGAUCGGAGGUUACCAACGUGCUCACCGUGUCCUUCCGCAACGGUGGGUGGUGGUGUUGGUCGCCGGGGAGCACCACGACGAUGGCGGUCUCAACUCCGGCGGACGAUGGUUCGGGCGUGGAUGGAGCUCGUCGGAGAGAGCUGUGAAGGACAAAUUGAUGCUGGCGUUAGCUUACUGCGUGCUAGAGGGAGUAACUGGCGGGGUUUGGGCGCCGGAGACGGCCUCACCGGAGCGAAUCGUGGUGGAGGCCGAGGCGGAUCGGGGCGGCCGGAGUUGGGGGAGGAGACCUCCUCGAGGUCCUCCGGGUGGCUUGGCAGAGCUUUGGUGAGGUGUAGAGGUGGUGCGUGCUCGAGGGUGAGCUCGGGGGCCCUUUUUAUAGGCAGCCCGAGGCGGUGGCCAUGAACGGGGGUCUCCGGUGAAGGUUACGGCGGCGCAGGGCUUGGUCGGGGGUAAUUAGGACAUUGGGCGUCAUCGUGGAGGUCCACGGUUCCGUUUAGGUGCUAAUCGAGCUGGGAUUUGAUGCUAUGGGUGAAUUCGACAGAACGGGGCGGCGCGGGCCCGUCGGCAGCAGUGAGCACGUCCCGUGCUUGCCGGGCCACGGUGACGGUGCCACAGGCGUGCGCUGGCAUGCAUGAGGCCACGCGGAGGGCAGAGGGGCGUUGGGCGGCGCCGAACGGCAUUGAGCCGCCGUUCCGUCCCCUGUCGGCUGCUACGGGGGUUCGGCCGCCGCAAGACACGCCGGCGCGGGCGGCCAAGGGCGCCACCGACGCCGGGAAGACGCCAAGCGCGCGUGCGGGGGUGCUGGCCAGGGAGAAGAAGCCGCGUGCAACGCGCCAAGCGCAUUGUCUACGCGUGAUUGAAACUGACGGACGAAAACGACACCGAAAACUGAAUCUUUCUGAAUAUGAACAGCAACAGUGCACGCCAAGUGUUCGACAGAAUGAUCUAGGCAUGUAGGGAUUUUUCCUUGAGCUGAUUUUUGGUGGAGUGGCUUCUCAUUGCUUCAGUAGGCUGCCUGAUUUUUGGUGAAUUUUUUGGAGAAGUGUAGGUAUGAAUUUCACCAAAUUUGGCAAAUCUGGUCCAAACUUGCAGAGACUGAAUUUUGAAAAAUUUGAAAAGAGAAGGAGUGGAUCAAGAUGGUUCUGGGUUGUGGGUACAAAGUACUUUCCAGGAGAGUUGGUUUGAGGUCAAAACUCAAAUGCAAAAGGGUACUUGCUUUGGAAAACUCUCAGGCUCCAAAUAAUUUUCAGAAAUGAUUUGAGUGAAAAGAAAAUUAGGAAAAAAUCCAAAACUUGCUUGGAUUAGUUGGGACAGAGAACUUAGGUUGAAAACAAGGAGGAGGGGAGGUUUUGGAGGGGUUUUACCACAUGGACAAAAUACAAAGUCAUGGGUAGUUUUCAAGAUAUGAAAAUCCCAAGUUUUCAUAGAGUUUCUUUUUAAAAGAAAAAGAUUAAACUCCCAAAAUAAAUUUGAGAGGGAACCAACAGAGAAGAAGUUUCAAAAGAUCAAACACCAUCGCUUGAAUAAAAAUAAAAACCUUGCCAAAGAAAAGGAAGUUUUUAAGAGGAAGGUUUUCUGGAAAAAAAUUUAAAUGGCCUCUUUUCAAAAACCACAAAGUUUUUGCUGAAAACCAAAUAAAAAAUUUUGGAGUGUCACAACGACUCUACCAAUAGGUAUACCUUUUCACAUACCUCAAAGCCUGUCAGUAAACUCCUGGCGUCCUCGUACAAUCCGCUUUCCGCGGAUGCAACCCUUCCUAUCACCAUGUUCAUCAACACACGGUGUUCUUCUGAGACGGAUGCACGCCCGAGCAGAUCCCUCAGCCUCUCCGACCGCGCACCAGAGGGCACCGGACGAGCCCGCGACCUUUUUCAGGAUUCGGACUUGGAGAAACCCGCCGGGACGACACCUCGGGGUCGCCUGCCUCGUAAGUCGGUGCAGCUAGGGGAGGCAUUUCACUCUCUAUCAUCUCCGGACGGAGAUCCCCUGAAGACGAGCUCUGCUGAGAAGGGUCAAGAUCUAAACUGCAAGGUAAUAUUUCGGUUAUCUUCCUCAGAAAUAAAACAGGGAUGCCACUAAUUUUUGAAGCCCCUCUCUUUACUUACGGCUCGGAGGAAAGCUGAUCCCUGUGAGGGCACAAUGCGGCCGGGGCAGUCUCCGGCGCCGGAUCCUCUGACAAAGAUUUCUUCCCCCGUUUCGAGGUCAUCUCCUCCGGGUCUUCAGAGGCACUCCUUUUCUUUCCCAGGUUGGGGGAGUCCGAUUCCUCCCUUCUUGACAGUCUCCUUCGUGGAGGCGGCAGCUCCUUGGUUCCCCUCUUCGCCCUCUGCUGAAAACAUAACCUGCAACAUCCUAGUUAACACGGGAUCUGGCGCGGUCUCGGGCAGGGGGGCUGAACACCUGAUAAGCUUUCCCUUCUCUAUCCACUCCUGUUCAAAGGAUAGCUCUGUCAAAAGGCCGCUUUACAAUGAAAAUACAGAUGGUGUGUCCAAAUAUGGGGCUGCUUACCUUAACAUCUUGGCGAUUGCAGCUCAGACCUGCGUCCUCGGAUAAAUUCGGACAACUAGUUUGUGGUCCGAAGAACAAUUUGUACAUCUCCAUGGGCAUUGCGCCCAUAAAAUGUUGGAGGACUCGCGGUCCUUCCAGAUUAAAUUCCCACAGGCGAAGGGGCCGACGUUUGCAGGGCAGCGUGUGGCGAAUCAGCAUAACUUGCGCCACUAUGGUCAGGUUAAUAUCUCUUUCUAGGAGAUCUCGAAUGCGGCCCUGCAGUAGGGGCACGUCUUUGGACGGACCCCAAAUAAGCCCUUCAUUGACCCAUGAUGCUCGCCGUAGCGGGGGACCCGAGCGAAAAGCAGGAGGCGCCACCCAUGUGGUGCCCCUGGGGGCUGUGAUAUAAAACCAGUCCCGUUGCCAUAAGCCGAACUCUUCUUGGAAAGUGCCCUCAGGCCAUGGAGCGCCGGCUAUCUUGCUUAUGAUAGCUCCUCUGCACUCAGCAUGCUGCCCCUCGAUCAUCUUCGGCUCUACUUUGAAGGUUUUGAGCCACAUUCCGAAGUGGGGGGUGACAUGGAGGAAGGCUUCGCACACUACGACAAACGACGAAAUUUGAAGGAUGGACUCCAGAGCUAGGUCAUGAAAUUCCGGCCUGUAAUAGAACAUCAGCCCCCUCACAAAGGGAUCAAUCAGGAAACCUAACCCUGAAGGAAGUGGGAUGUGAACACCAUGCUCUCACCGGGCUGAGGAGAAGGAAUGGCCUGCCCUUGAGUAGGCAGCCUAUGCGAGAUUUCGCCGGUUAGAUACCUGGCAUCUCUCAGAUUUCGCACGUCUUCUUCCAUAACGGGGGAAGGCACCCACCGGCCUUGAAGGUUGGAGCCGGACAUCGUCGGAGGUCCGAAGCGCCUAAAACUAGAAACCUUGAGUGUUGGAACUCGAGGAAAGGGGCGGAUUUGAUUGGAUUGAAGGAAGAGGGAGUCGAGCCUUGGUCUCUUUAUAAAGGAAUUCAAUACCAAGAGCCCUCCCCGUAACCGUUUGGGACUCACUUUCAAUUAGAGAGUCAUACCAAAAGGCGCAGUUGGGUUACCCACGCCCGUAUUGAUGAGAAUCCCGGGAUAAGGGGACAUGAUCUCUGCUUCAACAAGACGUGCCAAGGAAACCGCCUCGCUAAGCACGCUGAGGUGGAACGGUAAAAUAAAUAAAGGCUAGGCCGUGGCAUGAUGUCACGCUGCGGAAUACGUCGGCAGAUUAGAUUUGUGUAAAUAUUAUUCUCUCUAUGGUGGCAUGUGGAAAUUAUUUUGCAGAGCCGGACACUAUCCUUGUGUUCAAACAUCUUCUAUGAAGUAUUCGGAGGAGGAACCCGCCUUGCAAUGCUGAAGACAAUUUGCGCGCCGGACUCGUCGUCAUUGAAGCCUGGUUCAGGGGCUACUGAGGGAGUCCUGGAUUAGGGGGUGUCCGGAUGCCGGACUAUGACCUUUGGCCGGACUCCUGGACUAUGAAGAUACAAGAUUGAAGACUUCGUCCCGUGUCCGGAUAGGGACUUUCCUUGGCGUGGAAGGCAAGCUUGGCGAUACGAUAUGAAGAUCUCCUCUCAUUGUAACCGACUCUGUGUAACCCUAGCCCUCUCCGGUGUCUAUAUAAACCGGAGAGUUUUAGUCCGUAGGACGAACAACAAUCAUACCAUAGGCUAGCUUCUAGGGUUUAGCCUCUCUGAUCUCUUGGUAGAUCAACUCUUGUAAUACCCAUACCAUCAAUAUUAAUCAAGCAGGAGUAGGGUUUUACCUCCACCGAGAGGGCCCGAACCUGGGUAAAAACAUCGUGUUCCUUGUCUCCUGUUACCAUCCGCCUAGAUGCACAGUUUGGGACCGCCUACCCGAGAUCCGCCGGUUUGGACACCGACACUCCUCCUUUCCUUGUAGGAGUAGGAGAAGGGGGGAAAGGGAGAAAGAGAGAGAGGGGAAGGAAAGGGGGGCGCCCCCCCUCCUUGUCCAAUUAGGACUAGAGGGGGAGGGGGCGCGCGGCCUGCCCUAGCCGCCCCUCCUCUUCUCCACUAGGGCCCAUGAGGCCCAAUAAACCCCCCGAGGGGUUCCGGUAACCCCCCCCCCCCAAGUACUUCCGGUGUCCAAACAUAGUCAUCCAAUAUAUCGAUCUUUACGUCUCGACCAUUUCGAGACUCCUCCUCAUGGCCGUGAUCAUAUCCGGGACUCGGAACUACCUUUGGUACAUCAAAACACAAAAACUCAUAAUACCGAUCAUCACCAAACUUUAAGCGUGCGGACCCUACGGCUUCGAGAACUAUGUAGACAUGACUGAGACACGUGUCCGGUCAGUAACCAAUAGCGGAACCUGGAUGCUCAUAUUGGUUCCCACAUAUUCUACGAAGAUCUUGAUCGGUCAAACGGCAUAAAUACAUACGUUGUUCCCUUUGCCAUCGGUAUGUUACUUGCCCGAGAUUUGAUCGUCGGUAUCUCAAUACCUAGUUCAAUCUCGUUACCGGCAAGUCUCUUUACUCAUUACGUAAUGCAUCAUCCUGCAUUUAACUCAUUAGCUACAUUGCUUGCAAGGCUUAUAGUGAUGUGCAUUACCGAGAGGGCCCAGAGAUACCUCUCCGAUAAUCGGAGUGACAAAUCCUAAUCUCGAAAUACGUCAACUCAACAAGUACCUUUGGAGACACCUGUAGAGGACCUUUAUAAUCACCCAGUUACGUUAUGAUGUUUGGUAGCACACAAAGUGUUCCUCCGGUAAGCGGGAGUUACAUAAUCUCAUAGUCAUAGGAACAUGUAUAAGUCAUGAAUAAAGCAAUUGCAACAUACUAAAUGAUCAAGUGCUAUGAUGUACACUAUAUAUUCAAGGAUAGCCAAAAUCCUAAGCUUGGGGAUGCCCCGGGAAGGCAUCCCCUCUUUCGUCUUUGUUCAUUGGUAACUUUACUUGGAGCUAUAUUUUUAUUCUCCACAUGAUAUGUGUUUUGCUUGGAGCGUUGUGUAUUAUAUUAGUCUUUGCUUUUUAGUUUACCACAAUCAUCCUUGCUGUACACACUUUUUGGCAGAAGCCUACUUGAUUAGGAUUUGCUAGAAUACUCUAUGUGCUUCACUUGUAUCUUUUGAGCUUGAUAGUUUUUGCUCUAGUGCUUCACUUAUAUCUUUUAGAGCACAGUGGUGACUUAAUUUCGAAGAAAUUGCUAGUCUCUCAUGCUUCACUUAUAUUAUUUUGAGAGUCAUUUAGAACAGCAUGGUAUUUGCUAUGGUUACAAAGUUGGUCCUAGAAUGAUGAGCAUCCAAGUUGGGUAUAAUAAAAACUAUCAUAGAAAAGAAUUGGAUGCUAUGAUCAAUUUCAUGCUUGAUAAUUGUUUUGAGAUAUGGAGGUAGUGAUAUUAGAGUCAUGCUAGUUGAUGUGAUUAUGAAAAAUACUUGUGUUGAGGGUUGUGAUUCCCGUAGCAUGCACAUAUGGUGAACCGCUUUGUGAUGAAGUUGGAGCACAAUUUUAUUUAUUGAUUGUCUUCCUUAUGAGUGGCAGUCGGGGACGAGCGAUGGUCUUUUCCUACCAAUCUACCCCCCUAGGAGCAUGCGCCUAGUGCUUUGGUUUUUGAUGACUUCUAGAUUUUUGCAACAAGUACAUGAGUUCUUUUGACUAAUGUUGAGUCCAUGGAUUAUACGCACCUCACCCUUCCACCAUUGCUAGCCUCUCUUGUGCCGCGCAACUUUCGCCGGUAAUAUACACCCACCAUAUACAUUCCUCAAAACAGCCACCAUACCUACCUAUUAUGGCAUUUCCAUAGCCAUUCCGAGAUAUAUUGCCAUGCAACUUUCCAUUGUUCCGUUCAUAUGACACGCAUUACUUUUGUCAUAUUGCUCUUUGCAUGAUCAUGUAGUUGACAUCGUAUUUGUGGCAAGGCCACCUUCAUAAUUUCCAUACAUGUCGCUCUUGAUUCAUUGCAUAUCCCGGUGCACCGCCGGAAGCAUUCAUAUAGAGUCAUAUCUUGUUCUAGCUUUGAGUUGUAAUUCUUGUGUUAUAAAUCCAUAAAAGUGUGAUGAUCUUCAUUAUUAGAGCAUUGUACCAGUGAGGAAAGGAUGAUGAAGACUAUGAUUUCCCCACAAGUCGGGAUGAGACUUCGGACUUUACAAAACGAAAAAAAGGGGGAGAAAGAAAAAAAGGAGAAAGGCCAAAAAUAAAAAAAAGAAAGAAAUGCCCAAGAAAAGAAAAAAAAGAAAAAAAAAGAAAAAAGAGAGAAAAAGAGAGAAGGGACAAUGCUACUAUCUCUUUUUCCACACUUGUGCUUCAAAGUAGCACCAUGAUCUUCGUGAUAGAGAGUCUCCUAUGUAGUCACUUUCAUAUACUAGUGAGAAUUUUUCAUUAUAGAACUUGGCUUGUAUAUUCCAAUGAUGGGCUUCCUCAAAAGGCCCUAGGUCUUCGUGAGCAAGCGAGUUGGAUGCACACCCACUUAGUUUCUUUUGUUGAGCUUUCAUAUAUUUAUAGCUCUAGUGCAUCCGUUUCAUGGCAAUCCCUACUCACUCACAUUGAUAUCAAUUAAUGGGCAUCUACAUAGCCCGUUGAUAUGCCUAGUUGAUGUGAGACUAUCUUCUCCUUUUUGUCUUCUCCACAACCACCAUUCUAUACCACAUAUAGUGCUAUGUCCAUGGCUCACGCUCAUGCAUUGCGUGAAAGUUGAAAGAGUUUGAGAUUACUAAAGUAUGAAACAAUAGAUCGGCUUGUCAUCGGGGUUGUGCAUGAUUAAAUACUUUGUGGGAUGAAGAUAGAGCAACAGCCAGACUAUAUGAUUUUGUAGGGAUAACUUUCUUUGGCCAUGUUAUUUUGAGAAGACAUGAUUACUUUGAUUAGUAUGCUUGAAGUAUCACCAUUUUCAUGUUAAUAUGAACUUUUAUUUUGUAUCAUUUGGAUCUGAACAUUCAAGCCACAAUAAAGAAAAUUGCAUUGAGAAUUAUGCUAGGUAGCAUUCCACAUCAAAUAUUUUGUUUUUACCAUUUACCUACUCGAGGACGAGCAGGAAUUAAGCUUGGGGAUGCUUGAUACGUCUCCAACGUAUCUAUAUUUUUUGAUUGUUUCAUGCUAUUAUAUUACCCCUUUUUGGAUGUUUAUGGGCGUUAAUUUACACAUUUAUAUCAUUUUUGGGACUAACCUACUAACUGGAUGCCUAGCCCAUAUUGCUGUUUUUUUGCCUAUUUCAGUAUUUCGAAGAAAAGGAAUAUCAAACGGAGUCCAAACGGAAUGAAUUCUUCGGGAGCGUGAUUUUUGAACGAACGUGAUCCAGAGGACUUGGAGUGCAAGUCAAGAAGCAGCCAAGGCGGCCAUGAGAGGGUAGCCCCCCCUAUAGGGCGUGCCCCCCUGUCUCGUGGGCCCCUCGGGCGGCCACCGACGUACUUCUUCCUCCUAUGUAAUCCUACGUACCCCGAAAACAUCCAGGGAGCCAACAAAACACAAUUUCCACCGUCGUAACCUUCUGUAUCCGCGAGAUCCCAUCUUGGAGCCUUCGUCGGCGCUCCGCCAGAGGGGCAAUCGGCCACGGAGGGCUUCUACAUCAACACCAUAACCCCUCCGAUGAGUUGUGAGUAGUUUACCAUAGACCUUCGGGUCCAUAGUUAUUAUCUAGAUGGCUUAUUCUCUCUUUUUGGAUCUCAAUACAAUGUUCUCCCCCUCUCUUGUGGAGAUCUAUUCGAUGUAAACUCUUUUUGUGGUGUGAUUGUCGAGAUCCGAUGAAUUGUGGGUUUAUGAUCAAGUUUAUCUAUGAGAAAUAUUUGAAUCUCCUUUGAAUUCUUUUAUGUAUGAUUGAGUUAUCUUUGCAAGUCUCUUCGAAUUAUCAAUUUGGUUUGGCCUACUAGAUAUAUCUUUCUUGCCAUGGGAGAAGUGCUUAGCUUUGGGUUCAAUCUUGCGGUGUCCUUACCCAGUGACAGAAAGGGUUGCAAGGCACUUAUUGUAUUGUUGCCAUCGAGGAUAAAAAGAUGGGGUUUAUAUCAUAUUGCAUGAGUUUAUCCCUCUACAUCAUGUCAUCUUGCUUAAGGCGUUACUCUGUUCUUAUGAACUUAAUAAUCUAGAUGCAGGCAGGAGUCGGUCGAUGUGUGGAGUAAUAGUAGUAGAUGCAGGCAGGAGUCGGUCUACUUGUUGCAGGCGAGAUGCCUAUAUACAUGAUCAUGCCUAGAUAAUCUCAUAAUUAUUUGCUUUUCUAUCAAUUACUCGACAGUAAUUUGUUCACCCACCGUAAUACUUAUGCUAUCUUGAGAGAAGCCACUAGUGAAACCUAUGGCCCCCGGGUCUAUCUCUUAUCAUAUUUGUUUCCAAUCUACUUUUACUUGCAUCUUUACUUUUUGCAUCUAUAUUACAAAAUACCAAAAAUAUAUUUAUCUUAUCAUACUAUCUCUAUUAGAUCUCACUUUUGCAAGUGGCUGUCAAGAGAUUGACAACCCCUUUAUUGCGUUGGUUGUGAGUUGUUUGUUUGUUUGUGUAGGUGCAUGGGACUUUUGAGGAGCCUCCUACUGGAUUGAUACCUUGGUUCUCAAAAACUGAGGGAAAUACUUACGCUACUAUUGCUGCAUCACCCUUUCCUCUUCAAGGAAAACCAAAGUAAGCUCAAGACGUAGCAAGAAGGAUUUCUGGCACCGUUGCCGGGGAGAUUUUCGCUCAAGUCAAGACAUACCAAGUACCCAUCACAAACUCAUCUCCCUCGCAUUUACAUUAUUUGCCAUUUGCCUCUCGUUUUCCUCUCGCACACUUCACCCUUGCCGUUUUAUUCGCCCUCUCUUUCCCAAUCUCCUUCUCUCUCUCUCUCUCUCUCUCUCUCUCUCUCUCUCUCUCUCUCUCUCUCUCUCUCUCUUUCGCUUGCCCUUUUCUGUUUGCUUGUGUGUUGGAUUACUUGUUGCCAUGGCGCAAGAUAAUAACAAGUUGUGUGAUUUCUCGAAUACCAAUAAUAAUGAUUUCCUUAGUACUCCGAUUGCUCCUCUUAAUGAUGUUGAGUCUUUUGAAAUCAAUACUGCUUUGCUGAAUCUUGUUAUGAAAGAUCAAUUCGCCGGCGUUCCUACUGAAGAUGCCGCUACUCAUCUAAACAACUUUGUUGAUUUGUGUGAUAUGCAAAAGAAGAAUGAUAUGGAUAACAAUAUUGUUAAAUUGAAGUUAUUUCCGUUUUCACUUAGAGAUCGUGCUAAAGUUUGGUUCUCGUCUUUGCCUCAAAAUAGUAUUGAUUCUUGGAACAAGUGCAAAGAUGCUUUUUAUCUCUAAGUAUUUUCCUCCCGCUAAAAUUAUCACUAUUAGGAACGAUAUUAUGAAUUUUAAACAACUUGAUCAUGAGCAUGUUGCCCAAUGUUGGGAAAGAAUGAAAUUGAUGAUUCGCAAUUGCCCUACUCAUGGUUUGAAUUUAUGGAUGAUCGUACAAAAUUUUAUGCCGGUUUGAACUUUGCUUCUAGAAAUCUCUUAGAUUCGGCCGUGGGAGGCACGUUUAUGGAAAUCACGCUAGGAGAUGCUACAAAACUUCUUGAUAAUAUUAUGGCUAAUUAUUCUCAAUGGCACACCGAAAGAUCUUCUAGUAAAAAAGUGCAUGCUAUAGAAGAAAUCCAUGUUUUGAGUGGAAAGAUGGAUGAACUUAUGAAAUUGUUUGCUACUAAAAAUACUCCUCUUGAUCCCAAUGAUAUGCCUUUGUCUACUUUGAUUGAGAAUAAUAAUGAAUCUAUGGAUGUGAAUUUUGUUGGUAGGAAUACUUUUGGAAACAAUGCUUAUAGAGGAAACUUUAAUCCUAGACCGUUCCCUAGUAAUUCCUCUAAUUAAUUAUGGAAAUUCCUACAAUAAUUAUUAUGGUAAUUUUAAUAAGAUGCCCUCUGAUUUUGAUAAUAGUGUGAAAGAAUUUAUGAUUUCUCAAAAGAAUUUUAAUGCCUUCCUUGAAAAAAAAUUGCUCAAAGUUGAUGAUUUGGCUAGGAACGUUGAUAGACUUUCGCUUGAUGUUGAUUCUCUUAAACUUAGAUCUUCUCCUCCUAAGCAUGGUAUCAAUGAGUCUCUCAAAGCAAUGAGAAUUUCCAUUGAUGAGUGCAAGUAAAGAACCGCUAGCUUGUGUGCUAAGAAAGAUAGCUUUAUAAAGGCGUGUUCUUCUAGUUUCCAUGAAAAUAAUGAUGAAGAUCUUAAAGUUAUUGAUGUGUCUCCUAUUAGAUAUUUGUUUUGCAAUGUGAAUCUUGAUAAUUAUGGGACUUAUGAUGAGUCAACUUUACCUAGAAGGCGUCCCAAGAAUUCGGAGUUUUUAGAUCUUGAUGCUAAAUUUGGUAAAAGUGGGAUUGGAGAGGUCAUGACUUGAAAUAGCAUUGAACCCACUAUCUUGGAUUUCAAGGAAUUUUAUUAUGAUAAUUGUUCUUUAGAAGGUUGUAUUUCCUUGUUGCAAUCCGUUGUUAAUUCUCCUCAUGCUUAUAGUCAAAAUAAAGCUUUUACCAAACAUAUCGUUGAUGCCUUGAUGCAAUCGUAUGAUGAAAAACUUAAUUUGGAAGUUUCUAUACCUAGAAAACUUAAUGAUGAGUGGGAACCUACUAUAAAGAUUAGAAUUAAAGAUCAUGAGUGUUUUGCUUUGUGUGAUUUGGGUGCUAGUGUUUCCACGAUUCCGAAAACUUUAUGUGAUAUUCUAGGUUUCCAUGAUCUUGAUGAUUGCUCUUUAAAUUUGUACCUUGCGGAUUCCACCAUUAAAAAGCCAGUGGGAAGGAUCAAUGAUGUUCUCAUUGUUGCAAAAAUAAAUUUGGUGCUCGUAGAUUUUAUCGUUCUUGAUAUAGAUUUUAAUCUUUCUUGCCCUAUUAUUCUUGGUAGACCUUCCCUUAGAACGAUUGGCGCGAUUAUUGAUAUGAAGGAAGGGAAUAUUAGAUUCCAAUUUCCAUUAAAGAAAGGCAUGGAGCACUUUCCAAGAAAGAAAGUCAAAUUACCUUAUGAAUCUAUCGUGCAAGCUACUUAUGAAUUUAGUGCCAAAGAUGGCACUACUUAGAUCUAUCUUCGCUUUUAUGCCUAGCUAGGGGCGUUAAACGAUAAUGCUAGUUGGGAGGCAACCCAAUUUUCUUUGUGUUUUUUGUUUUUUCCUGUUUAGCAAUAAAUAUUGCAUCUACCUUUUGUUUAGAUGUGUUUUUAUCAUUUAAUUAGUGUUUGUGCCAAGUAGAACCUAUAGGAUAACCUAUGAUGAUAGUUGAUUUGAUUCUGCUGAAAAACAGAAACUUUGCACGCACGAAUUUAGUUUUGUUAAAUCACAGAAACGUGCUUUUGUGUUGAUUCUUUUUGAUGCUGAUCUAUAGAUAAAUUGUCCAGGAGUUACUAUUUUGGUAGGAUUUUUAAGUUCUAGAAGUUUGCGUUAGUUACAGAUUGCUACAGAUUGUUCUGUUUUUGACAGAUUCUGUUUUUUCGUGUGUUGUUUGCUUAUUUUGAUGCAUCUAUGGCUAGUAAAAUAGUUGAUAUACCAUAGAGAAGUUGGAAUACAGUAGGUUUAACACCAAAAUAAAUAAAGAAUGAGUUAAUUACAAUACCUUAUGUGGUGGUUUUGUUUUCUUUCACUAACGGAGCUUAUAAGAUUUCCUGCUGAGUUUUGUGUUGUGAAGUUUUCAAGUUUUGCGUAAAGCUUUUAUGGACUAUGGAAUAAAGAGUGGCAAGAGCCUAAGCUUUGGGAUGCCCAUGGCACCUCAAGAUAUUCACGUAUAGCCAAAAAGCUAAGCUUGGGGAUGCCCCGGGAAAUCAUCCCCUCUUUCGUCUUCGUUCAUUGGUAACUUUACUUGGAGCUAUAUUUUUAUUCGCCACAUGAUAUGUGUUUUGCUUGGAGCGUAGUGUAUUAUAUUAGUAUUUGCUUUUUAGUUUACCACAAUCAUCCUUGUUGUACACACCUUUUGGGAGAAGCCUACUUGAUUAGGAUUUGCUAGAAUACUCUAUGUGCUUUGCUUGUAUCUUUUGAGCUUGAUAGUUUUUGCUCUAGUGCUUCACUUAUAUCUUUUAGAGCACGGUGGUGACUUAAUUUUGAAGAAAUUUCUAGUCUCUCGUGCUUCACUUAUAUUAUUUUUGGAGUCUUUUAGAACAGCAUGGUAUUUGCUAUGGUUACAAAGUUGGUCCUAGAAUGAUGAGCAUCCAAGUUGGGUAUAAUAAAAACUAUCACAGAAAAGAAUUGGAUGCUAUGAUCAAUUUGAUGCUUGAUAAUUGUUUUGAGAUAUGGAGGUAGUGAUAUUAGAGUCAUGCUAGUUGAGGUGAUUAUGAAAAAUAUUUGUAUUGAGGGUUGUGAUUCCCUUAGCAUGCACGUAUGUUGAACCGCUUUGUGAUGAAGUUGGAGCACAAUUUUAUUUAUUUAUUGUCUUCCUUAUGAGUGGCAGUCGGGGAGGAGCAAUGGUCUUUUCCUACCAAUCUAUCCCCCUAGGAGCAUGCCCGUAGUGCUUUGGUUUUUGAUGACUUGAUUUUUGCAACAAGUACAUGAGUUCUUUUGACUAAUGUUGAGUCCAUGGAUUAUACGCACCUCACUCUUCCACCAUUGCUAGCCUCUCUUGUGCCGCGCAACUUUCGCCGGUGCCAUACACCCACCAUAUACCUUCCUCAAAACAGCCACCAUACCUACCUAUUAUGGCAUUUACAUAGCCAUUCCAAGAUAUAUUGCCAUGCAACUUUCCACCGUUCCGUUCAUAUGACACGCAUUACUUUUGUCAUAUUGGUCUUUGCAUGAUCAUGUAGUUGACAUCGUAUUUGUGGCAAGGCCACCUUCAUCAUUUUCAUACAUGUCGCUCUUGAUUCAUUGCAUAUCCCGGUACACCGCUGGAAGCCUUCAUAUAGAGUCAUAUCUUAUUCUAGCUUUGAGUUGUAAUUCUUGAGUUAUAAAUCCAUAAAAGUGUGAUGAUCUUCAUUAUUAGAGCAUUGUCCUAGUGAGGAAAGGAUGAUGAAGACUAUGAUUCCCCCACAAGUCGGGAUGAGACUUCGGACUUUACAAAAAGAAAAAAAGGGGAAGAAAAAAAGGAGAAAGGCCAAAAAGAAAAAACAAAGAAACGCCAAAGAAAAGAAAAAAAGAAAAAAGAAAAAAAGAAAAGAAAUAAAAAUGAGAGAAAAAGAGAGAAAGGGCAAUGCUACUAUCUCUUUUUCCACACUUGUGCUUCAAAGUAGCACCAUGAUCUUCGUGAUAGAGAGUCUCCUAUGUUGUAACUUUCAUAUACUAGUGGGAAUUUUUCAUUAUAGAACUUGGCUUGUAUAUUCCAAUGAUGGGCUUCCUCAAAACGCCCUAGGUCUUCGUGAGCAAGCGAGUUGGAUGCACACCCACUUAGUUUCUUUUGUUGAGCUUUCAUAUAUUUAUAGCUCUAGUGCAUCCGUUGCAUGGCAAUCCCUACUCACUCACAUUGAUAUCAAUUAAUGGGCAUCUCCAUAGCCCAUUGAUACGCCUAGUUGAUGUGAGACUAUCUUCUCCUUUUUGUCUUCUCCACAACCACCAUUCUAUUCCACAUAUAGUGCUAUGUCCAUGGCUCACGCUCAUGUAUUGCAUGAAAGUUGAAAGAGUUUGAGAUUAUUAAAGUAUGAAACAAUUGCUUGGCUUGUCAUCGGGGUUGUGCAUGAUUAAAUACUUUGUGUGAUGAAGAUAGAGCAACAUCCAGACUAUAUGAUUUUGUAGGGAUAACUUUCUUUGGCCAUGUUAUUUUGAGAAGACAUGAUUACUUUGAUUAGUAUGCUUGAAGUAUCACCAUUUUCAUGUUAAUAUGAACUUUUAUUUUGUAUCAUUUGGAUCUGAACAUUCAUGCCACAAUAAAGAAAAUUACAUUGAGAAUUAUGCUAGGUAGCAUUCCACGUCAAAAAUUAUGUUUUUAUCAUUUACGUACUCGAGAAUGAGCAGGAAUUAAGCUUGGGGAUGCUUGAUACGUCUCCAACAUAUCUAUAAUUUUUGAUUGUUUCAUGCUAUUAUAUUACCCCUUUUUUGAUGUUUAUGAGCUUUAUUUUACACAUUUAUAUCAUUUUUGGGACUAACCUACUAACCGGAGGCCCAGCCAGUAUUGCUGUUUUUUUGCCUAUUUUAGUAUUUCAAAGAAAAGGAAUAUCAAACGGAGUCCAAAUGGAAUGAAACCUCCGGGAGCGUGAUUUUUGGAACGAACGUGAUCCAGAGGACUUGGAGUGCAAGUCAAGCAGCAGCCAAGGCGGCCACGAGAGGGUAGGGCAUCCCCCCCCCUAUAGGGCGUGCCCCCUGUCUCGUGGGCCCCUUGGUCGGCCACCGACGUACUUCUUCCUCCUAUAUAAGCCUACAUACCCCAAAAACAUCCAGGGAGCCAACAAAACACAAUUUUUACCAUCGUAACCUUCUGUAUCCGCGAGAUCCCAUCUUGGAGCCUUCACCAGCGCUCCGCCGGAGGGGAAUUGACCACGGAGGGCUUCUAUAUAAACACCAUAGCCCCUCCGAUGAGUUGUGAGUAGUUUACCACAGACCUUCGGGUCCAUAGUUAUUAGCUAGAUGGCUUCUUCUCUCUUUUUGGAUCUCAAUACAAUGUUCUCCCCCUCUCUUGUGGAGAUCUAUUCGAUGUAAACUCUUUUUGCGGUGUGUUUGUCGAGAUCCGAUGAAUUGUGGGUUUAUGAUCAAGUUUAUCUAUGAGAAAUAUUUGAAUCUCCUCUGAAUUCUUUUAUGUAUGAUUGAGUUAUCUUUGCAAGUCUCUUCGAAUGAUAAUUAUGGUUUGGCCUAGUAGAUUGAUCUUUCUUGCCAUGGGAGAAGUGCUUAGCUUUGGGUUCAAUCUUGCGGUGUCCUUACCCAGUGAUAGAAAGGGUUGCAAGGCACGUAUUGUAUUGUUGCCAUCGAGGAUAAAAAGAUGGGGUUUAUAUCAUAUAGCAUGAGUUUAUCCCUCUACAUCAUGUCAUCUUGCUUAAUUAAGGCGUUACUCUGUUCUUAUGAAUUUAAUAAUCUAGAUGCAGGCAGGAGUCAGUCGAUCUGUGGAGUACUAGUAGUAGAUGCAGGCAGGAGUCGGUCUACUUUUUGCGGACGUGAUGCCUAUAUACAUGAUCAUGCCUAGAUAAUCUUAGAAUUAUUCACUUUUCUAUCAAUUGCUCGACAGUAAUUUUUGCACCCACCGUAAUACUUAUGCUAUCUUGAGAGAAGCCACUAGUGAAACCUAUGGCCCCCGGGUCUAUCUCUUAUGAUAUUUGCUUCCAAUCUACUUUUACUGGCAUCUUUACUUUUUGCAUCUAUAUUAUAAAAUACCAAAAAUAUAUUUAUCUUAUCAUACUAUCUCUAUUAGAUCUCACUUUCGCAAGUGGCCGUGAAGAGAUUGACAACCCAUUUAUUGUGUUGGUUGUGAGUUCUUUGUUUGUUUGUGUAGGUGCGUGGGACUUUUGAGGAGCCUCCUACUGGAUUGAUACCUUGGUUCUCAAAAACUGAGGGAAAUACUUACGCUACUAUUGCUGCAUCACCCUUUCCUCUUCAAGGAAAACCAAAGCAAGCUCAAGACGUAGCAAGAAGGAUUUCUGGCGCCGUUGCCGGGGAGGUCUUCGCUCAAGUCAAGACAUACCAAGUACCCAUCACAAACUCAUCUCCCUCGCAUUUACAUUAUUUGCCAUUUGCCUCUCGUUUUCCUCUCCCCCACUUCACCCUUGCCGUUUUAUUCGCCCUCUCUUUCCCAAUCUCCUUCUCUCUCUCUCUCUCUCUCUCUCCCUCUCUCUCUCUUGGCUUUUUCUAUUUGCUUGUGUUUUGGAUUACUUGCUGCCAUGGCGCAAGAUAAUACCAAAUUGUGUGAUUUAUCGAAUACCAAUAAUAACAAUUUCCUUAGUACUCCGAUUGCUCCUCUUAAUGAUGUUGAGUCUUGUGAAAUCAAUACUGCUUUGCUGAAUCUUGUUAUGAAAGGUCAAUUCGCCGGCCUUCCUACUGAAUAUGCCGCUACUCAUCUAAACAACUUUGUUGAUUUGUGUGAUAUGCAAAAGAAGAAUGAUACGGAUAACAAUAUUCUUAAAUUGAAGUUACUUCCAUUUUCACUUAGAGAUCGUGCUAAAGUUUGGUUCUUGUCUUUGCCUCAAAAUAGUAUUGAUUCUUGGAACAAGUGCAAAGAUGCUUUUUAUCUCUAAGUAUUUUCCUCCCGCUAAAAUUAUCACUAUUAGGAACGAUAUUAUGAAUUUUAAACAACUUUAUCAUGAGCAUGUUUCCCAAUGUUGAGAAAGAAUGAAAUUGAUGAUUCGGAAUUGCCCUACUCAUGGUUUGAAUUUAUGGAUGAUCAUACAAAAAAUUUAUGCCGGUUUGAACUUUGCUUCUAGAAAUCUCUUAGAUUCGACCGUGAGAGGCACGUUUAUGGAAAUCACGCUAGGAGAUGCUACAAAACUUCUUGAUAAUAUUAUGGCUAAUUAUUGUCAAUGGCACACCGAAAGAUCUUCUAGUAAAAAAGUGCAUGCUAUAGAAGAAAUCAAUGUUUUGAGUGGAAAGAUGGAUGAACUUAUGAAAUUGUUUGCUACUAAAAGUACUCCUCUUGAUCCCAAUGAUAUGCCUUUGUCUACUUUGAUUGAGAAUAAUAAUGAAUCUAUGGAUGUGAAUUUUAUUGGUAGGAAUACUUUUGGAAACAAUGCUUAUAGAGGAAACUUUAAUGCUAGACCGUUCCCUAGUAAUUCCUCUAAUAAUUAUGGAAAUUCCUACAAUAAUUCUUAUGGUAAUUUUAAUAAGAUGCCCUCUGAUUUUGAGAAUAGUGUGAAAGAAUUUAUGAUUUCUCAAAAGAAUUUUAAUGCCUUGCUUGAAGAAAAAUUGCUCAAAGUUGAUGAUUUGGCUAGGAACGUUGAUAGACUUUUGCUUGAGGUUGAUUCUCUUAAACUUAGAUCUUCUCCUCCUAAGCAUGAUAUCAAUGAGUCUCUCAAAGCAAUGAGAAUUUCCAUUGAUGAGUGCAAGGAAAGAACCGCUAGAUUGCGUGCUAAGAAAGAUAGCUUUAUAAAGGCGUGUUCUUCUAGUUCCCAUGAAAAUAAUGAUGAAGAUCUUAAAGUUAUUGAUGCGUCUCCUAUUAGAUCUUUGUUUUGCAAUAUGAAUCUUGAUAAUUAUGGGACUGAUGAUGAGUCAACUUUACCUAGAAGGCGUCCCAAGAAUUCGGAGUUUUUAGAUCUUGAUGCUAAAUUUGGUAAAAGUGGGAUUGGAGAGGUCAUGACUUGAAAUAGCAUUGAACCCACUAUCUUGGAUUUCAAGGAAUUUGAUUAUGAUAAUUGUUCUUUAGAAGGUUGUAUUUCCUUGUUGCAAUCCGUUGUUAAUUCUCCUCAUGCUUAUAGUCAAAAUAAAGCUUUUACCAAACAUAUCAUUGAUGCCUUGAUGCAAUCUUAUGAUGAAAAACUUAAUUUGGAAGUUUCUAUACCUAGAAAACUUAAUGAUGAGUGGGAACCUACUAUAAAGAUUAGAAUUAAAGAUCAUGAGUGUUUUGCUUUGUGUGAUUUGGGUGCUAGUGUUUCCACGAUUCCGAAAACUUUAUGUGAUAUUCUAGGUUUCCAUGAUUUUGAUGAUUGCUCUUUAAAUUUGCACCUUGCGGAUUUUCCACCAUUAAAAAGCCAAUUGGAAGGAUCAAUGAUGUUCUCAUUGUUGCAAAUAGAAAUUUGGUGCCCGUAGAUUUUAUCGUUCUUGAUAUAGAUUUUAAUCUUUCUUGCCCUAUUAUUCUUGGUAGGCCUUUCCUUAGAACGAUUGGCGCGAUUAUUGAUAUGAAGGAAGGGAAUAUUAGAUUCCAAUUUCCAUUAAAGAAAGGCAUGGAGCACUUUCCAAGAAAGAAAGUCAAAUUACCUUAUGAAUCUAUCAUGCGAGCUACUUACGAAUUUAGUGCCAAAGAUGGCACUACUUAGAUCUAUCUUCGCUUUUAUGCCUAGCUAGGGGCGUUAAACGAUAGCGCUAGUUGGGAGGCAACCCAAUUUUCUUUGUGUUUUUUGUUUUUUUCCUGUUUAGCAAUAAAUCUUGCAUCUACCUUCUGUUUAGAUGUGUUUUUAUCUUGUAAUUAGUGUUUGUGCCAAGUAGAACCUAUAGGAUAACCUAUGAUGAUAGUUGAUUUGAUUCUGCUGAAAAACAGAAACUUUGCACGCACGAAUUUAGUUUUGUUAAAUCACAAAAAUGUUCUUUUGCGUUGAUUCUCUUUGAUGCUGAUCAAUAGAUAAAUUGUCCAGGACUUACAAUUUUGGUAGGAUUUUUAGAGUUCUAUAAGUUUGCGUUAGUUACAGAUUGCGACAGACUGUUCUGUUUUUGACAGAUUCUAUUUUUUCGUGUGUUGUUUGCUUAUUUUGAUGCAUCUAUGGCUAGUAAAAUAGUUUAUAAACCAUAGAGAAGUUGCAAUAUAGUAGGUUUAACACCAAAAUAAAUAAAGAAUGAGAUCAUUACAAUACCGUAUGUGGUGGUUUUGUUUUCUUUCACUAAUGGAGCUUAUAAGAUUUCCUGUUGGGUUUUGUGUUGUGAAGUUUUCAAGUUUUGGGUAAAGCUUUUAUGGACUAUGGAAUAAGGAGUGGCAAUAGCCUAAGCUUUGGUAUGCCCAUGGCACCUGAAGAUAUUAAAGGAUAGCCAAAAGCCUAAGCUUGGGGAUGCCCUGGGAAGGCAUCCCCUCUUUCGUCUUCGUUCAUUGGUAACUUUACUUGGAGCUAUAUUUUUAUUCGCCACAUGAUAUGUGUUUUUCUUGGAGUGUCGUGUAUUAUAUUAGUAUUUGCUUUUUAGUUUACCACAAUCAUCCUUGUUGUACACACCUUUUGGGAGAAGCCUACUUGAUUAGGAUUUGCUAGAAUACUCUAUGUGCUUCACUUAUAUCUUUUAGAGCACGAUGGUGACUUAAUUUUGAAGAAAUUGCUAGUCUCUCAUGCUCCACUUAUAUUAUUUUGAGAGUCUUUUAGAACAUCAUGGUAUUUGCUAUGGUUACAAAGUUGGUCCUAGAAUGAUGAGCAUCCAAGUUGGGUAUAAUAAAAACUAUCAUAGAAAAGAAUUGGAUGCUAUGAUCAAUUUGAUGCUUGAUAAUUGUUUUGAGAUAUGGAUGUAGUGAUAUUAGAGUCAUGCUAGUUGAGGUGAUUAUGAAAAAUACUUGUGUUGAGGGUUGUGAUUCCCUUAGCAUGCACGUAUGUUGAACCGCUUUGUGAUGAAGUUGGAGCACAAUUUUAUUUAUUGAUUGUCUUCCUUAUGAGUGGCAGUCGGGGAGGAGCGAUGGUCUUUUCCUACCAAUCUAUCCCCCUAGGAGCAUGCGCGUAGUGCUUUGGUUUUUGAUGACUUCUAGAUUUUUGCAACAAGUACAUGAGUUCUUUUGACUAAUGUUGAGUCCAUGGAUUAUACGCACCUCACCCUUCCACCAUUGCUAGCCUCUCUUGUGCCGCACAACUUUCGCCGGUACCAUACACCCACUAUAUACCUUCCUCAAAACAGCCACCAUACCUACCUAUUAUGGCAUUUCCAUAGCCAUUCCGAGAUAUAUUGCCAUGCAACUUUCCACCGUUCCGUUAUAUGACACGCAUUACUUUUGUCAUAUUGCUCUUUGCAUGAUAAUGUAGUUGACAUCGUAUUUGUGGCAAGGCCACCUUCAUAAUUUUCAUACAUGUUGCUCUUGAUUCAUUGUAUAUCCCGGUACACCGCCGGAAGCAUUCAUGUAGAGUCAUAUAUAAUUCUAGCUUUGAGUUGUAAUUCUUGAGUUAUAAAUCCAUAAAAGUGUGAUGAUCUUCAUUAUUAGAGCAUUGUCCAAGUGAGGAAAGGAUGAUGAAGACUAUGAUUCCCCCACAAGUCGGGAUUAGACUUCGGACUUUACAAAAAGAAAAAAGGGGAAGAAAUAAAAAAAAGGAGAAACGCCAAAAAGAAAAAACAAAGGAAGGCCAAAGAAAAGAAAAAAAGAAAAAAGAAAAAAAGAAAAAAAGAAAAAAAAGAAAAAUGAGAGAAAAAGAGAGAAGGGACAAUGCUACUAUCUCUUUUUCCACACUUGUGCUUCAAAAUAGCACCAUGAUCUUCGUGAUAGAGAGUCUCCUAUGUUGUCACUUUCAUAUACUAGUGGGAAUUUUUCAUUAUAGAACUUGGCUUGUGUAUUCCAAUGAUGCGCUUCCUCAAAAUGCCCUAGGUCUUCGUGAGCAAGCGAGUUGGAUGCACACCCACUUAGUUUCUUUUGUUGAGCUUUCAUAUAUUUAUAGCUCUAGUGCAUCCAUUACAUGGCAAUCCCUACUCACUCACAUUGAUAUCUAUUAAUGGGCAUCUCCAUAGCCCAUUGAUAUGCCUAGUUGAUGUGAGACUAUCUUCUCCUUUUUGUCUUCUCCACAACAACCAUUCUAUUCCACAUAUAGUGCUAUGUCCAUGGCUCAUGCUCAUGUAUUUCAUGAAAGUUGAAAGAGUUUGAGAUUAUUAAAGUAUGAAACAAUUGCUUGGCUUGUCAUCGGGGUUGUGCAUGAUUAAAUACUUUGUGUGAUGAAGAUAGAGCAACAGCCAGACUAUAUGAUUUUGUAGGGAUAACUUUCUUUAGCCAUGUUAUUUUGAGAAGACAUGAUUACUUUGAUUAGUAUGCUUGAAGUAUCACCAUUUUCAUUUUAAUAUGAACUUUUAUUUUGUAUCAUUUGGUUCUGAACAUUCAGGCCACAAUAAAGAAAAUUACAUUGAGAAUUAUGCUAGGUAGCAUUCCACAUCAAAAAUUCUGUUUUUAUCAUUUAUGUACUCGAGGACGAGCAGAAAUUAAGCUUGGGGACGCUUGAUACGUCUCCAAUGUAUCUAUAAUUUUUGAUUGUUUCAUGCUAUUAUAUUACCCCUUUUUUGAUGUUUAUGGGCUUUAUUUUACACAUUUAGAUCAUUUUUGGGACUAACCUACUAACCGGAGGCCCAACCCGUAUUGCUGUAUUUUUUGCCUAUUUUAGUAUUUCGAAGAAAAGGAAUAUCAAAUGGAGUCCAAACGGAAUGAAACCUUCAGGAGCGUGAUUUUUGGAAUGAACAUGAUCCAGAGGACUUGGAGUGCAAGUCAAGAAGCAGCCGAGGCGGCCACGAGAGGGUAGGGCGCCCCCCCCCCCCUAUAGGGCGCGCCCCCUAUCUCGUGGGCCCCUCGGGCGGCCACCGACGUACUUCUUCCUCCUAUAUAAGCCUACGUACCCCGAAAACAUCCAAGGAGCCAACAAAACACAAUUUCCACCGCCGUAACCUUCUGUAUCCGCGAGAUCCCAUCUUGAAACCUUCGCCGGCGCUCCGCCGGAGGGGGAAUCGACCACGAAGAUCUUGUACAUCAACACCAUAGCCCCUCCGAUGAUGUUGUCUCACUUGGUCGUAAACGGAAACAAAGCUUACUCCUAUUUAUACACGCAUGAUUCGUCUAGAAAGUAAACACAUGUAGUGAUCGAGAAACUACGGAUUAAGCGGCAACUUGGUAAAGCACACACGUAAUACCAUGAUGUGUCGAUGCCAACAAUUACCAACCCAUUCACGCAUUAAAAAAGAAAAGAAAAUGAAAUCGCCUAGCUUAAGCGGCCGGAGAGAAUCCUAGAAGAUACAUGCAUGUGGUCAUGACAUCCCUCGAAAACUGCGCCUUGCAUGCACACAUCAACGGCAAAAGCAAAAUAGCCAAUCCCUGCUGCCCGACAGACAGUUGGUUGAUAAAAAACAAACCAAAUGUAGAAGCAGCAAAGCAAACAGCGGCAGAAGCAGCACUGUUGUGCCUGAAAAUAGGACGACAGCGCCGAGACAAACAAUGCCGAUUAGCCCAAUGGAAACUCAAGAAACACCGUUCGGCAGAUAAACUCAUGUACUAUGAAUUCACACAUCGUUGCUGGCCCACACACCGCAUAAAACGUUAGAGGAACCAAACAAGCACGCACACACGUUCAAAAAAAUUUGAAUACAAACUUAGAGUCACCACGGGUUUGCACACGGCCACAUCCCAAGUUAUUACAUGUGCCAUGAACCGGUUAAUACCUCAUAUAUGAAUUUUGCAUGUGCCAAUGCAGCCGACAUGUAGUUGCACCAAUAGUUUCCCUUUUUUCUGUACUAUAUGAAUAUUAACAAGGCAGUGCUCCAUGACAUAUGGGCCCCUAUGAAAAUUAUAUGUGUUAAUAAUGAACUCGCUUUGGUGAGAUCAUGAUGUUUGAGUGAGAAAACCAAAUACAAGAAAUAGUCCAGACCCGGUUCCCGUUAGGAGACCCCUUCACAUGACGUGCGGGUCCCACGUAUUGCAAAAUAUUCAUAAGAGAAAAUAUAUUCAAUAUUGGACUCUAUUUGUAGAGUUCACCGUGUAGAAUACAGUGGUGCAAAUAGAUUAAAGUUGGACACAUUGAUCUAAGAGAAAUAAUUACCAGAAGAGAGAAAUACGUGCAUGCAAAGCUAGCAAGAUCUGUAAUUAGCGUGCACCAUGUUACAUGGCUGCGUGCAGCACUUCAAUACUUGUGCUAAUUCGCAUUGUAAUGUCAUUUUCAACCAAGUGGCAAAACAUAGAAGCAAACAAGAAAAAUAAGCACACCACCCUGCCCCACAUUGAAUGAAAAACGCUAAACGAACCAAACCGAACGACACACCAGUUCAAAAAAUUUGAAACGAAACCUUAAAUCUACAAGGCAUUUGUACACCACCAGGUACCAAAUUAAUAGCACGUGUCACAUGCAUAAUUCACUAGAAGUCUUUUUCAAACAAGUGGAACAACCUUGAGGCAAAAACUUGGCCUGGAAUAGAUGCUUGGGUAUAAUAUCAAUAAUUCCUAUAUAUAUGAUGCCUUAUCAAUAAUAAUUGGUAUAAGAGAGCAGAAUUUAAAAUUCAACAAGACUCGUCCACAUAACAUUGGACUUGUUUUUUAAUGUAUAUAAGCAAUUGUUCUUAAGUAUAUCAACAAGUUACGGAUACAUUAUUUUUACUUUUAUUCCAUGAACAUAGAUUAAUUAUGGGAUGACCAUUUUAUAAAUAUAAGAUGAUGAUUUAUUUUCAUAUACAUGAACAUUUUAAAUCAAGGUACUUGAGCAUUUUUUACAUUUUUAUAUGCAUAAAAUUUUCUCCAAUAUUAAGUCAAUUUUGAUUUCUUUAAAUAGAUUAGUUUCCCCAAAACUUUCUUUAUUAGAAUAAUGAAAAUGUCGCACUUGCCUGACUAGGGCAAAUUUCGUUAGGCGGAGCUUCCCAAUUCUCGGGAUUCCUAUACGUUCCUCCUUGAGGCUAACAACCUCCCCUUCAGACAGUGUGCGCCUGGCUAGGCCGGCCCAUUGACGACACGAAUGGACACCACUGAGUGGGAGAGUAGGCGUUGAGCCAAUCCACUUUAGCGACGAUUUCUAAAAUUUUGGAAAAUUUCUUUGCAAAAUGAACAAGCAUUAAUAAAAUGUGAAGUUUUUUUGAACAUAUUCUAAUAUUUGAAAUUUCUUAAAACCCCAAUUAUGUGUGGAAUUUCAUACGUUUUUCUGAAAAAAUGAACACUUUUGGAAAUAUUGAACAUUAUUUGAAAACUAUGACCUUUUCUUGGAAAACCAACAAUUUAUGAAAAACAUGUUAGUUUUAUAAUAUUUAGAAUGUUUUUCAAAAUUAUGAUUUUUUAGAACACAAACAAUUUUUGAAAUUUCGAACAAAAUAUGAGAAUCGGACAUUUCCUGAAAACUUGAAUAUUUUUUAAAUUUCAAAUUUCCGCACAUUUUAAAAAAGGAGACUUUUUGAUAAAGAAAAUAAGAAAAUAAAACAAGGAAAAAACAAAUAUGUAAAACUUAAAAUUAACCCAAAGAAAAUGGUAACAGAAACAGAAGGAAAAAAGGAACAAACGAAAAUACCAUUAAAAAUCAUAUCAGAACCUUUUGGAAGGCUCCCAAAAUCGGUAAAAGCCCGGAAGGAAUAUUCUGAAAGUUCGUAAAACUAGAGCGGGCGGCUAAAAUGGGUCAGGCGUCCCCAAGCUCUAGCAUCAGUUCUAUGUGCAAUCCCCGGCAAUUUGACGUUGACUGGUCAAAUAGGGGUUUCACCAAUUCUCUUUUUUCUUGUUGCCUCAUAUGAGUUUGUUGUUGUUUAGGACAUACCUUGGCGCCAUUUAUACGGGUUCGAUGACCGCCAUCAAGGGUCUCUUAGUGGAAUCACAGCAUCUUGCAUCAUGUGAUGGCGUGAGGAGUUUACGGUGGCCCUAGUGGCAUUUUGGGGAGCAUUGUGCCUCCACAGCGCUCCAAAUGGAGAUUAGCAUCUGCAAUGUCGUCUCCGCAUGCCUCGGUUAUCUCUUACCCAAGCCCUUUACUAUGUGAUAGCCAUAGUGUUUCAUGUUAUAUAUCUUGCUAUCACAUAUCUGUUUAUCGUGCUUAGCAUAAGUUGUUGGUGCACAUAGGUGAGCCUAGUUGUUUUAGGUUUUAUGCUUGACAAAUUAGAUGCUAGUUUUAUUCUGCAUUUGUUCAAGCAUAAAUAGUAAUUAUUUUAAAGCAUCUAUUCACCCUCCCUCUAGGAAACAUCCACGAUUUUUCAAGUGGUAUCAGAGUGUCAUCUCUCUUUAUUAGGCUUAACCACUUAGAGAGUAAAGAUGUCAACUAGGGGAUUAGGAUUCUUUGACACUCUUUGUUUCGAUGGCACAAUUUUUGAUGUUUGGGUAAUUCGCAUGGUUAAUCUCUUUAGGGUCAUGGACCCAAAUUUAGUGUGAAUUGUAGAUAUUAGUUUUUCUCCUUCAAAGGAUCCUCAAAUAUUAUCUCUAGAGGAUGAGAAAAACUCUUAUCUCACUGCUCAAGCUUCUAAUGUGCUUUUUGGUGCUUUGAACAAUGUAGUUAUUGAUGUCGCUUGAAGCUACGUCAGUUUUUUCCCCAAAGAGGAAGGGAUGAUGUAGCACAGCAGUGGUAGGUAUUUCCCUCAGAUAUGAAACCAAGGUUAUCGAACCAGUAGGAGAACCAAGCAACACAACGUCAACAGCCCCUGCACACAGAUAACAACACCUCGCAACCCGACGUGUUAAAGGGGUUGUCAAUCCCUUUCGGGGUACGGCGCCUCAAGAUAGGAAUAUGACGUGAGAUAAAUUUGUAGAUAGGAUUAAUAGAUCACGCAACAAAAAAAUUACAGCAAAGUAUUUUUGUCUUUUUAGUUUAAUAGAACUGAAAAUAAACGCAAGGAAAAAGUAUAUCACAAGGCAAAUAUAUGAGAGAGAAGACCCGGGGGCCGUAGGUUACUAGUGGAUUCUCUCAAGAAAAAUAGCAAACUGUGGGUGAACAAAUUACUCUUGGGCAAUUGAUAGAACUUCAAAUAAUCAUGACGAUAUCCAGGCAAUGAUCAUUACAUAGGCAUCACGCCCAAGAUUAGUAGACUGACUCCUGCCUGCAUCUACUACUAUUACUCCAUACAUCGACCGCUAUCUAGCAUGUAUCUAGUAUUAAGUUCAUGGAAAAACAAAGUAAUGCAAUAAGAACAAUGACAUGCUGUAGACAAGAUCCGUUUAUCUAUUGCGACAGAGAUGGAUCCCGUCUUUUUAUCCUUAGUAGCAACGAUACAUACGUGCCGGUUCCCUUUCUGUCACUGGGAUCAAGCACCGUAAGAUCGAACCCACUACCGGUCACCUCUUCCCAUUGCAAUAUAAAAAGAUCAAGUUUGCCAAACAAAACCCAAAUAUCGGAGAGGAAAUACGAGGCUAUAAGUGAUCAUGCAUAUAAGAGAUCACAGAAGUCAAAUAACUUUCAUGGAUAUAAAAAGAUAUAACUUAUGAUAAAUUCGAAGUUCAUCAGAUCCUAACAAACACACCGCCAAAAGGACUUACAUCAUAUGGAUAUCCAAGAGAUCAUUGUAUUGAUAAUCAAGAGAGAGAGAGAGGAAGCCAUCUAGCUACUAACUACAGACCCGAAGGUCUACAAAGAACUACUCAUGCAUCGUCGGAGAGGCACCAAUGGAAGUGGUGCCCUCCGUGAUGGUGUCUAGAUUGGAUCUCAGUGUUCUGGACUCCGCAACGGCUGGAUGAAAAUUUGUCGACUCCCUUAGGGUUUCUGGAAUAUUGGGGUAUUUAUAUAGCAAAGAGUCGGUCCAGGGGGCACUCAAGGUGGGCACUACCCACCUGGGCGUGCCUGGGCCUCCUGACGUGCCCAGGUGGGUUGUCCCCUCCUCGGGACUCCCCCCAGGUUCAACCAGGGCCCAUUGUGUUCCUUCUGGUCCAUAAAAAAUCAUCGUAAAUUGGCAUUGUAUUUGGACCCCUUAUGAUAUUGAUUUCCUGCGAUGUAAUAAACAUGCAAAAAACCAACAACUGGCACUUGGAACUAUGUCAAUAGGUUAUUACCAAAAAAUGAUAUAAAAUGACUAUAUAAUGAUUAUAAAACAUCCAAGAUUGAUAAUAAAACAACACGGAAUGAUAGAAAAUUGUAGAAACGUUGGAGACGUAUCAGCAUCCCCAAGCUUAACUCCUGCUCGUCCUCGAGUAGGUAAGUGAUGAAACAGAAUUUUUGAUGUGGAGUGUUGUUUAU
rnacentral:lncRNA from 1 species